ACUUUGGGAUGUAUUUGGUGGAGUGGUCCCCACCGGGAGUAUGCUCGAGAUUCCCUUGUUUGGAGAAUAAGAUGCUGAAAAGAUAUCCUUUUAUUGCUUGGUGUAAUCAUACAUUGUUUCGUUGUUGUGAGCUCGGCCCGCGCGGGCGCGGCUCCUCGGGUUAUUUGAUCCGGUACAUAAUUCCUGAUUGGGUCAUAGUCUGCAAUUUCCCAGUCUUCCCGAGGGGACGGUGCCCUUAGAAGAAGAUCAUCACUUGUCGUUGGAUUGUAGAAGAAGGACUGCGACCUUAUCGGAUCCUCCUCUGGGGGUAUGUUGCUCCGCUAAUAAUCUUGCUGACAAGGCCCUCUUCGGGGCGAAAGCACGAUUGAGGGGAAAGAGCGAGGCAGACCCUUUUUAAAGCCUAUGGAUCUCCGGGUAGAGUUAGAACUUUUGAAUAUCCUGGCCAUUUGUCUGCAUACAGGUUAGUGAAAAAAUAACAAGGGAGUAAAGAAGUUCUUCCUCACCGCGAGAUGUGUAGGCGACGUUUUGAGAUUUGGUAUGUUCCUACCCUUUCGAGGCAUGAGUCACGAUACAGCCCCCCGCUGCGUCUUAUCAGGCUUGGCCAAAGACGUGGUUUGCUUAUGCUUUGAUCCUUCCGAGAGUGGGGGCAUUGAUACUGGCGACGCGCCAGAUGGCGAAGAGUUUCCUCUUGUCGCAUAUUGCUUUCCGUCAACUUAUUUUAGUCCUGCCCUUUGUAAAGGGUUUCAUGCUUUUGGCGAAAUGGGGCCGACGCUGUCUUCGGGUGGUAUGCCGGUGGUCGUUUGAAUAAGAUGUCCGUGCUUCGCGCCUUCUCCAAUGGUAUAGAGCUCGACGUCCCGACCCGAGCUCAGACGGGUUGCAUCAAAAGAAUGGUCUUUGUGGCAAUUUGUCAUUUGGAAUUUGCUAGGGAUUCGGGAUGCGGGAGUGAUUUGGUCCGUUAGACUGGACCGCUUUGUUGACUUUGGUCCGACAUCGUUGUUGUACGUGAUCAAAUAACCUGAAUUCAUGAACACAUGUUUUAUUUGAAAUAGAUCAAAUGAAGGAGAGGGUUACCAAUGUGUCAGUGUGAUGCCGGGGCGAAGUCUCGAUGCCCUUUUUCUUGGAUGUAAGGGUGUCCUCCGGAAUACUUCCCUGUACCUGUCUUUUCCUGACGGCGAACAUUUUCACUUUCCAUUUUGUGAGUCCACAGAGGGUGUUGACACUCCUUCACUAUCGUGACAAUACGUCGUGGCUCGUUCGCUUCAUUUUUCCAGGUUGCCUUCCUCCCUUGAGGCUGGACUCGAGCCUAACUGCUCGAUGGUAUUCAGCGGUGAUUUUUACUAAGCAGCAUGGAUGUCGCCAUUCUGGUAUGGUGGUUAUUUUGAUCCUGUGGCCGCGCGUGCCCUAUGGUUCCUGCACCGGGUUGUGGUUUUUUUUUAAGGGGUCUUGGUUGAAUAGGUCUGAGUCGUUCGGCAUCCCUGGUUUUGCUUAUGGUGAUCACGAUGUUUGGCAUGGCAAUGUCAAAAUCGUACUCCGCUGGGUGGGGUUCCUAUGCCAGUUGUGCCUCAUCAUAUACGGUUCCACAGAGGUUCCUCGAGGAUGUUGCCCUCGAACUGUUUCUCUACCGUUGCGAGGUAGGUUGCAUCUUGUGGCAUUCCUCCCAUUCGCGGUGCAUGGAUGGUACCUCCAUCUAUUGGGCAUUAGUUUCUUUGCUGGGAGCUUGCUUGGGUAUACUGGGCCCAUAAUGGCUCCCGGACGGUUGUCUAUAGCCCCUGAUUUGUGGCUGGCGUCGGAUACGGUCAUCCGACCAGGUCUCGGCUGGGUAUCUAAUUAAGAUUCAUUUGAAACGACCCGAAGUCGUCGGGCAUGCUUCGUUUAAACUUUGGGCGAAGGCUCGGGUUGCUCAGUCAUCCGAAACCAGGAGCGAUCUCAUUCGUCCAAUCAGGGAAUGAGGUGCGACUUCCUAUGGUGUUUCACUCUGUCUUUGUUUGGCCUUAGAUGUGUCGGGCUCUUCCGUUACUACUUUGAUGGCAUCAGUGUGUUCUCCUGUGGAGUGAUUUGCUGACAUGGUAAGCGAGUUUGUGAAGUCAGGUGCUAGGCAGCGGCGCCACAUCAUGGUUUCUCUCGAUAGUGUUUCCCCGAACUUUUUCAACGGGAUGGGCUCGAACUUAUCAUCUUGAAGGUCGCUGCCAUUUUCCGCACAUGUGUAAGCGGUGGUGCGCUCGUCGGGAUCCGAGGUCUUGUCACACCUAGGGAGUUCCGGCGUUCCGUAUUUCCGUGGAGCGGGUUCCGGGACCGCUUCCCCAGGAGAUAACUGUUGCAUGAGCCCCCAUGAACCUGACUUGAUUCUCUUGGAGAGGUCCUCCAGCAUCUUAAUUAUGGUGGGGUAUGUUAUCUAUCUGUUGUUGCUUGAUCUUUCGUGUACUCGUUCGGCGCAGGGAAUCGUUUCCGGCGCUACUGUGUUGAGCAUCCCUGGAUGGCUCUGCAACUGAGCGAUAGUCAACUGCUGUGCCUGCAAUAUUUCAAAAAUGUCGUGAAGACUAACUUCCUGUGUUUCCCGAGCCGGGGUUUGUUGGGCUUCCUGUUGGUUGAUAUGCUGAAUACUCCCAUCGGUACGCGAGGCCUCACCGACCUGCUGCACGCCUCACAAACCUGUGUCCGCUAGAAUCAGCCCAGAUGCAUUAUCGACGUUUCGCUGCAUAGUGCCAACCACCAGAACAAUCUCACCAUUUCCGUCAUGACUUUCGGGGUAGUCAUUCUCGACUCUGCUUACCGAGCCAGACAUUUUGACUUGAAAUCAAGAGAUCUUUGGACAAGAAAAAGCGUGAAAGAUAAUGUGUGUUUGUGCAAAGAAACCAACAAGAAAAUAAUCACUAUUAUUUUUAGUCCCACGAUGGGCGCCAAACUGUUUACCGUGAAAAUUGUAACAACAAUUAAAUUUGUAAAUAUGAUUCUAAAAAUACGUGAUCUAUUCUAGAGCUAGUUUUUAGAGCAGUUGAUGCUAAUAAUAUGGGGUUUAAUGAUGAAAUGCUAGCUAAAAUGAGAUAUUAAUCGAACCGAAGGGCCUUCUACCCGGAUAUAGGUCGGGUCGAUAGGGGACCUCGGGGUCGAGCUCGAGCUAUCAGGGAUAGUCGGGGAUGGGAUAAUAAUUGAGGAUAUAAUUAGAAAAGGCUCUUUAUGGCCAAUACUAAGUUAUAUGAUGAAGAAAAAGUAAGCAAGCGAUGAAUAUCAAGGUGACCUCGGGCUAGUGAGAAUGAACAAGUUUAGAAAGGAAAGAGAGAGAGAGAGAUAUUAUUGCACUUAUGGAGAAAAUGGAGCAACAUUAGUCUGUCACAAGGUAGCGUGAGUCCCCUUUAUAUAUGAAGGGAACUCGGCUACAAGCACAUUGGUAUUUAUCACAAAGUAUGGAGAUAUGAUGGCUUGACGCGAUGCCUCAGCAUAGGCUCUAGGUAGGUCGGCCUUGUCAGACUUAGCCGUGCCUUGGGAGCUUCCCCCUCUUUCCUGGCUUCAAUCUCUAUUUUCUCUGAGUCGGGUCUCGACUAGCCUUGAGGUCGAGAAUUCGGUCGUGGCCUCCCGUCCUUGGGGUCUUGAGGCGUUCUUCCGAAAUGACUUGACAACGAGAAAUCAAGUCCUCUGAUUUUGCCACGUACGAAAGGCACUUUUACUGGUGAACCUACGCAAGCUGGAGGAUUUGAUCAAUGAGAGCAUUCAACCUGAGGAAGGUAUUUAUCGGACCAAAUAGGUUGGCAUUUACUUUUCGCUUUAUGAAUGUAAUAAGGCCAAUGGCCAUUAGUGUCGUUUAUUUCUUGUUUAUUUAGUCUCAUUUUGGGAUUCGUCUAUUUCUAUUAAUAAAAUGAGGCAUUUAACAUUCUAAGUUCUACAAAUCAAUUUCUCGCUAGGCCUACCUCGGGCACAAAGAGGUUCCCAAAUUAGGAUACUUUUUACAUUCCCGCACUAUGUGUUUAAAUAUUGCAAUACUUUUUAUAAUCCUCACUAACUUGAUUACCUUUUGUUUUAUUAUUAUUAUUAUUAUUAUUUUGUUUUAUUAUUCCCUUUCCCAAAGGUUAGUUUGUGCAUUCUGGCAUCGUCAUCUUAUUAAACAAGAUCCAGGGUCCCUUCACCCACUCCUCCUCUUAGUCCUAUCAAAGGCAAGACCAAAGGCAAGAUGGAAGAUUUGAAUAACGUCAGGAAGGAGAACCCAACUGAACGGGUUGAGGAUGCUAACGGCCAUGGUAUUCGGGUUCCUAAUGAGAAUGUGUCACAACUUGAAUAGAAACUACUAAAAUUCCAAGAAGAGCUCGAUCAAGUUCAGAAUCUGGCAAGCCUGUCAUUUUCCCUCAGCACCCCAGAUAUCAACUUCCCCAACACUCAAAACCCUACACCUCCUCAAAACAUCCCAAAACAACAGAAUCAUCCCGCUCCUCACCAUCACAUUGCUCCACCAAAGAACCAAUGUAACACCUGCCAUACCCCAAACAACACUCCACUACUCAUCCUAGAACCCCAAAACUCCACAAAAGACCAUUUCCACACCCACACACCAAGCCACCAUAACACUCCUAUCUACGUGGAGACCAUGACACACUUCACCCAACCUAUCUCAGGCACACCUGGGUCUGACGAAAAGGAUCUGCUUAUCAGAAACUUGGCUGAGGAACUUAAGAAAUUGACUAGCCGGAUUCAGGGCGUUGAGGGAAGCAAAGGAAUCGAAGGGCUGAACUAUGAGGAUCUUUGCAUACAGACUGAUGCCGAACUGCCCGAGGGGUACAAACCUCCUAAGUUCAAAAUGUUUGAUGGUACGGGUGAUCCAAUGGUCCAUCUAAGGACAUAUUGCGACAAGCUGGUUGGAGUGGGAAGGAUGAAUGGAUCCACAUGAAGAUGUUAAUGAGGAGUUUGAAAGGAGAUGUAUUAUCUUAGUACAUCAGCCAAGAUCCCAAGAAGUGGUCAAGCUGGGUAGGCAUGGCAUCUAACUUUAUGGAUAGUUUCAGGUUUGAUAUGGAGAAUGCCCCAGACAUGUUCUAUAUACAGUAUCUGAAGAAGAAGCCCACAAAGACGUUUCGGGAGUAUGCUACUCACUGGAGGUCCGAAGCUGCUAAGGUCAAACCUGCAUUAGAAGAGGAACAAAUGAACAAGUUCUUUGUCUGGGCUUAGGACCCACAGUACUAUGAACGACUAAUGAUGAUUGAGAAACACAAGUUCUCCGACAUUAUCAAAUUAGGUGAAAUGAUUGAAGAAGGUAUCAAAAGCGGUAUGGUUACAAACUUUGAGGCCUUACAGGCUACAAAUAAGGCCUUAUAGUCCGGUGGUGUGUCCAAAAAGAGGGACGUAAGGGUCGUGAUGGUUGCACAAAGGACCAAGUCUCCCCUUAAAUACCAACUUACCCAACACCUCCACUCUCAUACCAGCCAACCCCAAAUUACCAAGCACCCUCACCCUCGUACCAAGCUCAACUACCAGCUUAUCAGUUACCCCACCUCCUACGGAUCAACCUACUUCACUCAGAUACUCCCAACCCGCUCAUGUCUACCAAACCUAUAACGCUCAACCAUCCCACUAUCAAUCACCUCUUGCACGCCAAAACUUCCUUAGACCCUGACCUAAUUUUGAUCGCAUACCUCCAAAAUAAUAUAUAGCCAUCGCUGAACCCAUCAACCAGUUGUAUGAGCGACUCAAAGCUGCUGGUUAUGUCACUCCCAUCCCUGCUGCAACCCCUGAGAAUCCUUCUCAGUGGGUUAACCCAAACAAAUCCUGUGCAUACCACUCCGGCAUAAAAGGGCACACCAUCGAUGAAUGUCGUUCAUUGAAAGACAAAAUCCAGUCAUUGAUUGACAACAAGAUCAUUGUGGCAAAAAAACCCUGCUCCAAAUGUCCGCAACAACCUUCUGCCAGACCAUAAGAGUGGGGGCAUCCACAUGAUUCAAAUAGAAGAUGACUGGGAUCCCGAGGGAUCAAUCGGGUUGAUUGCAGAAGGUGAUGACCCAAAGAAACCAACGAUUACUCUCAAUACAAUCAUAGUUCAGAUCCAACCAUCUAAGGACACUGAGGUGAAUACAUUGGUACCACUUGAGUUUGAAGUAGCACCAUCCGUAAAAACACCAGCACCAAUUGAGGUUUAAUUCAUGCCUCCAACAAAUGCACCCGCACCAUUUGAGGUUGCAGUUUUGCCACCCAAAGCACAUGUUUCGAUAGCUGUGCCAAUCCCAAUGGCGAUGUUAACUAUGACACCAUUCUAUACAAAUGUUGUACCCUGGGACUAUAUAGCUGAGGCAAGAAGGAAAGGCAAGGUCAGGUUCGAAGAAACUAUCACUGUACAGGGUAUGACAAGAACUGGUAGAGUCUAUACCCCUGAACACCUAGCUGAAUCAAGCAAGUAGGCCUCCAAUUGGCCACUCCUCAUUGAGACAGGCCCGAACAAUCUUUGGAAGAAGAUACAGGCCAAGGAAUAUUCGAUCAUCGACCAGUUAAACAAGACGCCAACACAAAUAGCCAUUGUCUCUUUGCUGCAAAACUCUGAGGCACACAAGAACGCUCUGUUAAAGGUGCUAAGUGAGGCAUACAUACCAAGUAACAUCACUGGCGGGAAAAUAGCUAACAUGGUAGGACAAGUGCUAGAAAGCCAUAAGAUCACCUUUGAUGAGGACGAGCUGCCACCUGAAGGGUUGGGAGACAACAAAGCACUGCACAUCACCGUGCAAUAUGAAGAUUAUUUCAUCACCAGAAUCCUGAUUGAUAGAGGUUCCAGUCUCAACAUUUGUCCGCUGGUAACCCUCAAGAAGCUGGGUAAAGGACUAAAAGAGAUAAAAGACGGAGCAAUCAAUGUGAAAGCCUUCGAUGGUUCUCAGAGGUCCACCAUUGGUGAGAUUAUUCUAUGCUUGAAGAUGGGACUAACAUGGUUCGAGGUUGAUUUCCAGGUGAUAGAUGUACCAGCAUCUUAUAACUUGUUACUAGGAUGGCCGUGGGUUCAUGCUGCUGGGGCCAUAGCAUCAACGCUGCAUCAAGCAGUAAAGUUCGAAUCGAAUCACCAGGAAGUGAUCAUUCACGGCAACAGUAGCAACCCUAUAUACAGUCACCAGACCAUUCCGGCAAUCGAGGGUAGAAGGUAGCUAGGUGGAGAAACUUACCACCACAUCGAACAGGUCAAUGUUGUCGACAAAGACAAAUGGUGGGAUAACAAAAUCAAGAGUAUACUGAAUUGGAGUAGGUCCGAACCUGGAAAAGGGCUCGGAAAGAACCUCCAAGGAAUCUCUAAGCCCAUAAAACUCAAGAAACAUGGCACUACUUUCGGUUUGGGAUAUGAUUACACAAGGGAAGAAUUCAAUAACUGGUCACCACCAUGGUGAGGUCCUUACUAUCCACUGGAGCAGCCAAUACUGCAUAUGGAGUAGAAUUUCCAACAAGUUGAUGUUAUUUAUGGUUUAGACGAAGAAAAAACACUUGCAGCAGUGAAGAACUUGUUUUUAGAGGACAGUUAUAUGGACUGUUGUGUUAUUCUCGAGGAGGAGGGGGAGGAAGGCCCUUCCAUAUAGGCUGUGAGCAGAGGUGCACAUCUCAAUAAUUAGACCAUCAAGACAACCAGAGCCCGAUGAGCCUCGGGGUAGCAAGGCUAAAAUAAGCAUCAUUCACUGUUUUAUUUAAUAAAUGAUUUUCUUUUCGUAUUUUCAAUUCCCGCAAUAAGAUCUUCAAUGUUCAAAUCAGUUUUGCAAUUUAUCAAAAGCAUUUUGACUUUUCUUAUGAAUCAACACUUAUUACUAUUGUUUUCUCUCAUUACUUUACUUAUACAACAUUACUAUUACUUGUCUUGAUGAACCAAUGACUGGGACAUGCAAUGAGACAACGCAACAAAUGGACAUUGAUUCAGAGGAAGAUGACAUACCUGACGAGAUUGUCAAGGAAGUUGAGAACUUUGAGAAAAAACCUAAGUCCAUCCUGGACGACACCGAAAUUGUCAACCUGGGAGAUGCAGAAAACGUCAAGGAAACACGAAAACGUUCACCUAUUGCCAUUAGAAAAGAAAGAAUACACUGAAGUUCUAAAGGAAUAUGAGGACCUAUUCGCCUGGUCGUAUGAUGACAUGACUGAUAUGAGUACGUCUAUUGUGGCUUACAAACUGCAAAUCGAUCUAACGUGUCCACCUGUAAAGCAAAAGCUCAGAAAGUUCAAACCUGAUAUGACUCUGAAAAUCAAGGAAGAAAUCACCAAGCAGGUAAAAGAUAAGGUUCUCAGGGUAGUAGAAUACCCGACAUGGCUAGCCAACAUUGUGCCAGUGCCAAAGAAGGAUGGGAAGGUCAGAGUUUGUGUCGACUACUGGGAUCUCAAUCGGUCCAGUCCGAAAGACGACUUCCCUUUGCCGAAUAUACACAUCCUAAUUGACAAUUGCACCAAGCAUGAGCUGCAGUCAUUUGUAGAUUGCUUCGCUGGUUUUCAUCAUAUUUGGAUGGAUGCAGAAGAUGCUGAGAAAACAACUUUCAUUAUGCCGUGGGGAAUGUACUGUUACAAGAUGAUGCCGUUCGGCCUGAAGAAUGUAGGGUCCACCUACAUGAGGUCCAUGACUACCAUUUUCCAUGAUAUGAUACACAAGGAGAUAGAGGUAUAUGUGGAUGAUGUUAUUAUCAAAUUCAAGAAGGCCACUAACUAACAUGGAAGAUCUGAGGAAGUUCUUCAAUACACUGAGAAGGUACAACCUGAAACUAAACCCCGCAAAGCGCGCAUUUGGGGUUCCUGCUGGGAAAUUUCUUGGGUUUAUUAUGAGCCGCCGAGGAAAAAAACUGGAUCCAUCGAAAGUCAAAGCCAUUCAAGAACUGCCACCGCCAAAGAACAAGACGGAUAUGGUGAGUUUCCUGGGAAGGAUCAUAGCAUAGUAUACGGUUAUCUGUGAGCCAAUCUUUAAAAUGUUGAAGAAUGAUGCCGCUACUGAAUGGACCGAUGACUGCCAAAAGGCUGUCGACAAAAUCAAGGGGUACUUGUCAACACCACCAAUCUUAGUCCCGCCCGAGCUAGGUAGACCCUUAUUACUCUACCUUGCAAUAUUAGAUGGAGCUUUUGGCUGCAUUCUAGGGCAGCAUGAUGAAACAGGGAGGAAGGAACAAGCCAUUUAUUAUCUCAGUAAGAAGUUCACCCCGUAUGAGGACCGAUAUUCUCUAUUGGAACGCACCUAUUGUGCUUUGACUUGGGUAGCUCAGAAGCUGAGACAUUACUUCUGUGCCUAUACCACAUAUCUCAUAUCGAGAAUGGAUCCUUUGAAGUACAUCUUUCAGAAGCCCAUGCCUACCAACAAGCUAGCCAAGUGGAAAAUCCUGUUGAGUGAGUUUGACAUUGUUUACGUAACUCAGAAAGCAGUCGAGGGACAGACACUGGCAAACCACCUUGCUGAAUACCCCAUGGAUGGAGGAUACGAACCCAUGAAAAUGUAUUUUCCUGGUGAAGAGGUAUCAUUCAUAGGAGAAGACAUUGUAGAAUCCCAUGAUGGUUGGAGAAUGUUUUUUGAUGGAGCAACAAACUUCAAAGGAGUUGGCAUAGGAGCAGUCCUUGUAUCAGUAACCAGUCAGCAUUAUCCGGUGUCUGCCAAACUCAGGUUCCCAUGAACCAACAAUAUGGCCGAGUAUGAAACCUACAUCUUAGGACUCAAAAUGGCCAUUGACAUGAACGUUCAAGAGCUGUUAGUAAUAGGAGAUUCAGACUUACUUAUAAUCAGGUAUGAGAAGAAUGGGUAACCAAGAACUCCAAGAUACUCCCGUAUCUGCAUCAUGUAGAGGAGUUGAGAAAGAGGUUCACAAAGACGGAAUUCCAACAUAUUCCCAGAAUCCAGAAUGAGUUCGCCGAUGCAUUGGCUACCCUAUCAUCUAUGAAACAACAUCCAGACAAGAAUUUCAUUGAUCCCAUUCCAGUGAAAAUCCAUAAUCAACUAGCUUACUUUUCCCAUGUCGAAGAGGAAGUAGACGGAAAGCCUUGGUUUCAUGAUAUCAAGGAAUAUUUGGCAAAAGGAGAGUACACGGAGCUUGCUAAUCCUAUUUAAAAAUGCACACUUUAGAGAUUGUCCAACAUAUUCUUUCACAGCGGAGGAAUCCUGUAUAGGAGGACCCCUAAUUUAGGAUUAUUAAGAUGUGUCGACGCAAAGGAAGAAUCCAAGCUGCUAGAGGAGAUUCAUGUGGGGACUUGCGGUCCACAUAUGAACGGUUUUUACUUAUCAAAGAAGAUACUCUGGGUUGGUUACUUUUGGAUGACUAUGAAAACAGACUACAUCCAGUAUGUUCGGAAAUUCCAUCGCUAUUAGAUUCAUGCAAACAUGAUAAAGGUACCUCCGAGCGAGCUCAACAUAACCAGCUCACCAUGGUCGUUCGCUGCCUGGGUAAUGGACGUUAUUGGACCAAUCGAGCAUGCCGCUUCCAACGGACACACGUUUAUCCUAGUAUCCAUCGACUAUUUCACCAAAUGGGUCGAAGGAACAUCUUACAGAGUAGUAACUAAGAAAGUCGUGGCAGACUUUGUCCGCGACCGCAUUGUUUGUCGAUUCAGGAUUCUGGAGUCAAUCAUUACUGAUAACGGCUCCAACCUCUACAAUGACUUGAUGAAAUCUAUGUGUGAGACUUUCAAGAUCAGACACAAGAAUUCCACAGCCUACAGGCCUCAGAUGAAUGUAGCUUUAGAAGCCGCCAACAAGAAUAUCAAGAAGAUAUGAUAGAAAGGCAUAAACAGUGGCACGAGAAGUUAUCAUUUGCUCUAUUGGGGUAUUGCACCACGAUCCGCACAUCAACCGGGGCAACCCCCUAUAUGCUGGUUUAUGGUACAGAGGUUGUCAUUCUAGCUGAAGUAGAAAUUCCUUCCCUAAGGAUCAUACAGGAAGUUGAGCUCGACGAUGCAUAGUGGGUGAAGAGUUGUUAUGAGCAACUAGCCCUUAUAGACGGAAAGAGAAUGAAUGAAGUUUUCCAUGGCCAACUCUAUCAGAACAGAAUGUCCAGACACUUCAACAAGAGAGUCAAGCCAAGACAGUUCACACCGGGGCAGCUGUUGCUAAAGAAAAUUUUUCUGCAUCAAGAUGAAGCCAAAGGGAAGUUCUCUCCUAACUGGCAGGGUCCAUACAUGGUUCAUCGAGUUCUGAUAGGAGGAGCCCUCAUACUUGCAGAAUUGGAUGGAGAAGUCUGGCCAAAACCGAUUAAUUCAUAUGCAGUCAAGCGUUACUAUGUGUAAUCUUUAUGCUUUCUUUAUAUGAUGUAAAUUGAAUUAUGCCUGACCUGAUUCCCGCUUAGGAGGGGAUAUAUAGGUAGCCCCAUAGAUUCAGUCACAACAUAAUUAAAAUUCCAUCCCCCCCCCCCCACCCGCAAUUAGGAACUGGGGCAAAAUUUUGAGGAGGACUCUCAAAAUUCCGAAGUAAGUCGAUCGCCGCACGAGCAACAGUUAGAAACGUCAACCCAUCAAAUUGGGGCAGAAUUUUAAGGAGGACCCUCAAAAUUCCGUUAGCAACAGAGGUCGCAGUCAUCAGUUCAUCUAAAAAUUAUUUUAAUUAUACACUUAUGCCAUAUCUUUACAAAAUCAUACAUGUUUAUUAUUGAAACUACUUUGUUUAGCAAUGCUACCCCAAGGAUACAAACAAUAUCACCAGAUCAAAGCCGUACGAGUCAAGCAAAGCUAGCAGGGAUACGAACUAACCUUCCCCCCCUUACAAAACUUACGAUUUUUUGCUUUGGAUGCAGGCACUAGGAUUGCGAAAUCAUUAAACAUACUGUACGCCCAUGGAAUAAAUAUUGUUCAAGAGUACAACUCUCCGAACCGUUGCACUUGCCAACAUUUGCUAUCAGCACACACGAAUAAUGCCCCGUAGUCACAAUGCUCCCAGUAAUCACAAUGCCGUGAUCUGCUAUUAGCUAAGAAAGCUCUACUAUCAUUCGUUAUUUUAUUUUCUUGCAUAAGGCUACCAUUCUGCCUUCCGAGACUAAAUGAUGUCUCCAUCUGCAUCUGCAUUGCAUAAGGCUACUAUUUUGCCUUCCAAUCUGCAUAAGGCUACCAUUCUACCUUCCGAGGUUAAGCUCUACCUCCAUCUGCAUUUCUGCAUCGCAUAAGGCUACUAUUCUGCCUUCAAAUCUGCAUAAGGCUAUCAUUCUGCCUUCCGAGACUAAAUGUUGUCUCUAUCUGCAUUUAUGCAUCGCAUAAGGCUACCAUUCUGCCUUCCGAGGUUAACCUCUACCUCCAUUUGCAUUCACAUCUUUGCAUAAGGCUAUCAUUCUGCCUUCCAAGGCUAAGCUUUGCCUCCAGUUUUCUUCGAAAUUAAGCGCCAUCUCCAAGCACUAUUUAUUUCUGUUUUCCUAAGCUCUACCUUUCAAAUCGCAAGACUGAGCUCUAUCUUGUCCACAUCAUACUACUUCAUCUUUCAUGGGCUGAAAUAUCGCCAAUUCAUCCAAAGGCAUCAUCCUUCGGAUGCACCAUCUUCAUAGCCCGAGAACCCCAUGUCAUGGCCUGAGGAUCUCUUUCAAUCUUUUGCAUAUCAUUAUUCAAAGGCAUCAUGGUUCGGAGGCACCAUCCUCAUAGCCCGAGAGCAUCAUUUCAUGGCCUGUGAAUCCUUUGUCAUACGCUUCAUGGCCCAGGACAUCAUGGUCUAAAGAUAUCAUCCUAACCAUCCAAAGACAACAUUCAUGGUCCGACGGGAAUUUGCAUCAUGUUUAAAUUUAUGCACAAUAUACGCUUGUAUUAUUUCUAAUUGCAGGUAAACCAGUGAGCAACGGCCAUCCGGAAGUAGUGGUCCCACUCUGGUUCCCCUAAAACAUGUCAAACCUAACCAGUCCUGUAAACCGUUCACUCACCCAGCCCAAGAUAUUGCGUCCGUUCUAGAAAGGUCUUCAUCGGUAUACUCUGUCGUUGGAUCCUGAACUAUAUACGGACUGAUUCCUGUAAAACCAAGGAUAUGUAUGCAGCUCAGAAGCUAGGGCGCGACAUAACCUCUUCAAACCAUUUCGCUCGGUCAAAAUUGACUAUCAUUUCUUUACCCGAAAACUCUUUCAUCCUUAUUCACGAGUAAAGAGGGGCAGCUGUUGAUACCCAAUUUUUUCCUAUAUAUUUUCAAUAUGAAAAAUGACUUCAAAAUAGCAUAUAUAUGCAUAUAUAAUCAUGUCAAGUGUUUUAUUAUUUUUCCCAUAUUUUUUAAAGUUUUUAAAUUGAUUUAUUUCCAUUUGUUAUCAAUAAAAUCCCAAUAAUUAUUUCCAAAAUUAUUAUUUUGAUAAUUCAUUUAUUGGAUUUUUAUAUUUAUGAAAAAAUAUGGACAAGGUAAUUUUACAUAUUUUUUACAAUUUUAUUUAGUAUUUUUAAAGCUAAAUUACAUAUAAUUGCAAUACUAGCCCUUUAUAAGGUUUAAUUAGGUUUUAUAUAUUAAAAUUGGGUCCUGUAUUUUUAAAUUGUUAGUUAUGUGUUAUAUAUCAUUUUAGCCCUUUCAAUUUAGUUUUCACAAACUAUUUACUAUUUUUAUAAAUUAAAAAGGAAAAACUGGCUAUUUAAAUAACAACCCCUUUUGUAUUACAAUUCUAGCCCAAAUUGGACCCCAAUUCCCCCAGCCCAGUUUUAAUUCUAACCUGACCCUAACCCUUUUUAACCCUACCCAAACCCGGAUCCCCACCUACCCCAUUUAAUCUAUGUCGUUGAUCAUUCAAAUCAACGACCACUAUUCCACCUGCCCAAAAUAAACCUAAACGACCCCCUUAACCUAAUUCAUUUCUACCAACCCGUUGCCCUUGAAUCCCUCUCCUCUCAAACCCACUCUGAAACCUAAGGUUAUCCCUAGCCGCCGCCACCCAAAUCCACCCUAAACCCCUUCAGCCCCCACCCAAUCCAUGGACUCCCAUGGCUGUUUGAGACGUGUACUUGUCUCCUAUGUCCCAUGGUGGCCCGCUUGUGUGAUUUCAUGGACAAAUCUCGAAGAGAUCUGGUCCAGUCCUUGCUCAACUCCUAUCCAUGGCCUCUUUCCAGCCAUCCAUGGUUGUUCGAGUCAGAUCUUUGACUUUUCCAGCUAGAUCGGUACCCUUUCGAAGUCUUUCUCAUCUUUCUGGGUUCUCCGAAACCCUAACUUCAAAGGCUUUCUAAUUUUCUUUCAGAUAUGUCUUAGAUCUAUGUAUGUUAUGAACCUUUCAAGUGUUCUCCUUAAAGGUUUUCCGAUUUUUUCAAAAUGACUCUUCGUCUUUAAUGAUUAGGGUUUCUCAACCUCUUUUAAAAGAUCUCUUCUCCAAUUUUCCGUGUUGUUUUAUGAUUUUACUUUGUUUAAAUGAUUUGUUCAUGUUUUUCUUCUACUUGGUUCAUCGUGUUAAAACCCUAGGUAUUUUUAGUUUUAUCCAGGUUCUGAAGCUGUCUUUGUUUAUUUGAUUUGUAUGUAUACCUGUUUCGAUUGAGUUCUUUUUGUUUAGAUCAUUUUCAUUGUUUAUCUUAACUGAUUUUGAGUUCUCACCGCUUUUUUAACUCAACUUUGUUAAAACCCUAAUUUCUUAAAAGGUUUUCCUCACUCAUUACUGCAAAAUUUAAAGGGUUCUUUACUUGUUUCUGACCUUCUUACCUGUUGGUUUGGUUUUUCACUCUGGUUCUAUGUGACUACUUGACUUUGUUAACUACCAUGCUUCGAGUAGGUUCUUUUACUACUGAGUCCUAGCCGACUCCUGCUACUACUGCAUGUUUGUGUUGCUUCUUUUGUCAAUAUGGUUGGUCUUGCAUGUCUGAUACUCUUGUUCAUUCUUCUCUAUUUAUAUGGCAAAGUGCAGAAUCAUGAUUCUUUCUUGAUUGAUCUUGAUUUCCUCAAGUUACGACUGACUGCAAAGGUUUUCUUAUAAACCCCUAAUUCUACCGGUUUGUUUGAGUUGAUUGAUUCCUUUUCUUUAUUUGUUGUGAUGUUGUACCCCUGCUGAAUCCCUUCCCCAAUUAAGUAUAUUUUAUACUUAGACUCAAUUAUUUACUCUAUACUUUUAAUAUCCCAUAUAUGGUCAGAAAUCAAUCUUUCUCAAAUUGGUUUUCUUUCCUUAAUUAUUCAUGUCAGUAUCCGUUUGAACAUUAAUUCCUUGAUUAAAGGAAAUGACUUGUAUUAAUUGAUUCUGAUUGUGAUUAUUUCCAUGUUUGUAUUAAAAAUUUACUUGUUACCUUAUUUACUACUCGUUUUCAAAACUAUAAAUACCCCACCCUCUCUUCUCUAAGGACAAGAACAACUGAGUUCAAAAACACACUUACACAUUAAAAUUCUCUUCCUUUCUCUACUACUUUUGCCACUGCCUUGUCAAGCCGAUUGAAAGCCAAGGCUAGACUUUGGAACUCUGAUUGCUUUACUUUUUCCGCACUUUGCUCCUUCAACUGGUAUGUUCCUAGUUUAAAUUCUGAAACCCAAACCUAUGUGUUCCCUUGUUGUCAAUCACUGUCUUUUUCUAACUUAAUGGCUCAUGCUGUUGAGUUGUACUAUUUGUUUUUUCCUUUACUCAGCAUGCUUAAAAUUCUGCCUUUCUUUAAAUGUGAUCAGCAUAUUUACUUGUUCAUGUUUAUGUCCUUCAACUAGCAUGUCUAUAAUGUACCUAAUCCUUGACUAAUUGUUUGUUUCUGAUUUGGGUCCUCUAUGUCCCCAACCCCCAUUCCCUGUCCGUAAUUGCUGAAGCAUGUAAUUCUCUCUGAACUGGUUCUGUGUGUAUUGUUGUUGCUCCUACUCCAUUUCCCUUUUCAAAAAACUGUUUCAUUAGGCAAUUCUAAUGAUGUUUUACAAACUCACUUCAAACAUAUUAUUUCUAAAACUAUUUUCCAACUCAACUCCUUUGAGUAUAUGUCCAUCACUUUCACAUGAAUUCUUAGAUCAUUAGAUUCUGCCCCUCUUGUGUGAGCCUUGCUUUGGGACCCUUGAGCUCCCUAUGAACCUGGACACAUAAGGGUAGGCUCUUCCACACUGCACUUACUCUUGGUUAUGCAAUCUGGGUGUGACCACUGCCCGAAAUCCCUUGAGGUCCUUAGGGAACUCUGACACACCCAUGUAUGAGAAUGGCUUUGGAACAAUAUUGACAUUUGAAGUGGUUUAUUACAUAACUCAGAGAGGAAGUCAAGAUCAUACUUCCUAUGGUUGUAAUUUCUUAUUUUUGCAUUUUUUUAUGUAAUUUAAUCAUUUGGGAUAUAAUAAUUUGUAAACAACUCUGGGAUGGAUAGUGGAAAGGAAAAGGGUGACUAUGUAUGCUUUAGCUAUCAAAAGGGUAGAAAACAUGUUAUUAUGUUUAUAUCCUACUUGCACAAUAGAAACCAUGCUUAGGACUCAUUUCAUGCAUUAGAGAUCAUGUUCCUUAGGACUUAUGCUUACUGUUUUCAGCAUGUCCAUUUCACUAUCGCAUCACUUAGAAAAUCCUGCGUUAAAUGUCUUAAUAACCAUUGUUUCUGUGAUCAUGUUCUUACUGCCAUGCACACUUAGAGAUCCUAUCUUAGGCUAAACAACACUAACAAACUUAUCAUCUCUGCAUAUUCUGGUAAUCAUGUUUAAACGCUAUAAUAUUUGUGCAUAUAGAAAUCCUGUUUAGGAUUCUGCAUCAUUCUACAUAUCUGUACAUUAGAUACCAUGUCUUUAGGAUUUCACUUAUAUUCGCUUAAGCAAGCUUAGGCUAACAAUGAAUAAAACAAUUUUACUCAGUUUUAUAAUCAAUGGCAAUAAUUCUAUGUGUUGAACACCUAGAACAACAUGUUUUAGGUAAUAAUAGCUCCAAAUUGUCUCAGCAAUCCUGAAUAAUUACUGAAUAUUGCUUAUGCCUAGGCAAGCCUUAGUUAAUUACUUAAAUAAAACUAAAACUACCUCUGUUUAAUUCUUAACUGCUACAACCAGCAGGCAGGCCUGAUUCAGACUUCUUUUCUGCGUUAUAUAAUGAAUCUGGUUCUGACUUAAACACCCUGCUUAGGAUUUUUAAAUUCAGACCUCAACUGUGUAUAAGUAAUGCUAUCUAUGUGCAUUCUUUGUGGAGGUAUAAUUGAGCCUUCUACUUGCUUAUAUGUUCCCCCCUAAUUGCAGUCUUAUAUGCUUUUGUAUGUCGCCUUAGUAUUUUUCCUUUAAACCUGAGAAUCUUCCUAGAACCCCCUCCUUAUAGGAAUAGUAGUCCUAAAAUUCCUCCGGGACUGAUAGAAAGGGACGGGUUCACCGAUUGGUGACCUGAUCCCGCUAAACAAGAACUGCUACCAACACCGACUCUAUCUUAACGACCGGUUUGCCCCUGGACAUUCCGCUAAGUCUAGCUGACAAGUUUCCUUUCUUCACUCUGUAAACAAAACAAGCCCUUAGUCAAGAGAUUAGGAUGCGAGGAAAGGGAAAGAAGGUGAUAAGCAAGAAGAGGAAAGAAGAAUGUUAAAGAAGUCCCUAUAAGUACUUCACUUAGUCUUUCUAUAAUCUUUGUUCCCCUCUUCCCUCAAAGCGUGCUCUAUCAUCCAUACACAUGGUUCUUUCUCCUUUGAGGGAUUGGAAACCGUCUCUCCUUCUUAUUGAUAGCAUUGAUCUCAGCCCUCGCUGGGCAAGUUCACUCUUUCUGCUGUUGUUCCGGGGAAAGAAGUCGAAUUUGGGAAGGUGUGGAUCCUCGAUUCGAGUUUUGAAAUGGAGUUUCGAUUUGGUGAGCAGGAAAAAGCGGAACAGAAGAAAAUGAGUCUCGUACAAAGGGUUGGAAAGAAGGCUUUUACCUUAUUUUAGGUGGGUUAAUGCGGACAAUGAAAAGACAGAAAGGAGCGAAUGAUGCCAACCAACUCGACAAAGACAUUCAAAUAUGAAAAAGAUAAAUAAAGACAUGUUAAGCUUGUGUUUUCCCAGCCGACUCGCACAUGACCGUCUUUUUUUUGAUUGAAGAGUGGACAUUGAGAUGUGCAUACAAAGCAUAGGCUAGACAAGUGGUACACUAAACACCAACCCAAUCGUGAGAUUAUAAAUCAAGACGAAAGGUCGGAUGUACUUGUUUAGGUCAGGUCUACUUUUGGUCAUUCUUCUCUCUGAAAAAUAGAAUAUUGCUCAAAGAAAGAUGCCUAACCGCCGCACCAAUCAUUCGGGGGGAGGCGGGACACUACGAGGUGGGUAGUUUAUUUGGGGUGGAUGCCUCCUAAAGAGUAACGAAGGUAUGCGAAAGUAGGCUCAAGCUAAGAUUCUGCUCGUGAGCGUAAUGGUAUGAGCCUGCCUGACUGUGAGAUCGACUGGUCGAACAGAGAAGAAAGUCGGCCAUAGUGAUCCGGGAGUCCCGUGUGGAAGGGCUCUCACUCUAUAGAUCAAAGGUACACCGGGGAUAAUAGGUUGAUGACUCCCAAGAGCUCUUAUCAAUGGAUUCGUUUGGCACCUGACCAAGUCAGCUCACUUCCUGCCGAUCAGUAUGACUUACUCUACGGGCAAGCUAUCCCAGAUAUAUAUUGAUGAGAUAAUGGCAGCAUGCAAUAAUAGUCGAGACCAACCAUCUCUCUAUUACUUAAGCCUUACAUGGUUAUUUGCUAAUUGCACAAAUUCACAAAAACUGUCUGGCCGGGAACCACACUAGUGGAUCCUGAAAGGUGCCUAAUACCUUCCCCUUAGGAUAAUUUCAAGCCCUUACCCUAUCUCUGGUUAUCCAAACAUAGUUGUAGUUGAACCUUAUAGGUGCCCUAACGCACCUUAAAAUCAUUAGGUGGCGACUUUUCAAACACCAAUUCCCAAAAGGAAAUGAGUCAUCACACCUCAUAAAUGUCGAAACCUAGACUCCUCUCCACUAGAAGGGGAUAAAGAGGGGCGCGACAGCAACACUAGAACCAAUAUGGUAGUCACUGUAUUGAGAUUCUGAAAGCUCGCCUCACAAUCAUCAGACCAACGAAACGGAGCACCCUUCUGGGUCAAUCUAGUCAAAGGUGCUACAAUGGAUGAGAAGCCUUCCACAAACCAGCGAUAAUAACCUGCUAACCUUAAGAAGCUCCCCAUCUCAGUCACCGAAGUGGGACGAGGCCAACUCUGAACUACCUCAAUAUUCUUUGGAUCCACCUUAAUACCCUCGCCUGAUACAACAUGCCCCAAGAAUGCUACAGAAUCUAUCCAAAACUCACACUUGGAGAACUUAGAAUAUAGCUUAUGCUCCCGCAAUGUUUGAAGCACCACUCUCAAAUGCUGCUCGUGCUCCUCAAUGCUACGCGAGUAGAUCAAAAUGUCAUCAAUGAAGACAAUGACAAACGAAUCAAUGUAUGGCCUGAAUGCCCUGUUCAUCAAAUCCAUAAUGUCGUUGCGGUCAAGCCGAAGGAUACCACUAGAAACUUAUAAUGGCCAUAUCUAGUACGAAAAGCAAUCUUCGGAACAUCAGAUUCCCGAAUCUUCAACUGAUGGUACCCCAAUAUCAAGUCAAUCUUAGAGAACACCCAAGCACCCUGCAACUAGUCAAACAAAUCAUCAAUACGCGGCAACAGGUACUUGUUCUUGAUGGUAACUUUAUUCAACUGGCAGUAAUCAAUGCACAUCCUUAUAGUCCCAUCUUUCUUCUUCACGAAUAACACUGGUGCACCCCAAGGUGACACACUUGGUCUGACGAACCCCUUUUCUAGCAACUCCUCAAGCUGCUCUUUCAACUCCUUCAACUCUUUCGGAGCCAUGCAGUACGGUAGGAUAGAUAUAGGGUGGGUACCUAGAGCCAAGUCAAUACAGAAAUCGAUAUGACAAUCUGGUGGCAUACCUGGAAGGUCAGAAGGAAACACAUUGGCGAACUCUUGGACUACGGGCACUGAAUUAAUCAUUGGAGUCUCUGCGGUGGUAUCUCGAACAUAAGCUAGAUAAGACAAAUACCACUUCUCGACCAAAUGUCGAGCCUUCAGAAAAGAGAUAACCCGACUAGAUGUACUAACAAACGAACCAUUCCACUCCAAUCUAGGCAACUCUAACAUCACUAAGGUAAUCGUCUUGGCAUGGCAAUCAGGAUGUCGUGAUAUGGGGAUAGCCAAUCCAUGCCCAGGAUGACCUCAAAGUCGAUCAUAUCAAGAAAUAAAAGAUCUGCUCUAGUCUCGUAACCACAAAAUAUGACCACAUAGGACCGAUAGAUCCGAUCCACAACAACCGAAUCGCCCACAAGGAGUGGAAACAUAAAUAGGAGUACCCAAGGACUCACGAGGAAUAUCCAGGAAAUGAGCAAACAGAGAUGACACAUAUGAAUAGGUAGACCCUGGAUCAAAUAAUACCAAAGCAUCCCUACUAUAGACAGAAAUAAUACCUGUGAUCAUGACAUCUGAGGCCACUAUAUAUGGUCUGGCCGGAAAAGCAUAGAACCUAGUUAGACCAUCGACUAGCGGGCCUCUGCCUGAUUGAAAAAUAGUUGCCUGACCUCCCCCUGCCUAACCUCCACCUCUAGGAUGACCCCUACCCGCUUGCCCUCUGCCUCUUAGCGGUCGGACAGCUGGUGUUGUAAUCAUGGGCUGAUGGCCCUACUGUACUGCCUUGCCUUGAAGUGUUGUAAUUAUGAAUCUGAUGCUCAUAAUGCACCUCAUGACAUAUAUAUGUCUUGUUACAACUCUUGCAAUACCGCUACGACAGAAGAGAUGUGUAGAAAUUCAUAACCAAAUGGCAAGUCAACAAAUCAUUGAAUCUCUCCUCUUGACUAGAAUCAUCACCCCAUUAUGAACCAAAUAAUGGUAUUUGCUCUUAAAUAUGCUUCAUAUAAUCUGAUCGCACUGAUCCCAGAUCCAAUAAUCUCAUCUCACCCAAUACAAGCUGCUCAGGGAAUAAGCCACUUCAGACAUGACCAAACGUCUCAUAUGAUGCCACAAUGUGCUAAUAAGCUACCAACUCGAAUGUGAUACAUAAGGAAAAUGAACUCUGGAAAAGACUACACAACCCACGUAACUAAUUAGACAACCAAAAAGGUGUUAUGAACCUUUCUUGGAAAAUGUGAAACAAAACACACAAGAAUAGAUAUAGGGGAUUGUACUCAACAGCAGAUUGUUGCGGCAUGCAACCCAAUCAACAUAUAAUACCGUUGUGGCGUGCAACCCGAUACAAGAACAUACCCAUGGUGGCGUGCCACCCGAUUCACCCAAAAAAUCUGUAUAAGGAGAUAAUUACCGAGGUAGAAUGUUCAUUACUACAAUAUACCCGAAUAUCAGCCAUAAGCAUGCCAAGUGCAUAAUACCAUUCCUAGGGAGACAGAUAGCACCAUACGCAAAACUCAAGCACAACUAAGGUGCAAUAUAUGAUCUGAAUCUCGAGAGCCAUCCUGCUUACAUAACACCAUCGCUACAUGGAACCUCAACACAUAUGAAAUUUAUCAAGUCGUUUCACAACUCAUACGGCACAAUAUAGUAUUACAUGAAAUAGCCGACGAUGAAACAACAUCCAACAUUGGAAUACUCCUCAGUAAGGAGUGCUAUGCUAAAAUGAAUACAUCCGGCUUGAUAACGAACCUACUCCAACUUCCAAAAAUUCAAUCCGACCCGAUAUCAAAAAGCCCACUCCCGGUCAAACUUUCCAAAUUUCCAACUUUCGGCAUUUCAAGUCUAAUUCUACUACAUACCUCCAAAAUACAAUCCGGAUGCGCUCCUAAGUCCAGAAUCAACUAGCAGAGCUAACGAAACCAUCAAAAUUCAAAUCAGAGGUCAUUUACACAUAAGUCAAUCCGAUCAAAUUUUCCAGCUUAAGCUUUCAAAUAAGAGACUAAGUGUCUCAAUUCACUCCAAAAUCUUGCCAGACCCAAACCAAAUAAUUCGGUAAGUCAUAAUACAGUUGUAGAAUACAAAAGAAAUAGAAAAUGGGGGUACAGGGCUACAACUCUCGAAACGACCGGCCGGGUCAUUAUAUCCUCCCCCUCUUAAAUAAAUGUUCGCCCUCGAACAGGUUUAGAAACGUACCUGGAGCGUUAAAUAGUUGUGGAUAACUAUUUUGCAUCUCCCGCUUGGUCUCCCAAGUAGCCUCCCCCAUGGACUGACCUCUCCACUGCACUUUAACUGAAGUUAUUUCUUUGACCUCAACUUCCGAACCUACCACCCAAAAUAGCCAUUGGCUCCACAUCAUAAGUCAAAUCACCAUCCAACUGAACCGCGUUGAAAUCCAAAACAUGAAAUGGAUCUCCAAUAAAGUUUCGGAGCAUAGAAACAUGGAAUACUGGAUGGGCACUCGACAAGCUAGGUGGCAAGGCAAGCUUGUAAGCCACAUCCCCAAUCCUCUAAAUUACCUCAAAAGGCCCAAUGAACGGAGGUGUCAACUUGCCCUUCUUCCCAAACCUCAUAACACCCUUCAUGGGUGAAACCUUCAGAAGAACCUUCUCCCCAACCACGUAAGACAUAUCAAGAACCUUCCUAUUAGCAUAACUCUUUUGUCUUGACUGCACCGUGCGAAGUCGCUCUUGAAUGAAUUUAACCUUGUCCAAAGUACCCUGAACCAAAUCAGUGCCCAAUAGCCUAGCCUUGCCUGGCUCAAACCAACCCACCAGAGAUCUACAUUGCCUCCCAUAUAAACCCUCAUACAGAGCCAUCUAAAUACUAGACUGAUAACUGUUGUUGUAAGAAAACUCCGCGAGCAGCAGAAACUGGUCCCAUGAACCCCCAAAAUCAAUGACACAAGCACGUAGCAUGUCCUCUAAUAUCUGAAUAGUGCGCUAGGACUAUCCAUCCGUUUGAGGGUGAAAUAUUGUGCUCAACUUAACCUGAGUGCCCAACUCUCAUAGUAGGACUCUCCAAAACCGCGAUAUAAACUGCGUGCCUCUAUCUGAAAUGAUGGAAACUGGCACACCGUGCAGGCUAACAAUCUCUCUGACGUAAAUCUCAGCCAACCUAUCUAAAGAAUAGGCAGUAAUCACAAGAAUGAAGUGCGCGGACUUGGUCAGCCGAUCCACAAUCAUCCAAAUAGCAUCAAACUUCCUCGAAGUCCGUUGGAUCCCAAAUACAAAAUCCAUGGUGAUCCACUACCACUUCCACUCUAGAAUCUCUAUCUUCUGAAGUACCCCCCGGUCUCUAAUGCUCAUAUUUUACCUGCUGACAGUUGAGACACCGAGCUACAAACCCAACUAUAUCCUUCUUUAUUCUCCUCUUGCAAUAGUUUUGUCUCAAAUCCUGGUACAUCUUCGCGGCACCCGGAUGGAUGGAAUAUCGCUAGCUGUGGGCCUCCUUAAGAAUCAACUCCCAUAACCCAUCUACAUUGGGCACACAUAUCCGACCCUGCAUCCUAAACACCCCAUCAUCUCCAAUAGUCAUAUCUCUGGAAUCACCGUGCUGAACUUUGUCUUUGAGACCAAGCAAAUGAGGAUCAUCAUACUAGCACUCUCUGAUGCAAUAAAAUAAGGAAGAUCGAGAAACCACACAAGCUAGAGCCCAACUGGGUUACGAAAUAUCCAGUCUCACAAACUGGUUAGCCAAAGCCUGAAUAUAAACUACAAGAUGUCUCUCCCCAACAGGAAUGAAUGCAAGACUUCCCAUACUCACCUUCCUACUCAAGGCAUCGAGCACCAUAUUAGCCUUUCCUGGAUGAUAUAGAAUAGUAAUAUCAUAGUCAUUUAGCAGCUUUAGCAGCCCCAACCAUCUCCGCUACCUCAAAUUGAGAUCCUUCUAUUUGAACAAGUGCUGGAGGCUACGAUGAUUAGUAAAUAACUCACAAGACACACCAUAGAGAUAGUAAAUCCAAAUCUUCAAUGUGUGAACAAUGUCAGCUAACUCCUAAUUAUGAACAUGGUAGUUCUUAUCAUAAGGCUUCAACUGAUGCGAAGCAUAAGCAAUCACCCUACCCUCCUGCAUCAAAACUCAUCCAAUAUCGAUAUGAGAAGCAACACAAUAUACAAUAUAAGAACAAGAAGCUGAUGGUAGAACUAGAAUUGGAGUUGUGCUCAAGGCAGCCUUGAGCUUCUGAAAGCUCGCCUCACACUCAUCUGACCACUUGAAAGGGAGAUGCAAUAUAUGAGAAACCCUGCAUGAACUGACGAUAAUAACCAGCCAAACUAAGAAAGCUCUGAAUCUCUGCAGCUGAGGAUGGUUUGGGCCAACUCUGAACUGCCUCUAUUUUCUUCCAAUCUACCUGAAUACCCUCACUAGACACCACGUGACCCAAGACCACUACGAAACUGAGCAAAAACUGACACUUGGAGAACAUAACAUAGGGUUUCUCCUCCCUCAAUCACUGCAAUACAACCCUCAAAUGCUAAUGCUCCUCCUAGCUACGAGAGUACACCAGAAUAUCAUCAAUCAACACAAUAACGAACGAGUCAAAAUAAGGCCGAAACGUGUUGUUCAUUAGAUGCAUAAACGCUACUAGGGCAUUGGUUAGCCCAAAAGACAUCACAAGGAACUCAUAAUGACCAUACCGGGUCCUAAAAGUUGUUUUAAAAAUGUUUGAGUCCCGAAUCUUCAGCUAGUGAUACCCAGACCUCAACUCGAUCUUGGAGAACACUCGCGCUACCUAAAGCUAGUCAAAUAGAUCAUUAAUACGAGGCAAAGGAUACUUGUUUUUGAUUGUGACUUUGUUCAAGUGCUUGUAAUCAAUGCACAUUCUCAUAGUACCAUCCUUAUUCUUCACAUAUAGAACCGGUGCACCCCAAGGUGACAUGCUAGGGCGUAUAAACCCCUUAUUAAGGAGUUUCUGAAGUUUCCCCUUAAAUUCGUUCAACUCCGCCGCUGCCAUACGAUAUAGUGGAAUAGAAAUGGGCUCAGUGCCCAGCACCAAAUCAAUACUAAAGUCAAUAUCCCUGUCCGGUGGCAUGCUUAGUAGUUCUGUAGGAAUCACAUCCAGAAAAUCUCGCACCACCGGAACAGAAUCAAUGGUAGGGGUCUCUGUACUAAAAUCCCUUACAAAGACAAUCCUUCGCAACCAUCCGCUAGGCCUUCAAGUAUGAAAUCAGUCUACUGGGAACAUAGUCCAAAGAACCUCGCCACUCAAUCUGUGGCAAACCCAGCAUUGCCAAUGUCACAGUCUUAGUAUGACUGUCCAGAAUAGCAUGACAUGGAGAUAGCCAAUCCAUACCCAAUAUCACACCAAAAUCAACCAUACUAAGCAACAACAAAUCAACUCUAGUCUCUAAUCCCCCAAUAGUCACUACACUCGACCGGUAUAUGCAAUCCACAAUAAUCGUAUCGCCCACCGAUGUAGAUACAUGAAUAGAUAAAACUAUAGACUCACGAGGCAUGUUCAGAUAAUGAGCAAAAUACGACGAAACAUAUGAAUAGGUGGAACUAGGGUCAAAUAAUACAGAAGCAUCUCGAUGACAUAAUGAGAUAAUACCUAUGGUCACUGUGUCUAAAGUAAUGGCAUCUGGUCUGGUAGGGACUGCAUAGAACAGUUUUGGUCACCACCUGAUUUGUCUCCCCUUCUAGGAACACCCCUAGCUGGCUGAGCUCCACCCUAAGAUGGCAGGGCGGGCGGUGAAGAAACUGGCGUUGAAGUUGAAGGUUGACUCCUCUGUUGAGAUGAACCUCCCGUAAGGUGGGGAUAGUACCUCUUGAUAUGACCCAAAUCUCCGCAAUCAAAGUAACCUCUCCCAACAAAUGGAGGUGGGUACUGAAGGGAGCCUCGAGCACCUGGAUAAUCGCUAGAAGGACCCGACAUAGACGGACCCUGUGCUAAUGGUGCAUGAGAUGAACUCUGAGUUGGAAGGGCACUGAGAGAUGAGUGACCUUGCUGAGAACUGUGGGUACCAUGACCAAAAGAUGCACCUCAGUGAACUGGUCGGGUCGUCUACGCAUGCCUAUAGGGACGACCCAUGCCAUGCUGGAACUGACCUCCAGAAGGAACACCACCAAAACUACCUGAUCCACGAGGCCUCUUGGCUUCCCUCUCAACUCGCUUUUGGUGACAAAUCGACUCUAUUUCCCAAGUAAUGUCAACCACCUCCUCAAAAGUAGCACCAGUCACCCUCUCUCUAGUCAUAAGCACCCAUAACUGAAAUAUGAGGCCAUCAACGAACCUCCCGAUCCUGUCUCUAUCUGUGGGAACCUACCAAAGAGCAUGACGAGCUAACUUAGAAAAUCUCAUUUCGUACUGCAUCACAGUCAUAUCAUCCUAAUGCAACUGCUCGAACUGUCUACGUAGCUCCCUCUACGAGACUGCGGCACAUACUUCUCCAAGAAGAGAAUAGAGAACUCCUGCAAUAUAAGUGGUAUUCCACCAACUAGCUUACGCCUCUCAUAAGCCUCUUACUAAGUGAAGGCAGCUUCAGUGAAUUGAAAAGAAGUGAACAAGACCCCACUGAUCUCCAGAAAACCCAUUGUACGGAGGAUCUUUUGACAUCUGUCCAAGAAACCCUGGGCAUCAUCUCCCUUUGCACCGCUGAAAAGUGGAGGCUAGAGCCUCCCAAACCUCUCCAAUCUACGCUGCUCAUCAUCAGGCAUGACAGGAACCACAUAGUCUCGGGCACCUGCAACUGAUUGGGCUAGUGGUACCCAUAAUGUCUAGAGUCCCUGGUCUGGUGUGCACCUGCUCUGGUGUGCAGGACGAGGGAGUUUGAGCAUCUCCCCCGGCCUGAGAAAUGGCUACUCCGGCCAGAACAGAGACCACAUGAGCAAGACUGGUGCACAUGGUGCAGAUCUGAGCCAAGGCCUCUUGAAAACCUGGAAUAACAAUGAGCACAGUUGGUGCCUGAGUUGGUCCCGCUAGGGCACCCCCAACUGAGACCUAAUCCUGAGCUAGUGCAACAAUUGCAUCUGCAGGUGUUGCUCUAGCUGCAUCUCUAUCCCUACCACGGCCUCUACCGUGACCUUGGCCUCUCGCGACCCCGACUGGUGGUACUGGUGGCUAUCCAUCCUGCCCAGUAACAUGUGUCCUCACCAUCUGUGAGAGAAUAGAAUAACAAAAGUUUAAUUACCAAAAUCAACAAAUUCACACGAUAAGAAUUCAGGAAUGUGAAGUUUCCUAAGGGUGCUGCAGCCUCUUGAAGAUAAGUAAAGACGUCUCUGUACCAAUCCGCAAGACUCUACUAAACCCGCUCAUGACUUAUGAGAGCUAUGUAACCUAAGCUCUGAUACAACCUUGUUACGACCCAAAAUCAACAGUCGUAAUUGCGCCUAUCGUGGAACUAGGCCAUCAUCUACUUAACAAUUCAUCACAGUAACAAUACUUUUAAAAAUAAAAAUGGAAGCAUUUAACAUUAAAGAAACCUUUUUGAAAACAGAAUAAAUCCCAACAUGAAAUACAGUCCAACCCAAAAUCGGGGUGUCACUAAGUAAAUGAGCGUCUAAAUCAAGAUACAGUCCACUACAAUGUCUAGAUAAAUAAACUAAAAAUACAACUAAUGAUAAAGAAAGAUAGUCAAGGCCUAUGAAUACUGUGCAGCUACCUUGAUAGUCUCUGAACUACAAAGUCUCAAUCAGUAAUUGCCGCCAUUACUAGAAAUGUCUGGAUCUGCACACGAGGUGUAGGGAGUAACGUGAGUACAUCCAAAUCAGUAAGUAAUGGGUCCAAACUUUAGACUGAAAGGUAGUGACGAACUCAACUAGUAAAGAUAAAGAGAAAUAAUUGUGCAGAAACUUAGGCGUGCUUUCAAAUUAAAUAGGCAGCUCAAAACAGUAAAGUAAAGCAGGUUUGAAUUGUAUAAAGAAUGCACUCUGCUAUCUGUACAUGCCAAUGGACAUGCUCUAUGUGAUGCACCAUGUUGUCCGCCUCAUGUGCUCUCUCUCUCAAAGGUUCAACCAUUCAGUACUGUAUAUGGCCCAUACGGCCAAAGGAAGCUCCAUCCCGAAACAUAUAUAUCACUGACUAUAAGUCACUCAGUACCAAGGAAGUCCAAUCCAACCCUAUGGAGAAGAUUCACCUCCAGGUAUCAAGUACUUCGGACAAGAUCCAUGUCCAGGGAAGAUCCAUCCCUCAAUAAUAUCAACCGCGCUCACUGGGGGUGUGUACAGACUCCGUAGUUGCUCCUACAGCCCAAGCACUAUCACAAAUCAGUAUAACUGCUGCAGCGUGCAACUCGAUCCCAUAACUGUCACUCAUAAUCAGGCUCUCGGCCUCACUCAGUCAUGAAUAUCUCUAGUCUUAUACACAGGCUCUCAAUGUCAUGAAAACUAACCCAAAACAAUGAUAUGAUGUAUCAAUAAAUAACUGAGACUGAGAUACGAUAUAAAAAUGCAUGAAUAUUACUGAGUAAAGAAUAUCAAUGAAACCAGAGAGAUGACAGCAAGAAACAACUACUAAGGGUCCCAACAGUACCAGUAUAAAGCCUAAACUUAAUAUCUAACAUGAUUUACAACUCAAUUACUUUAUCACAAGAUGAAAACACGGAUAUCAACAAGAUAGAGUCAUUAUACGGUACCAUGGAAUCAACCAGGUCACAAUUCUCGUGGCGCACGCCCAUCACUUAGCAUGUGCGUCACCUCAACAACAAUCACAUAACAUAUAAUGCAGGGUUUCGAACCCUCAGAACCAAGUUUGAAAGCGUUACUUACCUCAAACCGAGCAAAUCUCUACUCCGAAAUGCCUUUACCUCUCUAAUUCGUCUCCAAACAUCCCGAAUCUAGCCAUAAGUAGUACAACACAAUCAAUAAAGGCUAAAGGGUUCAAUUCCACAAGAAAACUACUGAAUUAGAGCAAAAAUCCGAAAUCAGUUCAAACCCGCCCCCAAGGCCCACGUCUCAAAAUCCGACAAAAGUCACAAAAUCCGAAAGUCAUUUGUUCACGAGUCUAACCAUACUAAAUUUAUCAAAAUCCGACACCAUUUGGUCAUCCAAAUUCCCAAAAUUCACUCUCCAAUUAUGUGAUAACCCAAAAGGUCAUCACUUGUUUUGGAAGUAAAUUUUGUAUCUUGAGGCCUUAAAACAUCCUUUUUGUCACACCUUGAUUUGCAUGCGCAGUCCGGGCAUGUAUCCGAAAAGUCAUUAUGUGAAAAUCUGUGAAAAAUGAUAAAUUUUGCUUUUAAAAUGAGUUUAAGUUGACUUCGGUCAACAGUUUAGGUAAACAGACCCGGACCCAUGAUUUGACAGUCCCGGAGGGUCCGUAGAAAAAUAUGGGACUUGGGCGUAUGCCCGAAAUAGAAUUCCGAGAUCCCAAGCCCAAGAAAUGAAUAUUUGAAGAAAAUUGUUUAACUGAAAUUUUAAGAGUUUUUUGAAAUUUGAGUGUAUUUAAAAUUGAUGGUAUCGGGCCCGUAUCUUGGUUCUGGAGCCAGGUACUGGUCUUAUAUGGUGUUUAGGUUGAGCUUGUAAAAUUUGGUAAGAAACAGACUUGAAAUGACGUAAAUCGGACCCUCGGUUGUGAAAUUGAAAACUUAAGUGUUCUUGAGAUUUUUCUUUGAUUUUGAUGCUAAAUAUUUAUUUUUAUUUGUCAAAUUUUGGUUUUUAUUUCAUAAAAAAAACUGUCUUUACAUUCCCAUAUUAAUGCUGACCAUUAAUCUCCUAUUCACUAUUACAAAGGAAAACUAUACUAUACUGACUUUAGUUACAAGUUGCUAUACUAAGGAACAUUUUUUAAAUUUUCCAAUUCUGCUCGCCAUUUGAUCUUCUUUCUACCUUUUAUGUGUAUAUGUAUUGCAAUUUUCUUGUAGAGUUCAUCUAUGAUGAAUCUUCCUUUAUUAAAUCGCAUCGAAUUCCUUUCCCGUCAGAUGUAGUAGACAACCAUUGCAAACAAUGUUGUGAUCAUUUCUGCCCUGCAAUCUUUCCUCUUUGCCAUAAUACUUAUCCAUCUCAAUUCAUGCUGCCACCUUCCUAUCUGCCUCGCAUUGCCCGUCCAUAUCAAUACUCUUUCCCAUAGCUUAUUUGUACUUGGACAACCAAAGUAUAGGUGAUCAAAUAUUUCCACAGUUUUUGCACAGAAUACAUAUUCUAACUGAACUUGAAUUCCAAACAUGGCAAGUCUAUCCAUAGUUGCUAUCCUUUGGUGGAUAGCCAAUCAUAGAUGGAACUUGAACCUAGGAUGAAUAUGUGCAUAUAGACGAAUACUCGUCCAAUCUACUUUGAGUAAUUGAGGCUACAAUUGCACAUAAGCUUUAUGUAUCUGAAAUUUGCCUUGCUUCACAAAGCUAUCCAGUGUGUUUAUGAGAUUGUUAUGAAAUGACCUCAGCUUUUGUACUUCAUCCUUUGCCUAUAUGAUCUUCCUUACCACCCAUGCUGUCGUUUUGGGUGUGGUUACCUCUUAAAUAGGCCUAUUUUUUAUGUAGUAGAUGUGAGCCCAUUUAAUCCACAAAGUAUCCUUCUUCAUAGCCAAAGCCCAGAGAUGUUUUAAUAAAGUUGCUUUGUUCCAUAUAUUCAUGUUAAUCACAUUCAAACCACCAGUACCUCUUGGUUGACAUAUUAUGUCCCACGCAAUCAGUGCUUUCCUGGGGUAAUCAGUUGAGCCAGUCCACAAGAAGGUUCUCCAUAUAGUGUCUAUCAUCUUCAUGAUCUUCUUUGGCAAUAAGAAAAUUUGAGCCCAAUAUGUUUGUAUUCCAAAUAACACUGAUUUUAUGAGUUGAAUUCUUCCUGAGUAUGAAAGCGUUCUAGCUGACCAGCAUCUUACUCUCUCUGUAAUCUUUUCAACUAGAGGCAAAUAUUGAUGAAUGUUCAGUUUUCUUGCAGAUAGUGGAACUCCCAGAUAUUUAAAAGGUAUACUACCCUUUUCAUAUCCAGUAAUCUCGGUCAGUUGUUCCUUUAUAUGCUGUGCUAUACUAGCAAUAUAAAUAGAACUCUUUUCUACACUUGCCUGUAGUCCUAAUGCAUUUGAAAACCUCUUGAAGGUUUCCUUCAAUAUAGUAACUGAUUGUGUGUCACCCCUGCAAAACAUUAACAAAUCGUCUGCAAAACAAAUGUGUGUUACUCCCAACUUCUUGCACUUUGGAUGAAAUUUGAACUACUUUUGCAUAUCUAAUUGAUUCAUCUCCCUAUGCAAGUACUCCAUAACAAUCACAAAGAGGUAAGGAGACAUUGGAUCUUCUUGUCUUAUACCUCUAUUUGCAGGGAAAGGUCUAGUGAAUCCUCCAUUCAGUACUAGAGAAUAGGACACUAUUGUCACACACUCCAUUAUCCAUACAAUAAAUUUCUGAGGGAAGUCAAGCUCUGUGAGCAUAUAUCUAAGGAACUGCCAGUCCAAAUUAUCAUAUUCUUUCCUUAAGUCAACCUUGAGUAAACACCUUGGAGAUAAGCCUUUUCUAUUAUAACCAUUGAAUAAAUCAUGGCUAAAUAGUAUAUUAUCCACAAUGCUCCUCCCUUCUAUGAAUGCAGACUGUGCUUUCCUAAUUAUACCUUCAAUUACCUUUUUGAUCCUUUUAGUCAGAAUCUUGGUAAUGAUUUUGUAGACAGUAGUACAGCAAGCAAUAGGUCUAUAGUCUUUCACAGUUGUAGGUGCAGGAACUUUUGGAAUCAAUGUUAUGGCAGUGCAAUUCCAUGCUUGCUUCAUCUUGCUUGUUUUCCCAUUGCAUUUUAAAGAACUCUAUUGGAAAGCCAUCAACUCUAGGGGCUUUAUCAUUUGACAUGUCUUUCAUUGCUUCAUCAACCUCUAUAUAUGUUACUUCCUUUAUUAUAUCAUGUUGUUGUUCCAACGAUAAGCACACUCCUGCUUUGAUUAAUUUGGUAUUAGGACAUGGCCUGAUCCCAGUGUCAGUUCCUAUAAGCUGCUUAAAAAAAGUGAUGAAUUCUUUUUCUACAGGUUUAGGUUCUGUGACUCUAGCUCCCAUAUCAUUAUACAUAGUAGUAAUUGACUUCUUACUUGCCCUGAUCUUCAAUUGUGCAUAGAAAUAUUUGGAGUUUGAAUCCCCAUAGUCUAUCUAGUUGACUCUUGCCUUCUGUUUCAGAACUCUUUCUUCUAUUAUGCACCAUUUCUCUAGUUCCUGCAAUGUUUGCUUUUCCUUCUCAAUCAAAUCCUGAUUAAAGGGAUCAAGCUUCGAAUUAAUCUGAGUAUACUCCAGCUGCUGUCUUAUUUGAUUCAAUCUUUUCUCAUAGCUAGUCAUCUCCAUGUUUAAUCCUUUAGUCUCAGUUUUCAGUUGUUGUAAUUUCUGCCAUAUGCUAUCCAUAUGGUCAUUUCCCAGCUUCUGCUUCCAUACUUUAUCCACCCUAGGUUGGAAUUCCUUAUGUUCCAUUGUUACCAUAUACAACUUGAAAGGCUUAGGAUAUAUAUUCUUUCUUCUCCAUAUUUGGACCACUAUAGGUGAGUGAUCUAACACCCCAUGUUCUAGGCAAUCAGCUUCCACAUGCCCAUAGUCCUUGAUCCAUUCAAAGUUCCCAAAGGCCCACUCAAUCUUACUGUAUACCCUGUCAUCUGCAUGCUACUUAUUGCACCAAGUAUAGAAACAACCCUUUGUCUUCAGUGGGGUCAGUUGCAUAGUGUCAAUACAAUCCUUGAAUUCUUUCACCUCAUUCAUAGUAACUACUUGUCCUAACCUAUCAUCAGUGGUUAGGACAUUGUUGAAGUCACCACUUAUGAUCCAUGGAAGUUGAACUUGCCCCCUAUCAGUUGUAAGUCACACCAUAAACUUACUCUUUCCUGCAAUUUAUUUCUAGCAUACACUACUGUCAACAUAAUCUGGUAUCCAGUCACUGAAUCACUCACUAUACAAUGAAUGAAUUGUUCAUGAACUUGAAUUAUGUUGACUAAAAGAUUGGUCCUCCACAGUAUCUAAAUUCUACCAUUCUCAGCCUUUGUAUAGUUGCAACAAUAUCCUCAAUCUUUUGUUACCUUGUACAGAAUCAUUUUUGCUUUCUUUUCUUUGACUCUAGUUUUCAGACAUUCUAAGAUGUCUAUUUUAUUCUUCUGCGAAAAGAUUUUCAAUUCUUUCUACUUAUAGGGCUUGUUCAGCCCUCUUAUGUUCCAAGUACUAAUGAUCAUGGUGGGUUUUGUCUGGGGUGUGGAUUCAAACCCCCUCCCUGUGCAGAUGUUUGUGUAUAUUAUUCCAAUACUAUGAAUCUAUUAGCAUUGCUAACUUUAUCAAUUUUACCCUGCUAAUCUAUUGAAGUAUUCUAUCUUUUAGUGUCAUCAUCUCUAUGUAUCAUCCUUCUUCUUUGAUUUGUAUCAGCUUCAGAGUUAUGUUUCCCUUUGUCACCUUCUAUUGGAGGUUUAAUUUCAGUCACCUCACUAUUCCUCUCAUCUUGAUCUUGUUGAUCCUUUGGCUUCCAUUCCUGAACAACUCUCCUCCUUCUGCCUCUAUUUCUUCUCUUAGGGGAUUUGAAUUCAGCAUCUUCUUCUUACUUACUUAGCUUCCAGCAUUCAAAAACAUCAUGCCCAAAAUGCAAACAUUCAUUGCAAAAUUUUGGCUUCCACUCGUAUAGAAUUUCCUGUUGUUUUACACCAUUGGGAGUCAUAAUUUCAACAUUCUCUACCAAUGGCUUUGUUAUGUCCACUUUCACUAGCGCUCUUGCAUAAGAGAUUUUGUUUAAUUCAGCUGUGUACUUGUCUGUGUACAUUUGCAUACCAACAACAUUGGCAACCUUUCUUAGAGCAUCAACAGUCCAAUACCUAGUCGAUAAACUAGGAAAGUGAAUCCACAGUGGAAUAGUAGUUAUACAUUUAGGAUCAAAAUGGAAGUCUCUCUCCCAAUUCUGUAAGAUAAAUGGCUUGUUAUGAUAUGCUUGAACAACUGUAUCUCUAUCCUCCAUAGUUGUGAAUCGAAAAACAUAAUAGCCAUCAUGGUGAUAUAGAAUUUGGGGCUUAGAUACAAAAUCCCAAACUAUUUCUACAUAACUCACCAUGGAUUUCUCAUACGCAGUAUCUCCCAAUACAUACCCAAUUAGAGCAGUUUCCCAAUAUUCCUUCAAAUCACUCACAUCAUUUUCCUCUAUUUGGAUGACCACUUUGCCAUCCUUGUGACUUGGUGGAACAUAUUCCAAUUUCAUCCCCAUCUGAGAGUUUCGAUUCGGUUGUCGAAGUUCCUUUGCAUGUCGUGUCUUCUCCAUCCCUAUCUCCGCAUUUGCUGCAAGAUCUAGAUCUGGAGUUGGCUGUGAAGAUCCAGCCUCAGAGAAUUGUAGUCAUUUUGGACUUAUUGGCAGUUAAUCCUUACACUUCUGAGCUUCCUUUGAUGGAUUUUCAAUUUUACUGUUGCAUUGGUUACUAUUCCUCUCUUCCGUUCCAUUUAGCUCACUUUCCUCAGCAAUUGGUUGAACACUAGCCGAUUAGAAACUUCCAAACAUUAACGGAAUGAUAGUAUGCAUCAUCGAGUUCACCGGCAUUGUAGUAGCGGUCGCCAGAGCUGCUUGCUUGCGUCUCCUAGCCAUCAGUGGUGCACGUUAGCUUGCCUUGGCCUAUCAUGCGCUGAGAGCAUUUUUAGAAAGCUCUAUUUCCCUUGAUAGAUUGAUCCGAUUUAGAUGCUAAAUUCAUUGUUAAAGAUGUUAAUUUGGCGAUUUAAUCGCACGAGUAAGUCCAUAUGAUGUUGUUGAGUUAGUAUGCAUGUUUGGUUUGGGCCCCGAGGGCUCGGGUCAGUUGUGUAUAGGUUUCGGGAUGUUUUUACACUUAGAAAAGUUAUAGGUAUUUUGUUUCUGGUAUACUAAAGCUUUGUUCUUCGCGUUUGCGGAAGGUCUCUCGUGAACGCGAAAGGUAAGGCAGGCUAAAGGAAAAUUUCUUCUAUGCGAAUGCGAGAACCAAGUCGUGAACAUAAAGCCUUGGGGGUGCUAUCUUUCGCGAACGUGGACCUGCUAUCGCGAAUGUGAAGGACUUUUGGACAGGACUGGAGGAAAGGGAUUUUGUUCUACGUGAACACGGCCAUUGUCCCGCGAAUGCGAAGGCUUGACGAGCUAAAGCUCCGCAAACAUGAGCCACUAAACGCAAAUGCAAAGUCAACUGAGCCUGAUCCUUCGCAAACGCGACAAACCCUUUGCGAACGCGAAGAAGACCUGUUCAGUGAAUUAAAAACAGUAGCAAAAUCGGGAUUUAGUCCAUAAUUUCAUAUUUUCAAAACUAGAGAGCAUUGAGGCAAUUUUCAAGGAACAAGUGCUUCCCCAAAGCAUUGGUAUACGAUUCUAAACCUUUUUCAUUCGAUUUCCCAUUGCAUUUCAUCAACUUCAUCAAAAAAUCUAGGGUUUUAUGGUAGAAAUUAAGAAUUUAGGUAGAGUUAGGGCUUUUUGAUUAAUUGGGAUUUAGACCUUUUGGAGUCGGAUUUCAAAACUAAUUGCAUAAUUGGGCUCGUGGGUGAAUGGGUGAUCAGGUUUUGGUCCGAACCUCGAGUUUGAGCAAGCGGGCCCGGAGUCGAAUUUUGACUUUUUGGGGGAAAUGAUAGAAAACCUAUAAUUAAGCAUUGGGUAUGAAUUCAUUAACAUUUAUUGAUGUUGUUAAAUUAAUUUGGGCUAGAUACAAGUAAUUUGGUGGCAGAUUCUAAAGGAAAAGCGGUGUUUGAGGCUUGAGUUGGCCGUGGAAGUUUGAGGUAAGUGUGUGGUUUAACCUUAGCUUGAGGGAUUAGGAGUUGUGUCUUAUUUGCUAUGUGUUAAUUGCUGAGUACGGUGUAUAGGUGUGGUGACGAGUAUCUAUAAGUCGGUGUCAAGCAUGCUCGUGGGUCUUAUACUAUGAUUGAUGUGGUUUCAUUUCGUAUUGUUCAAUCUUUAUAUGAUGAUUUCUAUUGUUGAACAAAGCUUGGAAAGUAUUAUUGAUGCUNNNNNNNNNNNNNNNNNNNNNNNNNAUGAUAAUGUCUCCCUUGCCAGGAUAUUACUUCUUAUGAUAUUGUUUCCCUUGCUGGGAUAUUAUUGUUAUUGAUAUUGGUUCCCUUGCCGGGAUAUUGUUGUUAAACUAUUGUUCCCUUGCCGUACGUGAGUUUGAGAGUGUUAAUGCACGAACGGUGAUGUCAUGACGAUAUGUGAGGUAAAAGCACGAAGGGUGAUGUCAUGUCGCACGAUGUACAAUAUAGUGCCAUGAUAUGAGUGUUAAUGCAUGAAGGGUGAUGCCGUGCUGAUUAUAUUGAUUCUUAUGGUGAGGACGAAAGUAAAAGCACAAAGGGUGAUGCCGUGCACUUGUAUUGUUCUCCUUACUCUUGCUUAUAGUUGAAUUUUGGUGUACUUUAUGUUUCUUUACUGAAAUUUUGUUGUACUUGUUAUCCCCCGCAGCAUGUGUCCCUUCCUAACUUUAACUGUUAGUUCUGUUGUUAUUACUCACUAUAUUUGAUAUAAUUGCAUAGGUUUAUUUGGUAGUCCUGUCGUUGCCUCGUCACUACUUCGCCGAGGUUAGUCUCGACACUUACUAGCACAUAGGGUCGGUUGUGCUGCUACUAUACUAUUAAAUGUAUGCAGAUACUGGUACUAGAGCGUUUGGACCACAGUGAGCUUGCUGCCUUCAGCCCAUCGGCGGAGACCCGAGGAAGUCCUACAGACGUUCGUGGGCCUUGGUGUCCCCUUCUAUCAUUUUCUUUCUAUUUUUACUUAUUCAGAGACAGAUUCGUGUAUUUCUAUUCAGACUUUAUUUGUAGUAUUCGUAGAUGGUCUGUGACAUUGUGACACCAAAUUCUGGGUAUAGUUGUAUUUAGCAGUUUGUAUUAAGUUAAAUUAUCAGAUUUUGUCUUCCGCAUUGCUUUUGAUAUUAUUAUUUCCCCUGUUUUGAUAUAUUGUUUUGAAUUUGUAAGGAAAAUAAAGACUGAAAAGGGUAAUUCAAUCGAAAUAGUUGGCUUGCCUAGAUUUCACUAGUAGGCGCCAUCAUGGCUCCCGAGGGUGGGAAAUCCGAGUCGUGACAAGUUCGUAUCAGAGCUAUAGGUUUCCUAGGUCUCACAAUUCAUGGACAAGCUUAGUAGAGGCUGAGGGAUCAGUACGGAGAUAUCUGUAUUUAUCCUAGAGGCUAUAGACUUAGGAAAAACUUCAUAUUUAUUCUUUCUUGUCAUGCGACUUGAUUUCUCAAUGCUAAUUGAACUUCUACUAUGUUCUUUCGCAGAUGGUGAGGACACGUACCGCUUCAUCAGUUGAGAAGCAACCCGAGCCCCCAGUAGCAGCUCCUACGAGGGGCAGAGGUUGAGGCCGUGCUAGGGCCCAUGGUAGAGGCAGAGCUCAGCCCAGAGCUCGAGCAGCAGCACUAGUGGCGGAGCCUCAGGUUGAGUUUGACAAUGAGGUUCCAACCCAGUCAGUUCCAAUAGGACCAGCUCAGGUCCUAGAUGGGUUUAUCACCACCCCAGUACUUCAGGAUGCUCUGGUCCGUCUAGUGGGCCUUAUGGAGAGUGUAGCCCAGGCAUGCUUGCUUCCUGUAGCACUAGCCGUCUCUCAGGCUGGAGGAAGAGCCCAGACUCCUGCUACUCGCAGUCCGGAGCAGAUGGCUCCCCAGUUUCAGACUCUAGCAACUUUGCUUGUUGGGUUAGUUCAGCUGGGUAUUAUAGCACAAACCGGUGAGGGGCCAGCUAUGUCUGUUGAUGCCUUGUGGAGGUUGGAUAGGUUCACUAAGCUCUUCACUACUACUUUUGGUGGUACAUCUUCUGAGGAUCCCCAGUAUUAUUUGGACAGCUGCCAUGAGGUUCUACGGAACAUGGGGAUAGUGGAGACCAAUAGGGUCGACUUUGCUGCUUUUUGACUAUUUGGAUCCGCCAAGACUUGGUGGAGAGAUUAUUGUUUGUCUAGACUAGCUGGGUCACCUGUUUUGACUUGGGAUCAGUUCUCUCAGCUAUUUCUAGAGAAGUUUCUUCCUGUCACUCAGAGGGAGAACUAUCGGAUACAGUUUGAGCGUCUCCAACAGGGUUCUAUGACUAUCACUCAGUAUAAGACCAGAUUUUUUGACUUGGCCCGUCAUGCUCUCCAUAUACUUCCCAUUGUGAGAGAGAGAGAGUGAGGAGUUUCAUUGAGGGACUCGUCCAGCCUAUUCGACUGUAGAUGGCUAAGGAGACGGGGAGUGAGAUUUCUUUUCAGGUUGCGGCCAAUGUGGCCAGGAGAGUUGCGAUGGUUCUAUCACAAGGGAGUGGUCAGGGGUCUGACAAGAGGCCUUGUCAUUCGGGCAUGUUCAGUGGUGCCUCAUCUGAAGGCAGGAAUUCUAUUGGUAGGGGCCAUCCUUCGAGGCUGUUUCAUUCAGAACUUCAGGCUUCUCAACGUGCACCAGAUGGAUGUAGUUCUCAUAUGCAGUACUCUGAUCAGUUGGCCUACAGUGCACCACCAGCUCCUAUCAGUGCACUGCCACUCUGGAGUUUUCAGGAUGGUCAUUCAGGCUGUCAGAGUUAGUAGUCUCAACAGCCGAUGGCUUGUUAUACUUGUGGCUAUACGAGGCAUAUUUCUAGAUUUUGCCCUCGAGCACCGAGCAGCUCUCAGCAUCAGGGUUCCCAUACCAUGGUUCAGGCACCAAGUGUUCCACCGCCCGUUCAGCCAGCUACAGGUGGGGUUAGAGGUGCUAGAGGUGGAGGUAGAGGUAUUAGAGGUGGAGGUCAGGCCGCUAGAGGUAGAGGACAGCCAGCAGAAGGUCGUCCUAGAGAUGUAGUUUAGAGUGGUGGGGCCCAGCCCCGAUGUUGUGCCUUUCCAGCUAGGCCUGAGGUGGAGGCCUCUGAUGCAGUUAUCACAGGUAUUAUUCUGGUUUGUAGUAGGGAUGCUUCAGUGCUAUUUGAUCCAGGGUCUACAUACUCCUAUGUGUCAUCUUAUUUUGCACCAUAUUUGAUCAGGCCUAGUAUUCUUUGAGUGCUCCUGUAUAUAUGUCUACACCGGUGGGUGAUUAUAUUGUGGUAGAUCGUGUUCAUCGUUCUUGUAUGGUUGUGAUUGGGGGUCUUGAGACCCGAGUAUACUUGUUACUUUUGGAUAUGGUUGAUUUUGAUAUCAUAUUAGGGAUGGACUGGUUAUCACCUUAUCACGCUAUCUUGGACUGUUAUGCCAAGCCUGUAACCUUGCCAGGGUUGCCUCAUUUAAAGUGGAGAGGGACUCCUGGUCAUUCUACCCGUAGUAUUAUCUCACAUAUGAAGGCUCGGCGUAUGGUGAAGAAGGGGUGUUUGUCCUAUUUGGCAUAUGUUUGUGAUUCUAGUGUUGAGGUUCCUUCUAUGGAUUCUGUGCCUGUUGUUCGUGAGUUUCAUGAGGUUUUUCCUUCAGACCUGCCGGGUAUGCCACCUGAUAAGGAUAUUGACUUCUGCAUUGAUUUGGCGUCGGGAACUCAGCCCAUUUCUAUUCCGUCAUAUCGUAUGGCCCCGCUAGAGUUGUAAGAAUUGAAGGAGUAGCUGCAAGACUUGCUUGAUAAGGGCUUCAUUAGACCUAGUGUCUCGCCUUGUGGUGCGCCAGUGCUACUAGUGAAGAAGAAGGAUGGGUCGAUGAGAAUGUGUAUAGAUAAUAAGUAUCCAUUGCCGAUGAUUGAUGACUUGUUUGAUCAGCUUCAGGGUGCCUAGGUAUUCUCGAAGAUUGACUUGAGAUCUGGAUGCCAUCAAUUGAGGAUUAGGGAAUCCAAUAUCCCUAAGAUAGCCUUCCGCACUCGGUACGGGCACUAUGAGUUCUUGGUGAUGUCAUUUGGGUUAACAAAUGCUCUAGUAGCUUUUAUGGAUUUGAUGAACUGAGUGUUCAAGCCUUACUUAGAUUCGUUCGUGAUAGUCUUCAUUGAUGAUAUUUUGAUUUAUUCCCGCAGCCGAGAAGAGCAUGAGCAUCAUCUGAGAGUUGUUCUUCAGACUUUGAGAUAUAGUCAGUUGUAUGCUAAGUUUUUGAAGUGUGAUUUUUGGUUGGGAUCAUUACUUUCUUGGGUCACGUUGUAUCAGCAGAGGGUAUUUAGGUAGAUCCAAAUAAGAUAGAGGUAGUCAAGGACUGUCCUAGACCCGCAUCAACUACAAAGAUCCAGAGUUUCUUGGGUUUGGCGGGCUAUUACCAUCGGUUUGUGGAGGAGUUAUCAUAUAUAGCAUCCCCUAUGACCAGGUUGACCCAGAAGGGUUCCCAGUUCAAGUGGUCGAACGAGUGUGAGGCGAGCUUUUAGAAGCUCAAGAUAGAUUUAACCACGGCGCCGGUAUUGGUAUUCCUACAGGUUCAGGGUCAUAUACGGUUUAUUACGACGCAUCUCAUAUUAGUCUUGGUGCGAUGUUGAUGCAGGAUGGCAAGGUCAUUGCUUAUGCUUUGCGGCAGUUUAAGAGUUAUGAGAAGAACUAUCCAGUCUAUGAUUUGGAGUUAGUAGCCAUUGUUCAAGCGCUGAAGAUUUGGAGGCAUUAUUUGUAUGGCGUGCCAUGUGAGGUGUUCACGGAUCACAAGAGCAUACAGUAUUUGUUCAAGCAGAAGGAGCAGAAUUUGAGGUAGAGAAGAUGGUUGGAGCUAUUAAAGGACUAUGAUAUCACUAUCUUAUAUUAUCUGGGGAAGGCCAAUGUAGUGGUCGAUGCUUUGAGUAGAAAGUUAGUCAGUAUGGGCAGUCUUGCGUAUAUUCCAAUUGGUGAGAGACCGCUUGUUUUGGAUGUUCAGGAUUUGGCCAAUCAGUUCAGGAGGUUGGAUAUUUCGGAGCCCAGCCGUGUGUUAACUUGUACAGUCGCUUGUUCUUCAUUAUUGGGGUGUAUUCGAGAUCAGCAGUGUGAUGACCCCCAUUUGUGUUUCCUAAAAGACAUGGUGCGGCAUGGUCGUGCCAAGCAGGUUACUGUUGGAGAUGAUGGAGUGUUGCGGAUGUAGGGUCGAGUGUGUGUGCCUAAUAUAGAUGGUCUUAGAGAGUUGAUUCUAGAGGAGGCACAUAGUUCCCGGCACUCUAUUCAUCCGGACACUGCUAAUAUGUAUCAGAAUUUGUGGUAGAAUUAUUGGUGGAGGGGGAUGAAGAAGGAUAUUGUUGCAUAUGUGGCUCGGUAUUUGAACUGUCAGCAGGUAAAGUACGAACAUCAGAUACCUAGUGGUUAGUUUCAAAGGAUUGAGCUUCCCGUAUGGAAGUGGGAGCAUAUCACUAUGGACUUUGUUGUUGGACUUCCACGGACUAAGAGGAAGUUCGAUGCAGUGUGGUUUAUUGUUGAUAGGCUGACCAAGUCAGUACAUUUCAUUCCUGUGGUAGUCUCAUAUUCUUCUAAGAGGUUAGCUGAGAUCUAUAUCUGGGAGAUCGUUCGUCUUCAUGGUAUGCCCAUGUCUAUCAUUUCUGACCGAGGUACACAGUUUACGUCAAAUUUUUGAAGGGCAGUUCAGUGUGAGUUUGGCACACAGGUUGAGAUGAGCAUAGCAUUUCAUCCUCAGACGAACGGGCAGUUCGAGUGUGCUAUUUAGAUUUUGGAGGAUAUGCUCCGAGCUUUUGUUAUUGACUUUAGAGGCUCAGGGAUAAGUUUCUGCCUUUAGCGGAGUUUGCCUAUAACAACAGUUACCGGUUGAGCAUCCAGAUGGCUUCUUAUGAGGCUUUAUAUGGUAGGUGGUGUCGGUCGCCGGUUGGGUGAUUCGAGCCGGGAGAGGCUCGGUUGUUCGGUACAGACCUAGUACAGGAUGCCUUGGACAAGGUGAAGAUCAUUCAGGAUAGGCUUCGUAUAGCCCAGUCUAGGAAAAAGAGCUAUGCCGAUCGCAAGGUUUAUGAUGUGGCAUUCAUGGUUGGAGAGCAGGUAUUGCUUCGAGUGUUGCCUAUAAAGGGCGUGAUGAGAUUUGGGAAGAAGGGCAAUCUAAGCCCUAGAUUCAUUAGUCCUUUUGAGAAUCUUGAUCGAGUGGGAGAGGUGGCUUAUAGACUUGCAUUGUUGCCGAGCUUAUCAAUUGUGCAUCCAAUGUUUCAUGUGUCCAUGCUUUGGAAGUAUCACGGCGAUCUAUCCCACGUGUUAGACUUCAACAUUGUCCAGUUGGACAAUGACUUGUCCUAUGAGGAGGAGCCGGUAGCUAUUCUAGACCGGCAGGUUCACCAGUUGAGAUCGAAGAGUUUCCCCUCUGUUCAUGUUUAGUGGAUAGGUCAGUCUGUGGAGAUAGCGACCUGGGAGUCCGAGUCCGAUAUGCGGAGCUGAUAUCCCUAUCUUUUCUCUGACUCAGGUACUUUUCUUAUGUCCGUUUGAGGAUAAACGAUUGUUUUAGAGGUGGAGAAUGUGAUGACCUUUUAUUCUAUGUCUCGAGGCCUUAAAACCUCCUUUUUGUCUCACCUCUAUUUGUGUGAGCAGUCCGGGUGUGUAUCCGAAAAGUCAUUAUGUGAAAAUCUGUGAAAAAUGAUAAAUUUUGCUUUUAAAAUGAGUUUAAGUUUACUUCGGUCAAUAUUUUGGGUAAACGGACCCGGACCCAUAAUUUGGCGGUCCUAGAGGAUCCGUAGAAAAAUAUGGUACUUAGGCGUAUGCCCAGAAUUGAAUUUCGAGGUCUCAAGCCUGAGAAAUGAAUUUUCGAAGAAAACUGUUUAACUAAAAUUUUAAGAGUUUUUGGAAAUUUGAGUGUAUUUUAAAUUUAUGGUAUUGGGCCCAUAUCAUGGUUCCGGAGCCGGUACAGGUCUUAUAUAGUGUUUAGGUUGAGCCUGUAAAAUUUGGUAAGAAACGGACUUAAAAUGCCGUGAAUCAGACCCUUGGUUGUGAAAUUGGAAACUUAAGUGUUUUUGAGAUUUUUCUUUGAUUUUGAUGCUAAAUUCGUUGUUAAAGAUGUUAAUUUGGCGAUUUGAUCGCACGAGUAAGUCCAUAUGGUGUUGCUUAGUUAGUAUGCAUGUUUGGUUUGGAGCCCCGAGGGCUCGGGUCAGUUGUGUAUAAGUUUCAGGAUGUUUUUACACUUAGAAUAAUUGCAGGUUUUCUCUUUCUGUUAUGCUGAAGCUUUGUUCUUUGCGUUCAAGGAAGGACUCUUACGAAUGCGAAGGGUAAGUAAGGCUGAAGGAAAAUUUCUUCUAUGCGAACACGAGAACCAGGUCGCGAACGCGAAUCUUUGGGGGUUCUACCCUUUGCGAACGCAGACCUGCUAUCGCGAACGCGAAGGCCUUUUGGUCGGGACUGGGGGAAAGGGAUUUUGUUCUAUAAGAACGCGGCCACUGGCCCACGAACGCGAGCCACUAUAUGUGAAUUAAAAAUAGUAGCAAAAUCGGGAUUUAGUCCAUAAUUUCAUAUUUUAAAAACUAGAGAGCAUUGAGGCGAUUUUCAAGGAACAAGUUCUUCCCCAAGGCAUUGGUAUACCAUUCUAAACCUUUUUCUAUCGAUUUCCCAUUACAUUUCAUCAAUCUUCAUCCAAAAAUCUAGGGUUUUAUGAUUGAAAUUAGGAAUUUGGGUAGAGUUAGGGCUUUUUGAUUAAUUGGGAUUUAGACCUCGUUUUGGGAUCGGACUUCGAAACUAAUUGCAUAUUUGGGAUCGUGGGUGAUCGGGUUUUGGUCCGAACCUCGAGUUUCAACCAAGCGGGCCCUGGGUCGAUUUUUGACUUUUUGGAAAAAAUGAUAAAAAAAAACUAUAAUUAUGCAUUGGGUAUGAAUUCUUUAGCAUUUUAUUGAUGUUGUUAAAUCUUAGCUUGAGGAAUUAGGAGUUGUGUCUUAUUUUCUAUGUGUUAAUUGCUGAGUAUGACAUAUAGGUGUGGUGACGAGUAUCUAUACGUCGGUGUCAAGCAUGCACGUGGGUCUUAUACUAUGAUUGAUGUGGUUUUGUUUCGUAUUGUUCAAGCUUUAUAUGAUGAUUUCUAUUGUUGAACAAGGCUUGGAAAGUAUUAUUGAUGCUUGAACACUGUAGAGUGUUGGCUCAAGUUGAUAAUUGAGUUGUGAAGUAAUUGUGAAAAAGAGAAGAGGUUUAUGAUAUUGUCUCCCUUGCCAGGGAUAUUACUGCUUAUGAUAUUGUUUCCCUUGCUGGGAUAUUAUUGUUAUUGAUAUUGGUUCCCUUGUAGGGAUAUUGUUGUUAAACUAUUGUUCCUUUUCUGUGUGUGAGUUUGAGAGUGUUAAUGCACGAACGGUGAUGUCGUGCCGAUAUGUGAGGUAAAAGCACGAAGGGUGAUGUCGUGUCGCACGAUGUACAAUGUCGUGCCAUGAUAUGAGUAUUAAUGCACGAAGGGUGAUGCCGUGCCGACUAUUUAUUCUUAUGGUGAGGACGAAAGUAAAAGCACAAAGUGUGAUGCCGUGCACUUGUAUUGUUAUCCUUACUCUAGAUUAUAGUUGAAAUUUGGUGUACUUUAUGUUUCUUUACUGAAAUUCUGUUGUACUUUUUAUCCCCUGCAGCGUGUGUCCCUUCCUAACUUUAACUGUUAGUUAUGUUCCUAUUAGUCAUUGUAUUUGACAUAACUGCACAAGUUUAUUUGUUAGUCCUAUCCUAGUGUCGUCACUACUUCACCGAGUUUAGGCUCGACACUUACCAGCACAUGGAUGGUCGGUUGUGCUAAUACUACACUCUGCACUGUGUUUGGACCACAGUGAGGUUGCUGCCUUCAGUCCAUCGUCGGAGACCCGAGGUAGUCCUGCAGACGUUCGCGGGCCUUGGUGUCCCCUUAUAUAAUUUUCAUCCUGUUUUUACUUAUUCAGAGACAAAUUCGUGUAUUUCUAUUCAAAAUUUAUUUGUAGUAUUCUUAGAUGGUUCAUGACAUUGUGACACCAAAUUCUGGGUAGAGUUGUAUUUAGACUUCCGCAGUUCGUAUUAAGUUAAAUUAUCAGAUUUUAUCUUCCGCAUUGUUUUUGAUAUUAUUAUUUCCGCUAUUUUGAUAUGUUGUUUUGAAAUUAUAAGGAAUUAAAGAAUGAAAAGGGUAAUUAAAUCGGAAUAGUUGGCUUGCUUAGCUUUCACUAGUAGGCAUCAUCACGGCUCCCGAGGAUGGGAAAUCUGGGUCGUGACAAAUUCUCAAGCCCUAAACUCCCAAAAUUUCACCUCAAAAUCUCACUAAUUAGGUAUAAAAUCAGUAGGGAAAUACCAUUAUUGAGGAUAAAUAGGCAUAAGGAACUUACCCAGUGAUUACUUCGAAAUACCUCUCAAAAUCCCUAAAAUCCGAGCUCAAAAAUUAUGAAAAUGGUGAAAAAUCUUGAAGUCUUCUAUUUAUAGGUUCUUCCCAGUCUUCUUUGCACUUGCGGCUAAUACUCCGCUCCUGCAGGCUCCACAUCUGCGGUAAAAGUGCCGCUUUUGUGGAAGUCACUUGAAUCCUAGGGCUCGCACAUGCGCCCUCUUGUCCGCAUCUGCGCUACUGCAGGUGCAUGAAAUCCUUUGAACCUGCGACCCCUGACCGUCCUGGCCUUGCCCGCACCUGCGACCUUCCUCUCCCCUUUUGCGGGCUCACACCUGCGAUAAAAAUUCCGUAGGUGCGAUUACAAUAGCUGAGUACAACUUCAGUAGCUCUUCCAAUUCGAAUCAAGUUCGUUUAACCACCCAAAAUCAACCCGAGGCUUUGGGGACCUCAACUAAAUAUACCAACAAGUCAUAUAACCCGAUACGAACUUAGUCGAAUCAUCAAAUCACCUCAAUCAACAUCAAAAACACGAAUUACACAUAGAUUCAAGCCUAGUAAACUUUAAAACUUCCAAAUUCCACAAACGACGUCAAAACCUAUCAAACCACGUCCGAUUGACCUCAAAUUUUGCACACAAGUCAUAAAUGACACCAUGAACCUACUCCAACUUCUAAAAUCCAGUCCAACCCCGAUGUCAAAAUGUCCACUCCCGGUCAAACCUUCCAAAUUUCUAACUUUCAGCAUUUCAAGUUUAAUCUACUAUAGACCUCCAAAACACAAUCCAGAUGUGCUCCUAAGUCCAGAAUCACCUAACGGAGCUAACAGAACCAUCAAAAUUCAAAUCCGAGGUCAUUUACACAUAAGUCAAUAUCCGAUCAACUUUUCCAGCUUAAGCUUUCAAAUAAGAGACUAAGUGUCUCAAUUCACUCCAAAAUCUCUCCGGACCCGAACCAACUAACCCGGUAAGUCAUAAUACAGCUGUAGAAUAAAAAAUAAGCAGAAAAUAGGGGAAUGAGACUACAAAUCUCGAAACGACUGGUCAGGUCGUUACAGUUUCCUUCUUCGCAUUUGAGAGGGGAGUUUUGUGUUUGCAAAGAGGAACUGGAGGCAGGUGGGAAUUUUGUGUUUUGCGUUUGUGAUGGAGGUCCCGCGUUUGCGAAGCUCUAAGGCAAAUGUUAUAUGCAUUCGCGAUGAGGGUCCCGCUUUCACAUAGAGGAACUGGCCACCUGAGUCUCCAGACCCUUUUGCUUACGCGUUCGCGAUGUUUGAUUCGUGUUCGCGUAGGGUCGAGUUGAGUGACCUUCACGUUCAUGAUUAGGUCAUCACAUUCGUGAUGAAGGAUUUUUGGCUGGAGUAAGUUUGUGCUUCACAAACGCGAGGGUUCUUCCACGUUCGCGAAGAAUUGAUGCAUGGGCAGUAUUAAACAUUUCAAAAACAAGGGUUUGCCAUUUUUAUCAAAACUUCAGAUAGAGAGCUCGGAUUUAGAAGAGAUUUUGAGGGAUUUUCAGAGACAUUGAUUGGGUAAUAAUUCUUCAAUUGUUUUUUGGUUAUAUUAUACUAAUCUAUAGUUGAUUUCAUCAUUUAAUUAAGGAAUUUGGCUGAGAAAUUUGGGGAAAAUAGGAGAAGUUCUUCAACUAAGUUUUUGAGUUUUGAUUUGGAUUUUGAUAUCGGAUUUGGAUAAUUUUUGUAUGAGUGAACUCGUGAGUGAAUGGGUAUUUAUAUUUUGUAACUUUUACACCGAUUCCGAGAUGUGGGCCCGGGUCAAAUAUUUGGGGCGAUUUUCUAAUUUCUUGCUUAAUCCUUGAUUUCAUUAAUUAGAUUAGUUUAUUAUGGUUGUAUUUACGGUAUGUAAUUUAAUUUUGCUAGAUUUGGGCCAUUCGGAAUUGGAAAAUCAUGGAAAAGGCAUUGUUACUAAUCGAUUGAGCUUGGUUCGAGGUACGUGGCUUGACCAACCUUGUGUAGGGGAACUCCCAUUAGGAUUUGGUACUGAUGUGAUAUGUGAUCGCCAUGUACGAGAGGUGACGAGUGCGUACACGGGUUAUUUGUUGUAACACCCAAUUUUUACUGAGAAAUAACCGGUUUCAUCUUAGUUCAGUUAUACUAGCAUGUGUAGUUAUCCUGUUUAGCCUAGUAUCGCAUGCCUACUUGUCUUAAAUGCUUAUCUGAACUCUGUGCAGCAUGCUUAGUGGAUUUCCUAUUUUUCCUUGAUGUGUACUUAGUCGAAAUUGUAGGAUUUCUUGUUGUGCAUGUUAUUUCAUUAUUUUGAGCUGCGUAUUUACUUUGGGACUAUGGGACGGUAUCCCAGGAGAUCACCCUGCAUAUUUACUUUGGGACUACGGGACAGCAUCCCGGAAGAUCCCCCUGCAUAUUUACUUUGGGACUACAGGACGAUAUCCUGGGAGAUCCCUCUGCAUAUUUAGUUUUGGGACUACAAGACGGUAUCUCGGGAGAUCCUCUGUUGUUUUACCUCAGUGUACGAUACUGUUAUUCUUCUGUGAUUUCUUUUUUGUUAAAGUUUAGUCUCUUAUUGUACUGUGAUAUUUUUAUUCUACCUUAUCUAAUUUAUAUAUACCAGUAGGGCCCUAACCUGACCUUGUCAGUACUCGACCGAGGUUAGGCUUGGCACUUAUUGGGUACCGUUGUGGUAUACUCAUGCUACUCUUCUGCACAUGUUUCAUGUGUAGAUCCAGGGACCUCCUACCAACCCCGCUAUUAGUUGCGUACUUGUUGCUGCUCCAGGGACUUCAAGGUACAUCUGCCCGCGUCUGCAGACCUCACAGUCUACCUCUAUCCCUUUUAUGUUGUUCCUCCUUUACUUUUUCUAGUUAUUGAUGUAUAGAAACAGUUAGACAAAUUCUUAGAAGCUUGUGACUUAUAAUAUUCUGGGUCUUGGGGAAAUUCUAUGUAUAUUUGAGAGUUUCUUAUUUCACAUGUCGAGCGUCACUUAUGUCAGUUAUUUUAUUGUUUGUUGUAGUUAGUUGUUAAAUUUAUGCUUUCAUUUUUAUUAUUCCGUAGGUGUUAGGCUUACCUAGUCGUAGAGACUAGGUGCCGUCAUGACAUCUCACGGAGGGAGGAUUUGGGUCGUGUGAGCAUGUAAUUUCGCCCUACUAGAAAUACUCCUACAAAAUUAAAGAAAAUAGAUUCGCUCCAAAAAAAAUUAAUUUUAUAGGAUUUUGUAGGAUUUUAUUAAUUGCUUGAAUUUUUGUGCACGUUCAAUUUUGUUAAAAUCAUCAAAAUACCCCCAAAAUAUCAAAAAUUUCAUGCAUUGCAUAUUAUGUUUUGUGUUCAUAUUUUAAUAUUUGGUUAAUUAAUUACUUUAUUAAAAUGAAAAAUUACAAAAACAUAUUGUCCAUUUUACAUUUUUAGCUUUUAAUAUUAGAUUAAUAAUUUUCUCUUCAUCGAUUUAGGAUAAAUUAAUCUGUAAAUAUUAUAAAUAUAUAAUUAUUUUGGUUUUACAGAUUAGAUUAAUUUAGGAUUUAAUUGAGGAUUUCAAUUAAUUUAGUUAAGUGUUUAAGAAUUAUAGAAAAGAAAAAGAAAAAAAAAGAGAAAAAAAAAAGAAAAAUCAAGAUCAAAGAAAAACGACUGCCUCCACAAUUGGGCCAAGUUGCCCAUAGCCAAAAUUUUCCCCAAUCCAUCCCAACCCCUAUAUAAAACUGGUCCAGCUCUCCCAUUAAUUAAAACGACGCCGUUUUAGUAACGACGAUCCUAGCCGUUGAUCUUUCUUGAUCAACGGACCAGAACUCAAUACCCACACCCCUUAUAACCGUCUGAACAUCCCCCAUAACCCCAAAACACCCCCAUUCUCUCUUCUCUCUCUCAGAGACUAACCCUUGCUGCCCUAAAAUCCCUCAUCGGCUCUGCCGUCCUCCGCCGCCUGGAAAUUGCCUCACCACGGUGGACCACCACAAAACCACCCAAAACUUAACCAGAUAAUCUCCAGCCCCCUAUUUUCACUAAUGCACCUUUAGUUCCCCCAAAUUCCUCAACAAUCCAGUCGAAUUUCAGAUCUGAGAAAUCAUGAAAAACCUAGGUUUACCUUUUCUCUGAUUUUUCUUCUAAAUCGAGUUUGUUUUACGUUACAACUCACAUCAAUGUGGGUUGCUUUUGUUGGGAGUCGCCGAUUGGUGUUAGUUUUAUAACAUUUGGACAAACCUUAAAUCCGGCCAGAACCCUACUAACUUUGCCGGAAUUCCGGCAAAGUUGUUUCUUCUCCAAUUUAAUUUCCAAACCUCCCCAGAAUCACACCUUCCUUCAUCCUCAAUCCAAAACCCAUCAAAAAAUUUCGAUUUACAAAAUCAGAGAACCCGGAAAUCUUAAUGGCCAUUGGUGUAUCUGGUUUUCAGAGGUCCUCGUGGCAAGAUGUCCCAUCCGGAAUUUAAAUUUUGGAUGGGUCUCUUAACACAAGGACUUUUGGCGACUGGGUGAAUUGGUUUCAAAUCGGCAGAAUCCGGUUUAGGUAUGCCCCUUUUCCUUCUUUCUUUUUCCUUUUCCUGCUUGAUUCCUUUACUAUUAUUAGUUGUUUUGUUUCUCUCUUGUUUGUUCCGUUUGAUUGGCAACUAUCUUAACUCAUAGGUUUGUUCGAUUGAAUCAAAUUCAGGUUAAUUAGGUUAUUGUUACGUGUGAUUGCAUCUCUGUCUUCUAUUGCUGUUUUUCGUUUAUUUGUUUUGGAAUUUAGGUCUGUUUAGGUUUAUUAUUCAGUAAAGUAGGGUCAAUCAGCUAAUUACUCUAAUUUAAUCAUUUACUUAGGUUUAAUUCAAGAUAUUUGUUUAGCUAAGUCCAUCUAAUAAGAUGCCUUGAUUUAGCUUUAGUUAUUUAAUUAUUUUGGUUUGAAUAAGUUAAGAAUUGAAAUGGAAAUAACUGACAUUUAAAGGGGUCAAUUGAAAACUAACAUGAGGGAGUCUCAAUCUAGAACUAUCUGGAAGGUUUUAGAAGACAAUGGUAGGGGCUAAAACGUAAUGAAACAGCUAAAAUUGGGUCAAAUUUGGUAAAAGAGUAAUAACAAGAACUUACAGGGGUUUAAUUGGGAUUGAUAAAUGAGAAAAGUAUCAGAAUGUUCUAGUAUGGGACAGUUAUCCCCAUUCUUAGCAUGAAAAUGUUGAAAUUAGGUGGGAAAAGGGACAGACGAUGUUAAAAUAUGCAGUACUAUCUGACAUUUCAGAAAUUAGGGUAGAAUAUUCCAUUUGUUAUGCUAUCCUUGUGCAUUCUAUAUAAAUGAAAAACAUUCACUCAUUCUCACACAACAUCAUCAGCAUAGGCAACAUAAAAAGGAUAUUUCUGAAAUACAAAGAAUUCUGGGAAAAGAGCUGGAUUUUCACAUUGAUUUUCCUUCAUUUUUUCUGAGAUUCCAAGGGGAUUUGAAAACAUAAAUAGCUCCAUGUUUCCCUAAUUCAUCAUCUCUGCUGUUAAAGUUGGUCUAGUCAAAUACUUUGGGUUUUCUGGUUGCUGCUCUGUUGCUCCUGCUAUAUUCUGGUUGCUGCUCUUCCAGUUCUUAUUCAUCUUUUUCUUCCCUUUUUCUUUGCUGAUAAUAACAUAUGUACUGAUAUUUUUUCCCGAUAAUAGAGUUGGUAUUUGAAUGUUAUAUGGCUAUGAGAUUUCAGCUAUCUGUUCACUUCAUGUAUACUGGAUGUUUUUGUUUUUACGUUUGAUUAUGAGUUCAAGUUUGAUUUAAAGCAUCAGAAUGUCACAAACCUUAAUGAAAUAGGAAACAAUGCAUUAAAAUCAGUUAUUUCUUUUAGCCUUUGACUGUCAAAGUAUUCUUGAAGUUCUGAAAAAUCCCUAAAUGUUUGAGAUUUCAGAAGUUUGGCAGCAUGUUCUUUUUGUGUAAAGCCUUCCCCUUUUGAAAUCACUUUUUCUUGGUAUUGUUAGCAUUUGGUAAUGCAGGAGUUUGUGAGUGCUUGGCACGAGGCCCAGAUUUACAAAUCUUGCCACUGGUUGGUUAGCCUUUUGUGAAUGAUAGGUAGCUUCAAGAAUAUGGCAAAACUUAUUACUAAGUUGAUCACUAGGCAGAUUCAAAAUUUAUUUGAUUUCAUCCUGUACAUAUUACUUUUAUUAAUUUAGUUCAAGGCCUGUAAUUAUUUGUAAAUAUUUAAUGAAGUUAUUUAUUAUUGGAAGUGUAUAAAAUGUAUUCAAACUUAGUUUAAAUCAUUGCUAUUUUAGCUCUUUUCUUUACAACAGUCCAAAUGUUUCUUGUUCAGAGUUCGAAAACUGGGCCCAUUCCAUUUAAGCACAUCUAGGACCAGUACAUAUUAACUUGAGAUGUUUCAGUUUAGUAUAUGUUGUUUGUUCCUGAAAUGUGACUUAAAUAGCUAGUAUAAAUGUUUUGAAAAUCGCUGAUUUGUGCACGUCCAUAUUUGGCAAGAAUGUUGAGAUUCUGGUGUGUUGUUUGAACUCUUUUUAGCCCUUCUAUGCAAUACAAAUGUUUUUUAAGUUUAUCCUUUUGUCAAAAUUAUGUUAAGUAAUCACUAGUUUCCUUUGCAUAAUGUUAGAUCCAAUCGACCGUGGCCUAAUUUGUCAAAAUUGGUUCAUUAACUUGUAGUGAUAUCAUUGACUCAAAGAGAAAACAUAUUUAGAUCUUUUGUCCACAUUAACAGAACUCACACUUUACCCGACCCCAUUUCAUAAUUCUUUGACAUUCACUUGACUUCAAACCUUAGAAAAGGAUGAUCAUAUGAAUACCGUAUUUUGCUUUAGGCACGAUUGUUAAAUAAACCAUCAUGAUUAUGGGUAUGGUUCCCGUGACAUAGUUAUGAUGCCUAAUUUCCUAAAUUCGUGUGUGCAUUUUAUGUGACCCAAUCACAACAACUUCGAAUAAUAAUAAAAAAAAAGUCGCGAAUCGCGGGUGCAUUUCAUGUAGUGUGGUUUGCGGCGUGUUCCAAAAUGGCAAGAGUACGACAAUCAUAACUUGUUCAAGAAAAUUUCCAUAAAUCCUAAAAGCGGAUAAAAUAAUUAAAAGUGGUUAUAAAGUUAAAAAAUGCACACUAGGUUUAAAACAUGUAAUAAAUUAGAUAAUUAGGCCAAUAUUAAUAGUUAAGCGACUGUGCUCGAACCACGGAACCCGGAAAUGCCUAACACCUUCUCCCGGGUUAACAAAAUUCCUUAACUAGUUUUCUGGUUUCGCAGACUUUUAAAUGAAGUCGAUUUUCCUCGAUUUGGGAUUUAAAGUAAACCGAUGACUUGGGACACCAAAUAAAUUAUUCCAAGUGGUGACUCUGAAAUAAAUAAAUAAAUAAUUCCGUUUCGAUUUAUGUUACUUUAAUUGGAAAAACUCCUUUAUAUCCCACUCGGAAGAAAAAAGGAGGUGUGACAACUCUGGCAACUCUGUUGGGGACUAAGAACCCAGAACCUUUGGUUUAGGGUUCAAGAAUUCGAGCUUAUAAUAACUGUUAUACGUGGCUUUAUUUUUUUUUACAUGUUUGAGCCUAAUGUGCUAAAUGCCUCUUUUUACUGCUUUGAUAUCGUUUGAACUGUAUAUAAAUUGUUACGAAACCCUCUUCUCUCUGAGUCUUCUAAAUCAUCUAGGAAGUGUGCACUUCCUAUGAUUUAUUUUCUGUUAGAGUCAUAUCCCAAUUUAAGAAUGAGGUUCGGACAAGUUGCAAAGCCGGUGAAACUUCUGUAUUCACAGUACGCUGCCCCCCUCGGCUCGAGUCAUCUGCUCGGGUAAGCCAGGUCUAGAAUAAAUACACCCAGGUUUUUAAACCUAGAAUAACAUAGCCUCAUGCCGGAUCCCUAGUAGAAAUGCUUGUUUGAAUCACGUGCAUUUGACUUUGGGGACUCAACACAGGGGUUGGGUUCGUCUAGGGCCGGUGCACCCUAAAUCAAAAGAUCAUCCCGAUGCAUUUUACUUGCUACUUGUACACUUAUUUGCUUUGGAUUGCAUGUUCACCGACUUCUAGAAUAAGGGAGAAAAGUUGGAAAAAUCAAAUUGAGGUAUGAGAGAGAUAAUUACCUACUUUUGAAAAAUCAGGUGUCCAAAAUAUACCGAAACUCUGCCGAAAACAAAGAGAGAAAAAGAAAAAGGAAAUAAAAGAAAAUUGUUUCAAAUAUUUCAUGUUUUUCUGUUGCGUCAAAAACUUCCUGAACUACGCAGGUUUUAUUCUCACCAGAUGUGGUAUACGUAGGCAACCCUUAUCGGGUCCAACCCUAUUUUUAGAAAAAUAACCCAAAAAUAUGAAAGGUUGUCAUUUUGUCAUAAAUAAAGUUAGAUGAUGUCGUUUUUGUCUAAAUCGCCAGAAAUGCCCCGACAGGGAGCCGGAAGGUUGUUUUUGCAAGAAUAACCACCUAUGAUCGUUUUUUCAAAUUUUGGCCAAUUAGCAAACACAUCCCUAAAAUCUUCCUUCCUGAAGUGCUGAAGGGCCGUAUUUGCAAAGGUGUUUUGUUUUGAGCAAGUUGUUUGAGUUGCAAUUUUGCAAAAAUAAUAUUCUUCCUUUUGGGUUAAAAUAAAUCAUGGGUUUUUAACCGAUCACUUUAAAUAAAUGUGCAGGAUGAGCACUAUUGAAAAUGAACCUUUCAAAGUUGUAGAGAAAAUCCUGAUAGGACUCCAUAUGUGGUUUAAUGACCUGGGGGAAGUCAGCAGAGGUGUUGCGAUAAAAGCUUUAGGCGGGAUCACUGGUCUUUUGAAGAUUAAACCAAGGGUGGACAUAAUUGAAGCAUUGAUACCGUUUUAGGACUUGGCGCAAAUGUGUUCCAUUUCUUUGAUUUUGAGUUAACCCCUACACUUGAGGAGAUAGCAGGCUAUGUUGGCCUUAACAGGAAUCUUAGUAGCUGAUACCCAGUGGAACCAAGAGUUGUAACCCCUCACAAGUUUCUAGAUCUUGUGAGCAUUAGUCGGGAAAUCAAAGAUUGAAAUUUGGCUGAAGGAUUUUGCACAUUCUACUUCCUAUACCGCCGUUAUGGGGACCCCCACGUUUUUGAGCCUUCGAAUACCAGUUUAAGUCAUUAAGGGAAUAAAGGCAAAUGGGAAGCAUGCCAGGGAUUGGCCUUCGUAGUGGCAUUCUUAGGCACUCUAAUCUGCCUGAGGAGUGAUGGACAUAUAGAGUUGGGGCUCGCAGGGGUGGCUAACUUCAUGAUCAAAAAGGCUAAUGACACUAUUAUAUCAAUGAUCCUGGCAGAAAUUUACCGAGCUUUAACUGUUUGGCGAGCUGGGGGAAAGUUUUUUGAAGGUUGCAACUUGCUUUUACAAAUCUGGAUGGAAGAACAUUUGUGCCAUCACCCGGGGUACAUGAACUAUGAUCUAACUGAUCUCAACUACAUUGAGGAACAUGAAAACCGGGUAAAUGGUCAUGAGUUUCCAGAAGGUACAGACGAAUGGGUUGCACAUUUGGGUUUUUUGACUGCAAGCAAAAUUGAGUGGACAUUCGGUUGGCUCCGUGUCAACGAAGUUAUCUAUAUGUUGGUCGGAGUGUGCUUUCUUUUAUUAAUGAGUCUUUGAAGUAUUCAGGUGUAUGCUCCACACAGGGUUCUGUGCCAGCUGGGUAGGUACCAAACUAUCCCUCAUAAUGAAGAUUUGAGUUGACAAGUCAUUGAACUAGGUCCAAAAGCUGCAUUCCCAGAAGAAAAGGUUGGCCAGAUUUGGCAUCAAUGUAGGUUUCUGGAGCCACAAACUCGAGUACGGGAUUUGUCCAACGGUGAGGUAGAGCCUAGCUACACGGCCUGGUAUGGUAAAAGGGAUCAAGAACCUGAAUGGCCCACCAAAAGGCCCCAUGUACAAUAGUUCACUGAUGGGGCACGAGAACAAUGGAAUUGGUUGGCAAAGGAGAAAACCUAUAGGGCCACGAUAAGCAAAUUAGAAGGGAAAAUCAGAGAUCUUAAAUUUAAUAGUAGUGUGCAGGCCGCUGCUGAUGAAGGAGAGAAGAAAAAGUUGGCUCGAGAAAAUGAAGCCCUUCGAGCCCAGAUUCAAAGGAUGAAGAUAGCUGCUGAAAACCCGAGAAGGAGCCAAACAGAUGAAAGACUUAUAAACGGUCUUAGGCGGAAAGUAUGUGAGCAUGAGACUGAUUUGGAAAAGUCCGAAGGUAUAUUAGCAAGAGACCGGGCAAAGCUGGCGAAGAACGUAGAAGGACGGGCAGGGUUUGUUCAGCAAUUAAAAGAAAAAUAUGAUAGAGAGGUUGCAAAUCUAAAGAAAAAGCUAACUACCCUCGAGAAUGAAAUAGCUCAAUAGACAAAGAACUUCAAGGCAGAGAGGGAACAUUGUUAUGCAUUGAUGUCCGGACUAGAAGAGGACAUGCAACAGUAGCAGGAGCAAAGCCAUAAUGACACCCAAGUUCUGGAAGCUAGAUCUCAACAAAUUGGGCGCCUGCUCUAAGAGAAAGGCAUCAUUAGAGAAAGGAUUAGAGGAAUUCCUGACUAUAUCGUCAUGAAAUGCCAUGAGUGCGAGGAUAUGACUAGAUCCACUUUCUUCGUCACUGUGAUGACUUUUGUUCGCCAGAUAAUGGACGACCUAGAUCGCCUCCAAGAAGACAUUGCACGUAGGCCCACGUCGAGACCGACUGAUGUCCCGCGGGCCCCUGGAGUAGUAUUGGAGGCACUUAUGUAUUCCUGAUUUUUCUUUUCGAGUAUGUAUUUCAGCUUUCUUUUAGAGUCUGUUAGUCUACUUUGAGUCUGUUUGUUUUUUUUAGUUCUAAAGUCUGUAUGAUGGAGUCGUUGUAAAAGAGAAAAAUUAGAAGUUUUUAUUUUAAUGAAAAUUUGGAAAACCCAAAAAAUAGUUCUUUCUUUUAUUUCGCAUUUAUCCCCUGAACUACAUAAUGAUCUGAUUCAUGCGGUGUCAUGAUACAUAGGCAAUCCCCAUCGGAUCUGGUCAUAGCUUUAGAUAACUCGAAUAAGAGAGAAAAUGAUGAAAAAAGAGAGGGCACAAGAAAAAGAGAGAAAACAAUGCAAAGAGAGAGCGCAAAGAAAAGAGGGAAAUAAUGAAAAGCGCAAAAGAAAAGAAAAAGAUUCAAGAUCUGGGAGAUAGUCAAAGCCGGGAUAAGACACGCAACCGUUGCAAAAUAUAUAGAAAAAUGUUUAACUAUUUAGGUGCAUUGCAUUCCCCAACGUGUGAUUCCCUAUGUGUUAAUCAUCUCAAGCUAACCGAUUUGUUGUGUAUGCUAUUGAGAACAGGUUCUGUUUUAGGUGGUUGGUUUUGUGUUAAUUUGGCUUCACACCCUUACUUCACGAGAUCUAAAGGGAGUGUUGAAAUGAGACCGAAAAGUCACCUACCAAUCAUUAACCCCUCAGAGGACAGCCCAAUGUCGGUUAUCCUGACGUCAAAGUCAGCAACUACUGAAGAGAACAGGAUAUUGCGCCUUCGCAUGUUGGAAAUGUGGGAUGCUUGGUCUAACGGUAGGGAGCCGCCUAGCGCAAUACCUGGUUUUCUCGAGCUGAUUCACAGAACAAGUGGAACCUCCAAUAUCCCUAUAAGCUACCCGACCACCCCAUUCGGAUACCCCACUAUGUCAACCUAUUUCACUAGAACUCAUUCUAAGGUUUACCCCCAGGCACUGAUUUCGGGAGUGUUUUCUAACAUAUUCACCGCACCACAAACCUCUGCUAUGGAACAACCAACAGUACCCAGGCCAGGUUUCGAGUCAUCGUCCUUUACUUUCCAAAUACCACUAUUUCAAUUGGAUACAGCUCAUGUUACCCCAAGCUCCUACCCUCAACAACCUCGGUAUGAGUCUACCACGGAACAAGAGAGAACUAUAAAGAAUCCCGAGCAAGAAUAGAUCACUCGAAAAAUGAAAAGCAUAGAACAAAGUCUCAAGAACAUACAAGGCCUGAGUGGCCAGAAGAGUGUCUCUUACGCUGACUUGUGCAUGUUCCCUCAUGUUCAUCUGCCAAUCGGUUUCAAGACUCCCAAAUUUGAAAAUAUGAUGGACAUGACCCCAUAUCUCACUUGAAAAGGUAUUGCAAUCGGUUAAAAAUAGCGGGCGGGAAAGAAGAACUCUUGAUGGCUUACUUCGGGGAGAGUUUAGCCGGAAUUGUAUCUGAAUGGUAUAUGGACCAAGACAUCUCCCACUGGCACAUCUGGGAUGACUUGGCCCAAGACUUUGUCAGAUAGUUCCAGUACAACGUGGACAUAGCUCCAGAUAGAAACUCUUUGUUCAAUUUCAAAAAGAAGUCUUCGGAGAGCUUUCGAGAGUAUGCUAUCAAGUGGCUUGAACAAGAUGCCAUGGUGAAACCCCCAAUGGAUAAGACUGAGAUGAUCAGUGUCUUCUUGUAAGCCUAAGAGUCUGAUUAUUUCCAGAACAUGAUGCCCGUUAUGGGCAAGCAGUUUGCAGAAGCCAUAAAGAUUGGGGAAAUGGUGAAGAAUGGUUUGAAAAUGGGUUGCAUCCUGAGCUAGUCGACUAUAAGAGCCAUCUCUCAAGCAAUCCAGAGCAGGUCGGGGGCUGCAGCAAACCGAAAAAAAGAAAGAAGAAGUGGCAAUGAUGGCCUCAAGUUUGAGAAACCCCCAUCAACCCCGAGGUUACUUUGGUUCCUCUUCAAGCACCCCGCAACAUCACUACCAUCACCAAGAUGCGACAUAUGCCAUGACUCAUCAGCCUUAUGCAGUAAUGAAUACCCAGCCAUACGCUCGGCCACAACAAUACUAUAACUAGAACUGAGCUCCACCUCCCAGAAAUAACCCUCCUCACCAAGCUCCAUAUAACCCCCGUCCACCACAGAAUAAUUUUCCAUAUAACACCCGUACCCGUGAACAACCCGUACCUCCAAACAGGAAAAACCCAGAGUCACCCUCCUACCGACUAGGUACCCGAUAUGCUUAUCAUUCAGGGGCAGAAAGGCAUGACACUGAAGAUUGAUGGACCCUUAAGAGUGUGGUCAAAAACCUGAUAGAACAAAAACCGGUAGUGUUUAGGGAUGAGGACGUUCCCAAUGUAACAAAUAACCCAUUGUUGGCUCACAACAAUGGACCAGUCAUUGGUAUGAUCUUUGAGGACAAAGAGUUCGACCCAGCUUUGAAAUCUAUCAUUGCUAUUGCUGACGUAGAAAAGAAACCCAGAACGGCAGAAAAACAAGCUAAGGAUGAGAAGAAGAGCAACUCCACUCCUCAAAGAAUAGAAAAGGUUGUGGAAGCCAAGACAGGGGUAGUACUUCCUAAAGAUGCCAUUCUCUAUGUUCGCAGGGCCCCAAAAAAGAACAACUCGUGUUGAGUCCCCCAAAAAGUUUGAGAAAAACAAGGUUACACUAAAGGUACCAAAGAUGUACAUACCAAACAGGACUUAUGUGGCGCAGGGGCCGAUAAUUUCACCCAGGCUGACUGAGCCCGUGGUUAUCAGCCGCGUACCAAAAAAAUCCUAUGAAGGGCCCUACUGUCGUCCCCUAGAACUAUAAUAAAGCGGUGGUGACGUACAAGGGAAAGGAAAUCAUGGGGGAGGUGAAUGAAGCAAACCCGUCUUGGAAGUACCUCAACUUGGAAGAAUUGAAGAAAACCAAACAGAAGCGUUUUCUGCUUAAAAAGCUAGUCAAUGCUGAAGAGGCAGAUGAAUUCUUCCGAAAGAUUAAAACCUUGGACUACGCCGUGAUUGAUCAACUCAGAAAGUCACCCUCUCAGGUCUCACUUUUGUCCCUGUUGAUAAGCUCGAAUGAGCAUCAGAAAGUGCUAUUAAAGACGCUUAAUAAGGCAUAUGUUCCGGUCGAGACCAUGGUUGAACAAUUGGAAAGAAUGGCAGAAUGAUUUUUCGAAGUCAAUCGGAUUUCAUUCAGCCGAAAUGACUUUCCUACAGAAGGGGUUGCCCACAACAAAGCUCUUCAUUUGACCAUUAAAUGUGAAGGAUACUACGUGAAAAGAGUUAUAUUGGAUGGCGGAUCUAGGGUUGACAUCUUCCCUCUCUCGACCUUAUAGAGAAUGGAAAUUGGGACUGAACGGAUUAAACCCAACAAUGUUUGCAUACGUGCUUUUGAUGGCGUCAAGAGGGAUACGAUAGGGGAGAUUGAUUUGGUCCUAACCAUUGGCCCUAUGGAUUUUGAAGUGACAUUUCUGGUUUUGGACAUGGACACCUCCUACAACUUUCUCUUAGGAAGGCCUUGGAUCCAUGCUGCAUGAGCCGUUCCCUCUAUGCUCCACCAAAUGGUUAAGUUUGACCAUGAAAACCAAUAAAUGGUGGUCCACAGAGAAGAUGAGUAAUCAAUUUACUGGGACCCGUCAGUCCCAUGUCUGGAGGCUAAGAAAGGUAGCGAGCACAUAGUCUACCAAGCUUUUAAAAUCAUGGUUGCGGACCAGUGUGAGGAAGGAACCCCAUGUACUCAACCCUUCUUGUCAAACGCGUCAAACAUGGUCUCCAAUGAAACGAUCAAAUAUGGCUACAAGCCUAGGAAGGGGCUCGGGGCAUCUUUGCAAGCUAUUACAGAGCCCGUCACUUUGACUGCCAGUGAGAAAUUCUUUGGCGUCGGUUUCCAAGCUAUAGAAGCCGACGUAAAAUUGGCUAAUGAAUGUAAGAACAAUGGGUGGGCUCUACCUCAGUCGGUCCUGCAUCUCGCCAGAAUGUUUGUUAAGCCAAGGUACAUAGAAGGAGAAGAAGAGGCCUUAACGGUCGAAGAAAUUGAGGACAUCUGUGGGGCAAUGAGGCAAAUGUUAUAUGAGGCUCACAUUGUCCAGUCGGGUGAAGGAUCAAGCAUUGUUGAGGUGCAAUAUAUGGUGCCAAAUUCCAAACUUCAAAAUUGGAUGGCUACUCCGUUCCCAGUCAGGCAGGAAUCCCGGUAGUUCAGUCUUGCUAUCUUUUCUGCAUUCCGAGUUAUUUCAGGGUGUAACUCAAAUGUUUUUUGUUUUAUUGUCUUUUAAAUUCCAAUGUAAACCCUUCUAUCUUCAAAUUAAAUGAAAUGAAAUAAAUAUUUCAUCGUCUAUGAAUCUCUCUCUUUAUUCUUUUUUAUUUUUGUUAUUUUUUCUUAUCUCUCUUUUCAGUUCUAAUAAUGCGGACUUAAAUAACAUGACAUGCUUGCGGACUUCAUGCCCAGAUCCUAACAUGCUAUUUAACUGUGAAAUAAUGAAUCAAGAACUAGAAUAUGAUUAAGAUGAGGCAUUUAGGGAAAUUAACCGAGAACUGGAACAAUUUGAAAAUAAGCCUAAGUCAAACUUAAAUGAAACUAAGCCAGUUAAUUUGGAUAUUUCGGAAGAGGUCCAAGAAACCAUGAUAAGCAUUCAGGCUAAUGAAAGAACAAGGGAUGCAUCGAUCCAACUUUUGUUCGAAUCAAAUAUGUGUUUCCCUAGUCCUAUGAUGAUAUGCCAGGACUGAGUGUUGAUUUAGUGGUGAACAAAUUGCCAACUUACCCGAGUUUUCCCCCUGUCCAAAAAAAUAGAGAAAGUUUAAAACAGACAUCAGUGACAAGAUCAAAGAACAAUCACCAAAGAGUUGAAAGCGGGUGCGAUCCGAGUGGUAUAAUACACCACAUGUUGGCUAAUGUGGUCCCAAUGCCAAAGAAAGAUGGAAAAACCCUAGUGUGUGUUGAUUAUCGAGAUUUGAAAAAAGAAAGCCCUAAGGACAACUUUCCAUUACGAAACAUCCACAUCCUUGUUGACAACUGUGCCAAACAUGAGAUACAGUCUUUCGUGGAUUGUUAUGCUAGGUAUCAUCAGGUUCUGAUGGUUGAAGAAGACGCAGAAAAGAUGGCUUUCACCACACCUUGGGGUGCUUACUAUUAUAGGGUCAUGUCGUUUGGUUUAAAUAACACCAGGGCAACUUAAAUGAGAGCUAUGACUGCCAUCUUUCAUGACAUGAUGCACCAGGAAAUUGAGGUGUACCUGGAUGAUGUGAUCAUUAAAUCCAGAAUGCAGGAUGACCAUGUGCGAGAUUUGAGAAAGUUUUUUGAGCGCUUGCGUAAGUAUGACUUGAAGUUGAAUCCCGCUAAAUAUGCAUUUGAAGUACCAUCUGGGAAACCGUUAGGGUUUAUAGUCAGUCGAAGAGGCAUCGACUUAGAUCCAACAAAGAUAAAGUCUAUUCGGGAUUUGCCACCUCCGAGAACCAAGAAAGAGGUUAUGAGUCUAUUAGGAAGGUUGAAUUACAUCAGUAGAUUCAUUGCUCAGUUGACUUCCACGUGUGAGCCCAUAUUUAAGCUACUGAAAAAAGAUGCGGCGAUUAGAUGGACAGAGUAGUGUCAAGAAGCUUUCGACAUAAUCAAAGAAUAUCUAUCGAAUUUGCUAGUGUUGGUCCCACCCUAACCUCGAAAGCCUUUGUUCUUGUACUUGAUAGUGUUGGAGAACUCUUUUCGAUGUGUUCUCAGGCAACAUGAUGUGACCAGGAAGAAAUAACAAGCCAUAUACUAUUUAAGGAAGAAGUUCACUAGUUAUGAAGCCAAGUACACUUUGUUGGAAAGAACUUGUUGCGCCUUAACUUGGGUCGCUCAGAAGAUUAGGAAUUACUUGUUGGCUCAAACCACCUAUCUCAUAACCAGAUUGGAUCCUUUGAAGUACAUAUUCCCAAAGCUGAUGCCCACAGGAAGGUUAGAAAAAUGGCAAAUCAAGCUCACCGAAUUUGACAUAGUCUAUGUUACCCGCACUACAAUGAGAGCUCAAGCCUUAACAGAUUACAUAGCUAAAAAUCUUGUUGAUGAUGAAUAUCAUCCUUUGAGUACUUACUUUCCGGACGAGGAAGUAAAUUCAGUUCGGGUAAUUCCAGAAGACACCAAUACUUGGAAAAUGUUCUUUGACGGAGCUGUGAAUGCAAAAGGUGUCGGGAUUGGGGCAAUUUUGAUUUCGCCCACUGGUCAACACUAUCCGGCCAUAGCCUGGCUUCGGGUUUUCUGUACGAACAACACUGUCGAGUAUGAAGCAUGCAUCAUGGGCAUUAACAUGGAAGUCGAUCAGGAUGUGAAAGAAUUGUUAAUCAUGGGAUAUUCUAACUUGAUUAUUCGACAAGCUCAAGGUGAAUGGGAAACUCGAGAUAUCAAGCUUAUUCCAUACAGGCAACAUGUGGAAGAUCUUAGCAAAUGAUUCAAGUCUGUCGAGUUCAGGUAUAUUCCUCGAUUCCACAAUGAGUUAGUUGAUGCACUAGCUAUUUUGGCCUCAAUACUACCGUAUCCAGGCAAUGUACACAUUCACCCACUGGAAAUCCAAAUUCGAGAAAGACAUGGUUAUUGAAAUACAGUUAAGAUGAAACCAGAUGUUCAGCCAUGGUAUCAUGAUAUCAAAAGAUUUUCAAAAAUAAAGGAAUAUCCCGAACAAGCCAGCGGAGAUCAAAAGAGAACCAUUAGAAGGUUGGCCAGCAGUUUCUUCUUGAGCGGAGAGGUAUCGUACAAAAGAACUCUAGAUUUGAACCUUUUAAGAUGUGUGGAUGCUUAAGAGGCUAGAAAAAUCAUGAACGAGGUGCAUACGGGAGUAUGUGGAUCCCAUAUGAAUGGAUACAUCCUUGGAAAGAAAAUCCUUCGAGUGGGUUAUUACCGUAUUACCAUGGAAAAGGAUUGCUUCAGUUUUGUCCGAAAGUAUCAUCAGUGUCAGGUACAUGGUGACAUGAUUCAUGCACUGCCUUCAGAAUUGCAUCCUAUGUCACCACCGUGGUUGUUCGUUGCUUGGGGUAUGGAUGUCAUUGGGCCAAUCGAGCCAAAAGAUUCAAAUGGAUACAGAUCCAUCUUAGUUGCCAUUGAUUAUUUCACGAAAUGGGUUGAAGCAGUCACUCUUAAAGCCGUCACAAAGAAAGCGGUGGUGGACUUUGUGUAUUCCAAUAUAUUAUGUCGCUUUGGUAUUCCUAAGACUAUUAUCACCGACAAUGCUGCAAAUUUGAAUAGUCAUUUGAUGAGAGAGGUAUGCGAACAAUUUAAGAUCACGCAUCGGAAUUCUACCCCUUAUCGCCCCAAAGCUAAUGGCAUUGUUGAAGCAACGAACAAAAACAUCAAGAAGCUCCUUAGGAAAAUGAUCCAAAGUUCUAGACAAUGGCAUGAAAAGUUGCCUUUUGCAUUGUUAGGAUAUCGCACAACCAUGCGCACGUCAGUUGGGGCGACACCCUAUCUAUUGGUUUAUGGCACUGAAGCCGUAAUACCCGUAGAAGCUAAAAUUCCAUCUUUGUGAAUCAUCGUUGGAGCUGAGAUUGAGGAUAAUGAAUGGGUCAAGACCCGUCUAGAACAAUUAACUCUGAUUGAUGAAAAGCAGAUGGUCGCUGUUUGGAAAUGUCCGUAUAUUAUAAGGAAAUUGCUGCCGAAAGGGGCAUUGUACUUCGGAGACAUUGAAGUAAAUGACCCUGAAACAGCUAUCAAUGCAGACGCGGUCAAAAGCUACUACAUUUAACCCUUAUGCGAUGCUAAUAUUCUCCGAUUGGGAUGAUGAAGGCUUUCAUUCUCGCUACCUAAACAUUGUUAACCCUUUGCAAACCCUUUGAGCUGGUUACCUUUCUAUGAUUACCCUCUUUGGAGCUCUAAAAUGUUGUCAAAAAAGAACAAGAAAAAAAAAGAAAAUCAAAAACAAGGUUUCCUGAACUACGUUCGACUUGAUUUUGAAAGGAUACGUAGGCAUCCUAUCUCUGGGGUUCAAUCACGCCAAAACAAAAAUCCACAUUUCCCUAAAAGUUGAAACUGUGGCAGAAGAUAUAAAUGGUUUGGCGAUGGUUCGCCUGAAAGGUUCCAAAGUUAUAAUUCAAUCCAAACUAUUUUUAUCCCAAAUCCUAUUCAAGCCCUUCCGAUCAACCGGUAUAGAUGUUCAAAAUUGAAAGAUGUGUUUACUUGGAUCUUAUACAAUUAAAUGAGAGAAAUAAAAUGAGAGAGUCUUAUUAGUGAAAACCCACACGGGCACCAUAGGGCGAUGGUAAGCAGAGAAAUUGAAAAUGAGAGAGUCUUGUUAGUGAAAACUCGCAAAGAGCACAAUAAGACGACGGUGAGACGAGAAAUGAGAGAGGUCAGUUGGUGAAAACCCGCAAAGGGAGCAACUGAUCAAAAAAGGGAUCCCUUACGACCAUCGGUACUGAUAGAGUCCUGGCGAGGCUCAGUUUUGAGGUAUGGGUUAUGAUGGGUUUAUAAGGUUUGGAUGGUUUUCACAGAUCGGGUAUCCAGUCCAAAACGCAUGUCAUGCCUAUGGAAGUCUGCGUGCACUCCAGAUAAGUCCUUCAUUUCUUUCCCCGAAAGGGACACGUCUCGUUUAAAUUCAUUAUCCUGUCCAUUGUUUACCUUUCUUUGAAUCCCUUUCAGUUUAAUUCUCCCCUAAAACUAAUACAAUGAAAAGAUGGCAAGAUUGGUUUUAUAGAGUUUUGUUUGACAUAAAAGCGAAUAUUCAAGAAAGCACCCAGCCUCAGCAGGUGCAUCAAGUCGUCCUCAACUGUCUAUGAUGGCCGAUGCUUCAGAGUUAAAAACUCUUGAAAGGAAAGGAAAUCAAAAUCAAAUGCCCGUAAAGGCAAAAUAAGAUGAAAAGGACACAUCCCACACUGGUUAAUCAUCAUGAGAAGCUUCAAAAGGUCAAUACUUCUUAGAUUUUGAAGAUGAAACCAACUCCCAUAAAGAGCAAGCAAAGUACUAAAGAUCCUUACUAGAAGAGCGGGGCCAAGAUCAAAUGAUUAAAACAAUCAAGUCCACAAAACCAACAACCAUUUCAAACUAACAAUUGUUCUUUGUUUGAAAAUAGGAAAUGGGUGCAAUCCAAAAGCAGCCUUGCAAGAAGCAGGUGCAACAAAAGGAAGCUGCACAAGAGCUAAAAAACAGCUUUGCAGCAACAACGCCAAAAAAGGGAAGUCUCUUCCAAAAUUCUCUCCCGCUUUUACUCGGUCUUGAAAUUAAAAAUGAUGGUGAAAAUAAAAAUAAAAAAUAAAAGAAGAAGAAGAAGAAGAAGAAGAAAAUUCAAAAUCAUGGUAGCAUAGGGUAUCCAAUCUCUAUAUACGUCUUUUCCAACAUAGGGUCCUAUUCCCUAGUCGAUGCCAGCAUACCCUGGUAAUCUUUCCAACAUAGGGUCCCACUCCUUAGUUGAUUCCGGUAUAACCCGAUGACUUUUCCGGCAUAACCCGAUAAUUUUCUGGCAUAACCCGAUGAUUCUUCAGGCAUAACCCGAUGACUUUUCCGGCAUAACUUGAUGGCUUUUCCGGCAUAAGCGAUGACUUUUCCGACAUAACCCGAUGACUUAUCCGGCAUAACCCGAUGACUUUUCCGACAUAACCCGAUGACUUUUCCGGCAUAACCAGAUGACUUUCUCGGCAUAACCUGAUGACUCUUUCGGCAUAACCCGAUGACUUUUCCGGCAUAACCCGAUACUUUUCCGGCAUAACCCGAUGAUUUUUCCGGCAUAACUCGAUGACUUUUCCGGCAUAGCCCGAUGACUUUUCUGGCAUAACCCCAUGACUUUUCUAGCAUAACCCGAUGAUUUUUCCGGCAUAACCCGAUGAUUUUCCGGCAUAACCCGAUGACUCGUCCGGCAUAACCCGAUGAUUCUUCCGGCAUAACCCGAUGAAUUUUCCGGCAUAAACUGAUGAUUCUUCCAGCAUAGCCCGAUGACGCUUCUAAUAUAGGGUCCCACUCCCUAGUUGAUGCCAGCAUAACCUAGUAAUCGUUCCAAUAUAAGGUCCUACUCCUUAAUUGAUACCAGCAUAACCUGGUAUUCUUUCCAACUAGGACCUCCAAUCCCCAGUUGUUUUCAUUUUAGAUAUAGGGUCUCCAACUCCCUAAUCUCUUUUUUCCUAAGGAUACACAAUCCUGAUUUUAUUGCUUUCAAUAAAGAAGUAAUUUAGAUUUUUGUUACAAUAACUCACGAAAUUUUCUUAGUGAAAACUGGGGCAGAAAAAUUUAGUUCGUUUGUUUGUUUUGGUGUCUGAGCAGGUUAUACCGCGAGACAUAGAGUGUGAGAUGACCAAAAGAAGAAGUCACAAUCCAGAAUAAAAGAAAAUAAGAACAAGAAAAAAAGUGAACUCUAAGUGCAGAAGCGGAGAAAAGAUGUGGACAACUCAAGAUAUGAUUGAAGUCACAAGCUUUGCAUGUUCCGCCUUGAUCUGAAAAGCUGAAGAAAAAUGAACCAGCAGUUGCAGCUAAUGAGCAUCAAGAUUCAGAUCAGAGUCUGCAGGAAGAACCAACCAAGACUCAAGAUCAAGCUUUAGAAGGUUUAUAGAUAGGGAUUUUGUAACCCGUAGUUGAUUAGCUUUUCAUUUUCGUUUUGGUGUAAUAAGGAGCUCAACAAGCAGAAAUAACAGUGAAAUCAUAGUUUCUUGGUAGUCCCAGCUACCAAAACUUCCAAAACUACACUGACCUGAUUCUUUUAUAGCCAAGGAUAUGUAGCCAACCUCCGAAGCAAGGUUCGGUCAGACUUUUUCCCAAAAAUGCUUCCCAGGAGUAUCCAGAUGGGCAAAAAUCGCUCAUAAUUGCUCACUUUAUCUUUGCCUAAAAAUUCUUCAUAUUUCGAGCAAAGAGGGGCAACUUUGAGCAUGUAAGUUUUGCCCUACUAGAAAUACUCCUACAAAAUUAAAGAAAAUAGAUUUUCUCCAAAUGUUUUUCAAUUUUAUAGGAUUUUAUUACUUGUUUGCAUUUUUGUGCCCGUUUAAUUUUGUUAAAAUAAUAAAAAUACCCCAAAAAUUUCAUGCAUUGCCUAUUAGGUUUUGUGUUCAUAUUUUAUGAUUAAUUGGUUAAUUAAUUUCUUUAUUAAAAUGAAAAAUCACAAAAAAAUAUUGUCCAUUUCAUUUUUAGCUUUUAAUAGUAGAUUAGUAAUUUUCUCUUCAUCAAUUUAGGAUAAAUUAAUUUUGUAAAUAUUAUAAAUAGACAAUUAGUUUGGUUUUACAGAUUAGAUUAAUUUAGGAUUUAAUUUAGUACUUUAAUUAAUUUAGUUAAGUGUUUAAGAAUUAAAGAAAAGAAAAAUAAAAAAAAAAGAGAGAAAAAAAGAAAAAUCAAGAUCAAAGAAAAAGGGUUGCCUCCACAUUUGGACCAAGUUGCCCAUAGCCUAAAUUUUUCCCAAUCCAGCCCAAACCCUAUAUAAAAAUCGGUCCAGCUCGCCCAUUAAUCAAAACAACGUCAUUUUAGUAACAAUGAUCCUAGCCGUUGAUCUUAUUUGAUCGAACGGACCAGAACUCAAUACCCACACCCCGUAUAACUGUCUGAACAUCCCCCUUAACCUAAAAACACUCUCUUUCUCAGAGACCAACCCUAGCUGCCCUAAAAUCCCUCACCGACUCCGUCGCCUGAAAAUCGCCUCACGACGGCGAUCCACCACCAAACUGCCCCAAAACUUAACUAGAUAAUCUCCAGCCUCCCCUCUUCACUAAUCCACCUUUAGUUCCCCCAAAUUCCUCACCAGACCAGUCGAAUUUCAGAUCUGAGAAAUGAUAAAAAAACCUAUGUUUACCUUUUCUCUGAUUUUUCUUCUAAAUCGAGUUUGUUUUACGUUACAACUCAUAUCAAUGGAUUUCUUUUGUUGAGAGUCGUCAAUUGGUGUUAUUUUCAUAAUGUUUGGACAAACCUUAAAUCCGGCCAGACCCCACUAACUUUGCCUGAAUUCCAGUUGUGAGCACAUGAUUUUAGCCUUAUGUGAAUUACUCACAUAAAUUCAAGAAAAAUAAUUUUUCCCAAUAUCGUAGAUUUUCGUAGGAUUUUUUGUUAAUUGUUUGCAUUUUUCUGUGCAUGUUUAUUUUAUUAUAAAUCAUUGAAAAACACAAAAAUACAUUGCAUUUGUAUUUAGGGUCUAAUUUUGUAUUUUUGAAUUAAUUAGUAAUUUAGUUGUUUACAAAAAUAGAAAAAUUCACAAAAAACAACUCAUUUUUACAUUUUUAUUUGAGUUUCGAAUUUUGGGAGUUUUUCUUUUAAUUUGGUAUUUAAUUAUUUGUGGUAAGUGUUAUUUAGAGUUAGUUAAUUCAAUGUGGUAGGAUUAAUUUUAUUUAGGAAUUAGUUUAGGUUUUAUUUUUAUUUUUGUUUUUAAAAGAAAGUAAAAAAAAGGAAUUUUGAAAUAAUUAAAAAGGAAAGAAGUGAUAGAUCAGAUUUUGGGCUAUUCCAUUUUUAAUCCUCAGGCCCAAUUCAGAAACCCGUCCAAACCGUUUGAGUGCAGCCCAAACCCAUAUCCCAACCUGGUCCGAUAUCUAUGCUCAACCAAACGACGCCGUUCCAGCUCUUUCUCAUCUCAACCGUUGGAUCUCAUUGAUCCAACGGAUCGGAACUUGAUCUCCCUUAGGUAUAUUACUGUCCAAACGACCCCAACCCCCCACCAUUCCAUUUCCCCCUCAUUCCUUCUCUCUCCCAAACCCUAGAGACCGCCGCCCUCAUCGCCUCCACCUUGUUCCGCCUUACUCCGCCCAUCGGAAAUCGCCUCACGAUGGUUCCGGUGGUCCAAUCACUACCAAAUUAACACCAUGAACUCCCCUCCACAUCCCCAUCCCAAAUCUCCAAACAAUUCCUCUCAAAUUCCCUUAUGCUGCCUCAAAUCUCAGAUUUAAGGUCACCGCCUAAAACCCUAAAACUUCCAAAAUCUACCCUGAAUCACACCACGCACCCCUUCAUCUCCGUCCUUCCUCAAAUAUGUUCUUGUUUCCUCUCAAACCAGUCCGUCAGUGGUGGAGCAGAGGUCUGGAACACCCUAGGUCUCUCCCUAUGUUGUUUUCUGGUUCGACAAGGUUGAGUGAACCCAAACCGUCAUUAAUCUUUUGUCUUUUGUUAAGGACAAUCAAUUAAUGACCGUCAAGGGUUCACUUUCUUCGUCAAAAGGCUAUUUGAGUUCGUGCAGUUUCUUGUUGAAGCAGUUUUGGAAUAAUUUUUGUGUUGACUAGUUUCCGUUUGAUCUUUUCUUUUUGUUUGUUUGUUUGUUUGUCUAGUUUUAUUUCUUCAAAAGUUUCAUUUCUUGUUUAAUUGCAUUUUGUUUCUGGUUCAUUAGUUAGUUUGUUUGAUAAAUUGUUAAUGACAAUCGAUUACAUAGGGUUCGAGUUUGAUUUGUUUUCAAUUCGUGAGUUUCUCUUCUUUCGGCUAGAUUUCGUUUUAUGUUUGUGAAUUAAUUCUAGAACUGAGACAUUGAGAUUAGUCAAGUAUAGUUCCUUGUCUACAUUAAUUCCUUCUUUCAAGAGCAUUUUUUGAGUUCAUGUUUAUGUGUGUGAAGGAUCUUAGGUAUAAUUCAUGCUAAUUCUUCAUGAUUUCAAAUGAUUCAACAAUUGUUUUGAAUUUCAAUCUGGUUGAAAGUGUCAGCUCGUUUGCCUACUAUUUAUUAUGAUUGUGAGCAUUCAGAACUCGGGGGGGAAUGGAAAAUUAGGAAUUUUAGGGGUAGUUCUAGAGAUUGGUUCAACUUGGGAAUCUUUGGUAACCAAUUGGGGAAGCUUCCUAAAUGGACAGCUGCCCAAAUUUGUUAAGGGAAACAGGCUAGAAAAUUGAAAAUAUCUAAAGGAAAAUGACAGCUGUCCAAAAAUCAGUUUUAAAAGAUGCUCUGUGAGGGUAUUUUGGGGAAAAGCUGAUUGCUUUGCCUUGGAAGGCACACAACAGCCCCUCAGCCUUAUAAAUGAAGCUUUUUCUUUCACUUAACGGAUGGGGGAACACACCUUAAAAGAGUGAAAAUUCUCUGCAUUAAUUUGGGGUCAAAAGCUGCUUGCUAUCACACUCAAGGAGAACACCAGAAAAAUCAGAAAAAUGGCUAAGAGAGUUCAUUGAUAUUUCUGCAUCUUUUGGGUUGAAAAUUGGUUUCAAAUUUGAUGUUUAAUUUUAAGCGUUAGCUGGAAUUCAAAAACUUCGAAGAGCUUCUAUUUUGCUGGGUAAAAAUGGUUUAAGAUUUAAGCUUGUUUGUGUUUUGGAGCUGUUGGUUCAUCUGCUUUGUUACUACCGCUAUGUCCUCAUUUUCUUUGGUUUCUUUCGAUAUCUAGGUACACACUUUUAAGCCCUAAUGGUUGUGAAGUUGGAUUUGAAAAGUGAAAUGAAAAGCAGAAAGUUUAAAGCAAAGUACCAGUUAUUUGUGCUUCAACUUUACCUCUUUUUGAUUCUGUGUUUUGAUAGUUUAGUUCUUAUCAUUGUCUAGUAUCAUGGGAUAGUUAAGGUGUUGUAGCAACAGACUUAGUCGAGGCAUUUGAAUUUUAGCCUUGCCUUAAUUUCGGUUGAAAUAAGUGUUCAUGUUUGGUGAUGAUUUUGUGUUGACCUAGCUAUUAUGACAAGUUUAGGUUGGAGACAAAUUGAAUGAUGUGUAGUCUGUUAUUUUAAAGCAUUGGGAGGUAUUGUUUUGCCAGAAAUAGUCGUCUUGUGAUAUGUGAUAGUAAACUCGUAUUAAAGAUAGUUUGAUUUGCCUAUUAGUCUUGUUUAAAUUUUGGCAUAAAUCAGUUUAGUGUUUAAUAUUUUGUGAAAUAAGGUUUAAACCUUGUAGUUUGAAUUUUGAUUUACUGCUAUGAAGGAAGGGCUUAAACAUAUGUUGUUUGCCUCUGAAGAGACUUGAUCUCGAGUCCUAGACCCCCAGCAAUGGACCUUGAACAUGAUUUGGGCUCGUUUGGGCCCAAUGUUAUUUUUCUAAGUGAUGCGGCCACGUGAGUCUAAGGCAGACCUAGGCCCAAAUCACGUUAAUAAUUCAGAGAUUCAGUUUUAAUUGCUCUACUUUAAGUAAUCAACGAUCCAGAAGCUAAAAGGUUAGUUUAAUUAUGUGUCCCAUGUAGUUUUAGCUGAUCGGUAUCUAAUGGGUUGUGUACAAUUGUUGGCUUAUGGAAGUUGCGCCUAAAGUUGGCCCAAUUAAUGAGAUCAAUCCCAGACUUGAGUGCAAGACUCUACGCUGUUUUUUCUUGGUCAUCUGUUCUCUCAUCAUGAGUGGGCCCAUUUAGAGCCCAAUUCGGAAGGUAUUAGUAAAUAUGGGUCAGUACUUGUUUCAUUUUCGUUAAGCCCAAUCUUCAUUAUUUGUUUAUGAUGGUCUAAGCCAUUGGUUUAAUUGACCGAACCUUUCUCUCUUGUGCCAGCUCUUUAGCCACGUUGAGUAAAACACCAAAUUGCUAAGUGCAUAAUUAAUUAAUUACUCGUAUAAGUCGAGGUGUGUCGUGCCGAAUAAAGCUAAAAAUGCAUGGCCCUCGCUUAAUUGACUUUCUAUCCUUAGAAAUCAGGUGCGCCAUUUAGCGAACUUUCCAUGCGUAAUUAUUUUAAUAAUUACCUUCCUAAACUCGAGUGUGCAUUUCAUGUGACCCAAAUCCAAAUCUUAACAGUGUUAAAUAAAAUAUGUCUCGGACCUCGAGUGCAUUUAUGUGACGUGGUUCAAGACGUGUUUUAAAUAACGUUGAAAUCUUCCUAAAAAAAUAAUUAAAUAAAAGUGUUUAUAAAGUUAAAAUUGCACCAUAAGUUUAAACAUGUACUAAAAUCAGGUAAAUAGGCCAAUUAUAACAGUUGAGCGACUGUGCUAGAACCACGGAAUCCGGGAAUGCCUAACACCUUCUCCCGGAUUAACAUAAUUCCUUACCUGGAUUUCUGUGUUCGCAGACUGUAAUACAGAGUCAAUAUUUUCCUCGAUUCGAGAUUUGAACUGGUGACUUGGGACACCAUAAAAUUAUCCCAAGUGGCGACUCUGAAUUUUUUUCAUAAAAUGAUCCUGUUUCGAUUGUCACUUUAAGUUGGAAAAAACUCCCUUAUACCCUUUUAGGGGUGUAGGAAAAAGGAGGUGUGACAGCUCUGGCGACUCUGCUAGGGACAGAACCCAGAAUCUCUGGUUUAGGGUUUACGGCUCAGAAUUCGAGCUUAGAUGAAUUGUUAUAUUUGGCUUUAUCUUUUAUCUGAUUUUAUUACAUGUUUGGACCUAAUGUGUUAAAUGUUGCUUUUACCGCUUUAAUAUUAUCUGAACUGUAUAUAAAUUGCUACGAAACCCAUCUCUUCUCAUCUUUGGGGAUGUGCACGCUGGCCGUGACUCCCUAUUCUGUUAGUGUCAUACAUUGAAAUAAGAAAGUGGCUCGGACAAGUUACUAAGCCGGAUGGCCUUUUGGUUCCCAGUACAUAGCCCCCUCCUCGGCUCGAGUUGUCCGCUCGGGUACACAAGUCUAGAACAAAUACCCAAGUUUUGAAUCUAGAAUAACUCAGCCUCAUGUCGGAUCCCUAGUAAGAACGUUUGUUUGCAUCAUGUGCGUUUGACUUUGGAUACUCAACACAGGGGUUGGGUCUGUCUAGGACAUGUGUACCCGAAAUGAAAAGACUAUCCUGAUGCAUCUUACUUGCUAUUUGUGCAUUAAUUUGCUUUGGAUUUGCAUGUUGACCAGCUUAUAGGGUAAAACUCGAGAUAAGGAAAGUCAAUGUGAGGGCUGAGAGAGAUAACUGUCUGUUUUUUAAAAACCAAUGUCCAAAAUAUACUGAAACUCUGCCGAAAUUUCGGAAAAAAGGUUUUUUGAAAAUAGUUGGUUUUUGUUUUGUCAAAAUUGCCCGAACUAUGCCAGUUUGAUUCUUACCGGAUGUGGGAUAUGUAGGCAACCCCCAUCGGGUCCAACUUCCCUUUUGCAAAAAUAACCCAAAUAGAACCGAAAAUUUUAUUGCUUUGUUGUAAAUAAGUAAGGUGAUGCCAUUUUUGUCAAAAAUAGCCGAAUGUCCCCCAAAAGGACGCCGGAAGGCUAUUUUUGCAAGAAUAUCCACCUUGGUCUCUUUUUCAAAUUUUUGGCCGGUUAGCAAGUACAACUUUAAAUUCUUCUCCCGGAAGUGCUGAAAGGCCGUAUUUGCAAAGGCGGGUUUUAUUUUUGAAAUGAAAAUUUGAAAAAAAAUAGUGUUUACUUUUCUUGAGUCAAAUGAGUCAUGAUUUUGCUUCAUCACUCUAAUAAAUGUGCAGAAUGAGCACAAGUCAAAAUUUGCCAAUAACAGUCAUGAACAAUAUCCCUUUGGAGCUGCAUAUGUGGUGGGAAGAUCUGGGUAAAUCAGGGCAAGAUCGGGUCAAUCUCUACUUGGGAGGUCUUACCGGGUUAUUGAAGAUCAGGCCUAGAGGAGACAUCAUGACGGCGUUGGUUACGUUCUGGGACCCGGCCCACAACGUGUUUCAUUUCUCAGAUUUUGAACUCAUACCAACUUUGGAAGAAAUAGCCGAAUAUACUGGGAGCACUGAAGUGCCUCUGAGACACAAGUAUUUGAUUGCUCCAAGAUUCUUCGCUUUCCACUCUACAGUUUAUAUACCAGCGAUACGGACACAUAGAAGGGUUUAAUAAUCCAGAAAGCAAAAUUUGUAGCAAAGGGAAUCGCCUCAAAUGGAAAGAACACAUGUGCUUUGCUUUUAUGGUAGUAUUCUUGGGUCUUCUGGUGUUUCCUAGGAAAGAUGGAAAUAUCAAUAUACGGAUAGCUGGGGUCGUCAGCACUUUGCUUACUCAGGCCAAAAGUACCCUCGCACCCAUGAUAGUGUCUGAAAUCUUCCGCACUCUCACAACCUGUAAAGCCGGAGGAGACAUUUUUAAAGGGUGCAACUUGUUGCUACAGAUGUGGAUGAUUGAACAUCUAUGUCAUCGUCCUCAAUACAUGAGCUAUGGGUUGACAGAGAAAAAUUGCAUAAAGGAAUUUUAUACAAGGGUCGACGGGUUUUGCCUACCAGAAGGGGUUACAUAAUGGAUAUCACAUCUCUGUUCCAUCACUGCAAACCAAAUAGAAUAGAUGUUCGGGUGGCUUCCUAUAGACAAAAUUGUAUACAUGCCAUCUACCGGACCUCACUUCCUUCUGAUGGGUCUCAUAAGUAUCCAGCCUUAUGCCCCAAACUGGGUUUUGAGAUAGUUGGGGAGAUGUAAAAUAGUUCCAAAAGAUGAAGACCUUAGUGCUCAGGUAGUCGAGAUUGGUCCUGAUGGUCAGUUUCAUGAAGCAGUAGUCCGCCAGAUUUGGAGCGAGUGCCAGUUCCUAACGGCAAAUACCUGUGUGCGCGAUCUAUCCAAAGGUGAAAUGGCACCAGGGUACCUUACUUGGUAUAAAAGGGAAAUUGAGUUUGGAAGGCCAUCCAAAAGACCCCAUCUUCAAGAAUUUGUCGAGGCAUCACAAGCGCAAUGGGAUUGGUUGGCCAAAGAAAAUGAAUAUAGGGCUACCAUAAGCAAGCUGGAAAAGCAAGUCAAGGACCUUCAAUUCGAGAAUGGUUUGCAAGCCACCAUAGAUGAGGGUGAGAAGAAAAAGCUAGCCAAGGAAAAUGAAGCCCUUCGACCCCAGAUUCGGGAAAUGAAAAUAGCAGCUGAAAAUCCCUCCAGAAGUGCAAAAGAUGAAAAGCUUAUAAAGAACCUUAGGUAGAUGGUGAGUGAGUAUAGUUUUGAUUUGAACAAGGCGGAGGGUGAAUUAGCAAGGGCUCAAACAAAAUUGGCUAAGAAUACGGAAGAACAAGAAUGCUUGGUUAAACAGUUAAAAGAAAAAUAUUACAAUGAGGUUGUGGGGUUGAAGAAAAGGGUCACCAUCUUUGAGAACAAAAUGAUCAAGCAAGCAAAAGACUUUAAGGCAGAAAGAUAACAAUGAUAUGCAGCGAUGGCACAGUUAGAAAGAGAUCUACAACAACUUCAAGAACAUAAUCAUAUAGCUGAACAAACUUUGGAAGCUAGGGCCCAACAGAUUGGGCGUUUGUUGCAAGAAAAGGGCGUCAUAAGAGAAAGGGUCAAAAGGAUCGCCAACUACAUCACAAUGAAAUGCAGUAAGUGUGAGGACAUGACUAGAUCCAUGUUUUUCGCCACUGUGAUGACCUUUGUCUGCCAGAUAAUGGAAGAUCUCUACCAUCUCCAAAGGGAUUUGGUGCGUAGGCCCAUGGCGAGACCGAAUGAUGUCCCGCGGGCCCCAGGAGAAGUUGAGGCAUUGAUGUAUUUAUGAUUUUCAUUGGAGUCUGUUAGUUUGUAUUUUCAUCUUGGAGUCUGUUAGUCUGUUUUCGAUUCUGUUAGUUUUUGAUUCGUUAUAAUCAAAACGUAUAUUUUAUGAAAAAAAAAUUGAAAAUCCCAAAAUAUUUUUAUUAUUUAUUUUUACACUUAUCCCCUGGAACUACGCAAAGAUCUGAUUCAUGCGGGGUCAUGAUACGUAGGCAAUUUCCAUAGGAUUCGAUCAUAACCAAAUGAAAAAAAGAGUGAGAAAAGAAAAAAAAAAGAGAUAAAAUAAGAAACCGUGAGAAGGAAACAAUGGCAAAACAAGAAAAAGAAAUGAGAGGAUAAAGAACAACGAGAAAUCAAGCAAAAAAAGGGCAGGAGUGAAAAAGAGAAAAAGAUUGAAAAAAAAGGAAAAAAUAAAGAAAAAGAGAAGUUGCAAAUAGAAAUAACAGAAAAGCUAGGAUGACGCAAGCAACCAAUCAAAUGCAUGAUAGAAAUGUUUAACUGCUUAGGUGCAUUACAUUCCCCCAAAUGUGCGAUUGCAUAUCUGUUAAGCUCUAACUGCUAACAAGUUUGUUGUUGGUAACCAGUACAGGAAGGUGGUUAGUUUGUUGGCAUUCUGGCAACUCACCCAUACAACACCCGAUCCAAAAACAAGUUGAUCAUGGAUAACCAAGAACUUGAUGCAAGUGUUAUCGAUCCUUCGAGGGAGGGGGAAGAGUCGGAUGUCAAUUUAAGAGAAGAGAUGUAUAAGUUGAAACAACAGAUGGCCGAGAUGUAUCAAGCAUGGGUAAAAGGGCACCCACCACCUCUUUAUCCCGCCAACCCUGCCUUCGUCCCUCUAUUGGCUCAAUCCCAGGAACCUCUCACGGCCGAUUCAUCCCUAGGCUUUCCCAUUUACCACCACUAUUAGGGCACUACUUCCCAAACACCACAAGCUCCACCACCCAAACCAGUUUUGUACCCUCCUCCACCAGCCACUCCUGUUUUUGUGGCACCCCCACCUGCUACACUCCACCGAUCCUAUAGAGAGCCUUUAUUCCAAGCUCAUGAUAACCAAUAUUACCCCCUGGAGCCCACUUUCAAGGCUCCAGAACCCUAUUCCUUCACUCCUUGUUUUGAUCUCCUUGUGGAAACUGAGAAACCAUCUAAGAAUCCCGAACAUGAGGAGAUGUUCAUGAAAGUUAAAAGCUUGGAACAGUUGUUCGGAAACAUGCAGGGGUUGGGAGGUCAGGUAAGCAUGGCUUACAAAGAUCUAUGUGUAUUCCCAGAUGUUCAAUUACCGGCAGGGUUUAAGAUGCCCAAGUUUGAUUUGUAUGAUGGGCAUGGAGACCAGGUGGCACAUUUGAGAGGUUUUUGUAGCAAAAUGAGGGGAUCUGGCGGGACAGAUGAGUUACUAAUGGCGUAUUGCAGUCGGAGUUUUAGUGGUUCGGCACUGGAGUGGUACACUCGGCAGGAUCAUGGAAGAUGGUAUACAUGGGAUGAUCUAGCCUAAGCAUUCACUUGUCACUUCCAGUACAAUCUCGAGAUUAUUCCGGAUCGUCUGUCUUUGACAAAGAUUGAAAAAAAGCACAAUGAAAUCUUCAGGGAGUAUGGUUUUCGAUGGAGAGAACAGGCAGCAAGGGUUGAUCCUCCAAUGAAAGAAAGUGAAAUGGUGGAUUAUUUUCUGCAGGCCUUAGAACCUACUUACUACGGUCAUCUGGUAUCAGCUAUAGGCAAGUCCUUCAAUGAAGUGGUGAAAAUGGCGGGUAUGGUAGAAGAAGGACUUAAGUCAAACAAAAUCAUGAGCUAUUCGGCUAUUAAGGCAACCAUUCAGGCCAUUCAAAGCGGAACUGGGGAGUAAUUGGAAAGAAGAAGAAAGAAGAUGUGGAAACAAUUGAUUUAGGAGCUUGGUUUGGACCCAGGGGAUCAUCUCACUACUAUAAUCAGCCUCGACCCCACCACCAAACCUACCCCCACACCUCAUAUAAUCCACCUCAACACUACUACCCACUACUAGACCCCCAUUUUUCUGUCCACCACGCCUAAAUAUACACUCAACCUCCUGCCCACGCACAAUGGCGUGUACCAGUCCCACAAAACACCUACCCCCCCAUGAGCCUACCGAAACCCUCCUAGACCAGAUUUCCGGCACAAUCAAGCAUUUAAAAAUGAGAGGUUGCAGAAGAAGAAAACCUUCACUCCAUUGGGAGAUUCCUAUACUAGUUUGUUCCACAGGUUGAGAAAAUUGGAUAUGCUAAGGCCGAUCGAGUCAAAAUUGCCAAAUCCUCCCUCGAGAAAUCUUGAUUAUUUUGUAAGUUACGGAUAUUGUUCUGGUGCUCCGGGGAAUGACACGGAGAAAUGCUGGCAAUUGAAAAAUGCUAUCCAAGAGCUCACUGAUACAAAUCAGAUUGAAGUCCAACCUUCAGAGGCUCCCAACAUCAACCAAAACCCAUUUACAACCCAUCAAGAGAGAAAUAUGAUCGAGAUAGUGCAUAAGAGAGGGGAGCCCAAGAAACCUUCACAGACCGUCAUGAUGAUUCGGUCCAGCGAGGUCAAACCGGUUGAAAAAUCAAUAAGUGAGAGAUCAGUGAUCGAAUUAAGCGGGACAAACAGCGAACCAUCUGCGGUAGUCAAGAAGGGGUUCUCAAGUGAUGUUGCAGCGAAACAGGAAAGGGCAAAAGUGGUUGUGCCAGGAGUGGCAAACAAGCCUAUCGUAAUUGUGGAGGGUGCCCACACGGAUCCGGUCAUUAUCAAGCCUGUAACCCAGUUAACAAUAGUCAACAACAAGGCUAUCCCGUGGAAUUAUGAACGGGUGAUAGUGACUUACAAAGGAAAAAAAGUUAAAGAAGAAGUCUAUGAGACCCAUGGAUUGAUUCGGUCAGGGAGAUGCUUUGCACCCGAGGAGUUAAGAAAAGCUAAAACCUCCAAAGAUAACCCAGUGCUAGUGAAGAAAGUUGUGACCGAAGAAGAGGCAGAAGAGUUUUUGAGAAAGAUGAAGGUGCAAAACUAUUCCAUUGUGGAGCAGUUUGAGGAAGACGCCUGCUCAGAUUUCACUGUUGUCAUUGUUAAUCUAUUUAGACGAGCAUCGACGGGCCUUGAUCAAAAUCCGGAACGAGGCCCACGUUCCUGACAAAAUCUCAGCAAACCAUUUGGAAAAGAUAGCCAACAAGAUAUUUGAGGUAAACAGAGUCACUUUUUCUGAUGAUGAGUUUCCCGUGGAGGGUACUGAUCACAAUAGAGCCCUUUAUCUUAUAGUAAAAUGCGAAGAUUCCAUGGUUACCCGGGUAUUUUUUCAACAAUGGUUCCAGUGCGAACAUUUUCCCUCUCUUCACUCUGAACAAGUUGAAAGUGGAUGAUGAAAGGAUUCACAAGAACAAUAUCUGUGUGUGGGGAUUUGACGGUGGAGGGAAAGAUUCAGUCGGUGAUAUAGUCCUUGAGCUCACGAUAGGACCAGUUGAAUUCACCAUGGAAUUCUAGGUGCUGGAUGUGGCUGUUUCCUACAAUCUGCUGUUAGGUCGACCCUGGAUUCAUGCUGCCAAUGUAGUACCGUGUACUCUGCAUCAGAUGGUCAAAUUUGAAUGUGAUAGAUAGGAAAUCGUUGUGCAUGGCGAAGACAAUUUGUGUGUUCGCAGUGAUGCCAUUGUUCCGUUCAUUGAGGUUGAAGACGUCAAGGGACCUUGGGUCUAUUAGGUUUUUGACAUAGUAUCAGUUGAGAAAAUUCCAGAAGAGAAAUACAUUCCAAUGCCGAGGGUAACUGCCGCAUCAGUCAUGGUGGCUUUUGAAAUGUUGAAAAAUGGUUUUGUACCUGGUAAGGGUUUGGGUGCAUCUCUACAAGGUAUAGUACAACCGGUGUCUCUCCCCUAAAACUUGGAUACAUUUGGUUUGGGAUUCAAGCCCACAACCGCAGACGUGAAAAGAGCCAAAAAAAUGAAAUAGAGGGCAUGGGUCCUCCCAAAGCCGGUCCCAUGUCUCUCUAGAUCGUUUGUCAAGCCUGACACCAAGAAGCGUCUAGUAACAAUAGUUCCCAAUUCUGUGGUUGGUCUUGAUAAAGAGUUGACUGAAAGGUUCGAAAGGUUGUUCGACGAUGUAAACAUGGUGGAAGUUGGAGAAGGUUCUAGCAAGGUGGAUGUGCAAUUUGUCGGGCCCAGUACAAAGAUUAACAAUUGGGAAGCUACUACUCUCUCUACCCGAAAAGAGUUUUGGUAGUUUGCUUUGAUCUUCUUUCAGUUUAUCUGGAUUAUUUCAGGGUUGCAAUUCAGAUUCUAUGUUCCGUUCGUUUGGAUGUAUAAACCUUGUUAUCUUUUGAUUUCAAUGAAAUGCAAUUUCCCUUUUUUAUCAUUCCUGAUAGUUUUAUUUUUGUUUUUCUUUUCUUCCUUGUACAGUUCUUUUUAUGCUGGUUUCAAUGACAUGAUAUGCAUGAAGAAUCUUUGUCCCAGUCUUAAAAGCCAAUCUAAUUCUGUAAUAAUAAUUCAAGAAAUAGAGUGUGAUGAUGAAUCAAAAUACGAUGAGGAUGAGUCCUUUGAAGAGAUUAGUAAAGAAUUAAGGCAUUUUGAAGAAAAACUCAAGCCCAACCUGAGCGAUACCAAAGCAAUCAAUUUAGGGGACCUAGAUAAUAUCAGAGAAACUAAGAUAAGUGUCCAUCUUGAAAUGCAACUCAAGGAAGAUAUGAUUAAAGCAUUGUUUGAGUACAAAGAUAUUUUUGCAUGGUCAUAUGACGACAUGCCGGGUCUAAGCACUAACUUGGUGGUUGACAAAUUGCCCACCGACCCGGAAUUUCCUCCCGUCAAACAGAAGUUGAGGAAGUUCAAAACCGACAUGAGUAUGAAGAUCAAAGAAGAGGUCAUAAAGCAGUUCGAUGCAAAAGUCAUUCGCGUCAUGCGGUAUCCCACUUGGUUAGCAAUGUUGUGCCUGUGCCAAAGAAGGAUGGUAAGACUAGAGUGUGUGUUGAUUACCGUGAUCUCAACAAGGCAAGUCCAAAUGACAACUUCCCACUGCCAAACAUCCACAUUUUGAUUGAUAAUUGUGCCAAACAUGAGAUUGGGUCUUUUGUGGAUUUCUAUGCGGGCUAUCAUCAGAUCCUAAUGGAUGAGGAGGCUGCAGAAAAAAUGGCAUUCAUCACGCCAUGGGGAACAUACUGCUACCAGUUCAUACCUUUCGGUUUGAAAAAUGCUGGGGCAAUUUACAUGAGGGAAAUGACGACCAUAUUCCAUGACAUGAUACACAAGGAGAUAGAGGUUUAUGUGGAUGAUGUAAUCAUAAAGUCUAGAAAGCAGUCUGACCAUGUCAGAGAUUUGAGAAUGUUCUUCCAAAGGCUUCGCAGGUACAAUCUUAAGCUCAAUCCUGCAAAGUGCGCAUUAGGGGUGCCGUCUGGAAAACUAUUGGGAUUCAUAGUCAGCCGUCGAGGUAUUGAAUUGGUCAAAGAUCAAAGCUAUCCAAGAAUUGCCACCCCCAAGGAACAAGACCGAGGUGAUGAGUUUAUUAGGGAGGCUGAACUACAUAAACAGGUUUAUUGUUCAGCUUACGACAACUUGUGAGCGUAUCUUCAAACUGCUGAAGAAGGAUGUUGCAAUCAAGUGGACAGAAGAGUGUCAAGAAGCAUUUGAUAAGAUAAAAGGGUACUUGUCAAACCCACCUGUGUUGGUGCCACCAGAACCGGAGAGACCUUUGAUUUUGUAUUUGACAGUCCUAGACAAUUCAUUUGGUUGUGUGUUGGGUCAACAUGACAUCACCGGCAGGAAGGAGCAAGCCAUCUAUUAUCUCAGCAAGAAGUUCAUAUCUUAUGAGGUUAAGUACACUCACCUGGAAAGGACAUGUUGUGCACUAACUUGGGUAGCAAAUAAGUUGAAGAAUUAUUUGUCAUAUUGUACUACUUACCUCAUCUCUUGUUUAGAUCCGCUAAAGUAUAUCUUUCAGAAGCCUAUGCCUACAUUAAGGCUCGCAAAGUGGCAGAUCUUGCUAACAGAAUUUGACAUCGUCUAUGUGACUCGGACUGCGAUGAAAGCCCAGGCAUUGGCCGACCAUUUGGCCGAGAAUCUAGUGGAUAAAGAAUAUGAGCCUUUGAAGACUUACUUCCCUGAUGAAGAGGUAAUGCACAUUGAUGAGUUGGAACAAGUUGAAGAGCCAGUUUGGAAACUUUUCUUUGAUGGAGCUGCUAACAUGAAAGGCGUUGGGAUAGGAGCUGUACUUAUUUCUGAAACAGGUCAUCACUACUCUGUUACGGCUCAACUUCGUUUCUAUUGUACUAAUAACAUGGAUGAGUACGAGGCAUGCAUUUUGGGUUUGAGGUUAGCUGCCGACAUGGGUGUCCAGGAAGUCUUGGUCUUGGGAGACUCGGAACUUCUGGUGCACCAAAUUCAGGGAGAAUAGGAAACACGGGAUUUGAAACUCAUACCGUAUCGACAAUGUUUGCAUAAUCUUUGUCAGCGGUUUAGAUCAGUAGAGUUCAGGCAUAUUCCAAGGAUCCAUAAUGAGGUUGUCGAUGCUUUGGCUACUCUGGAAUCAAUGUUACAUCACCAAGAUAAGGCUUAUGUUGACUCUUUGCAUAUUCAGGUCCAUGAUCAGCAUGUUUACUGUAACAUGGUGGAAGAAGAACUUGAUGGUGAGCUGUGGUUCCAUAAAAUCAGGGAAUACAUCAGAAUGGGGAUAUAUUCGGUACAAGCCACAGGUGAUCAAAAGAGAACAAUUCGUCAUUUGGCAAGUGGAUUUUUCUUUAGUGGAGAAGUUUUGUACAAAAGAACUCCAGAUCUUAGAUUGUUAAGAUGCAUAGAUGCUAGACAGGCCACAUCUAUCAUGACCGAAGUACAUUCUGAAGUCUGUGGACCGCAUAUGAGUGGGUACGUUCUGGCAAAGAAGAUUCUCCGAGCAGGUUAUUAUUGGCUCACCAUGGAGCGAAAUUGUAUCAGUUUUAUGCGUAAAUGUCAUCAGUUCCAAGUACACGGAGAUUUGAUUCAUUCUCCGCCAUCUGAAUUGCACACAAUGUCUGCACCAUGGCCUUUUGUUGCUUGGGGCAUGGAUGUCAUUGGACCGAUUAAGCCAGCAGCAUCCAAGGGGCACAUGUUCAUUCUAGUAGUCAUUGAUUAUUUCACCAAGUCGGUUGAAGCUAAAACUUUCAAGUCUGUGACCAAGAAAGCAGCGGUCGAUUUUGUGCACUCAAACAUCAUCUGUCGGUUCAGGAUCCCAAAGGUGAUCAUUACAGAUAAUGGUGCUAAUCUCAAUAGUCAUUUGAUGAAAGAGGUAUGUCAGUAGUUUAAGAUUACGCAUCGCAAUUCCUCCCUAUACUUCGCCAAGGUGAAUGGAGCAAUCGAGGCAGCCAACAAGAACAUAAAGAAGAUACUUCGGAAAAUGGUGGAGGGCUCCAGGCAGUGGCAUGAAAAGUUUCCCUUUGCAUUGUUGGGUUAUCGCACUACUGUUCGCACUUCAGUAGGGGCAACUCUUUAUUUGUUGGUAUAUGGCACUGAAGUAGUGAUACUCGUGAAGUUGAAAUCUCAUCCCUUCGGAUUGUUGUUGAAGCCGAAAUUGAUGAUGAUGAGUGGGUCAAAACCCGCCUAGAGCAAUUGAGUUUGAUCGAUGAGAAAAGAUUGGCAGCAGUGUGUCGUGGCCAGUUGUAUCAACAGAGAAUGGCAAGAGCAUAUAACAAGAAGGUGCAUCCAUGGAAGUUUGAAGUGGGUCAACAAGUAUUGAAACGUAUCGUUCCACAUCAGGCUGAAGCAAAAGGCAAGUUCGCCCCAAAUUUGCAGGGGCCAUUCACCAUAAUGAGAGUGUUGUCAAUGGUGCUUUGUAUUUAACAGAUAUAGAAGGCAAAUGUAUAGACAUGGCUAUCAAUUCUGAUGCAGCCAAAAGAUAUUAUGCAUGAUUUCUCUGGUUUAAAUUGUAUUUGUUUGAACUUCGCAUGUUCUGAAGAUUGGAAUGACGAAGGCAUUUUGUUCUGCUAUCUAAACACUUUAUCCUUUGUUACCCCUUUUGAGCCUUAUUUAUUUCCUUUCAUACCUCUCUUUUGGAAUCAGUAGCAUAGUUCAGAAAUGCAGUCGCAAAAGAUAAGUAAAGGAAAAGAGAGAAAAGAAAAGAGAAGGAAAAAAAAGUAAAGAAAAUAAAAAGAGAGAACAACAAAACAACAAAAAAAUAAAAAGGAAGAAAGAAAAAAAGAGAAAGAAAAGAAAGAGAAAAGAGAAAAUCACAACAACAAAGACAUUUCUAUGUUAUGAACUACGUUCGACCUGAUUCCUUUUAAGGAUACGUAGGCAGCCUCAUGGUUCGGUCUCAUCAAAGUAAAAGUUCAAAAGUCCCCCAAGCAAAGAAACUGGGGAAGAAGUUGUGGUUGUUGUAAGAAAUCUAAUUUCGAAAGUUGUAAUCUUGAACCCAUUUGAAUUGUUUUGAGCCUUUUGAUACCCUUCAUUUCUAACCCCAUCCACACCCAUAUUACGGUCCAAAGAAAGACCUUUCGAUCAGUCUUCGAGAGAUGCCAAGUAGGAAGUGGAGGCGAUUCAUAUCAGGGGCAACACUCCGGACCAAACAAAGAAAAUAAAAAUGAGAGAGUCUUAUUGGUGAAAACCCUCGCGGACACUAUAAGGCGACGAAAGCUGAGAGAAAUCAAAAUGAGAGAGUCUUAUUGGUGAAAACCUUCAUGGGUACCUUAAGGCAAAAGUGAGUUGAGAGAUGAACAAAUGAGAGAGGUUUGUUGGUAAAAAUCCUUCAGGGCACCACAGGCCGAACAAGGACAAAGUUUUGGUGAAGAAAUUAGGUUUUGAAGAUCUUGGGGCGUAAAGUACGACAACUGAAAGUUGAUUGGUUGGACAGAUUGGGCUGAUUAAUCCGAAAUGCAUGUCAUGAUCAUUGGUGUCGGCUGCUCCACUCAGAAAAGUCUCUUUUUUUCCCUUUCAGACAGUCUUCCAGUUUUGAAUUUUUCUUAUCCCUAUAUCUUAAAGUCAUUGCAUUUCAUUUCUUCUGGGUUUAUUUCUCUAAGAUGUUUCCAAUGUCAAUUCUGUUUAAGAGAAUAAGAAAGGAUUUCAAAGCUCUCUACCAACUUCCAAAAUUGCACAAAAGCACAGCGCGGCCAAAGCAUUGUUAGAGAUAAUAGGAUGUGGAAUGGGAUAUAAAGGGUUAGCAAAAGUUCCAUCGGUGAAAUGGUUUAGUAAUUUCAUGGGUGAUGCAGAGGUGCAUAUAGAUGGGUCAGAGAUAUAACACAAUAGUUAGGUAUAGAACACUCGGGUUAUCCAAGGUCAUGUGGGUGAAAGUCAGUCAGAAAAUCAAAUGGUUUUUGUCCAGUCCGGGGAAGCUAGUCAAAAUAAAGCACGACAGCGAAGAGGUCAACUUCAGAAAGAAUGCCACAAACUAACCAACACAUUUUAAACUGACAAGAUUUUUCUUUGAUUGAAACAGGGGCAGGAAAUUUCGUUUAUUUCGGAAAAACCCUCCGUAAGGGAAAACAAGCACCAGAUAAGUCUGAUCAUAAAUUCUUAGGACCCUCAUGGAAAAUGGGACCUAGUUUAAAAUUCAAAACAAUCAUGAUUAGCAAAAUCUAGCAUAAAUGAACCCUAAAGGAAUAUAAAUUGGCUUCAAAGUUUUCAUGCUUGAGAUAGGAUUCAAUUAAGAGCUUUCAGGACCCUCCUGAAUAAUGGGACUUAACUUUAAGAUUUCCAUUAGAUAAUAAGAUUUAGCGUAAGUUCUGCUGUAGAGUAGUAUAAUUCAGCCGUAAAAGUUGUCACUCUUAAGAUAAGACUUGAUUUUUUAUUUUCAGGACCCUCCUGGAUAAUGGGAUGUAGUUCUAAGACCCUCUUAGAUAACAUGGUUUAGUGGGAGUCAUACCUUUAGAAGAUUAAUUUAGAUGUAAAGCUGUCAUUUAACUAGGAGUUUUCAGGACCCUCCUGGAUAAUGGGAUUUGGCUUUCAAAUUCAUAGAGAUAUUUGGUGAUAUGAUUCAAUUAACACUCAUAGAUGCGCCCAGCACCAAAUUGGGGCAGGAAAAUUUAUUUUGUUUUGUUUGUUUUGUUGUAAUCAGGUUCAAAGGUUUUGGCAAUCGGGCGCCCACCUGGAGAGUUAAGGGAAUACAGUUCAAGUUUUGGCAAUCAGGUGCCCACCUAGAGAGCAAGGGAGUAUAGUUCAAGUUUUGGCAAUCAGGCGCCCACCUGGAGAGCAAGGGAAUAAAAUUCAAGCGAUUUGUAAUCAGGAGCCCACCUGAAGAAUGAAGGGAAGUAGUUCAAGUGUUGAUAAUCAGGAGCCCACCUGAAGAACGAAGGGAAGUAGCAACUCAAGUGUUGGUAAUCAGUAGCCUACCUGGAGAACGAGGGGAAGAAACAAUUCAAGUGUUGGUAGUCAGGAGCACACCUGAAGAAUGAAAGGAAGUAGCAGUUCAAGUGUCGGUAAUCAGGAGCCCACCUGAAGAACGAAGGGAAGCAGCAGUUUAAGUGUUGGUAAUCAGGAGCCCACCUGAAGAAUGAAGGGAAGCAGCAAUGUUNNNNNNNNNNNNNNNNNNNNNUGUUUGAAGGAAGACAGUUCGAGUUCAGCAAUCAGGCGCCUACCUGGAGAAAAGGGAAAAAAGCAUCUCAGAUUACAAUUCAGGUCAGCAACAAGGGAAUUUCACUGGAGAGUAAGAGUCAACAGAGCAACAGGAGCUACAAGAUCAAGUUUGAAGAUAUCGAUAGGAAUCUUAUAAUGCAUAGAUCGUAGUUUAGUCUAGCUUCUUUCAUUUUAUCUUGGUGUAAUAAGGAGUUCAGUAAGCAGUAGCAGCAGCAACAAUAGUGAAAUCACAAGCUUCCUGGUAGUCCCAGCUACCAAAACUUUUCGAACUACAUUGACCUAAUUCCUUUAUAGCCAAGGAUAUGUAGGCAACCUCGGAAGCAGGGUGCAGUCAAAUCUUUCAAAAAUGUUUCCCAUGGAGUAUUCAAACGGGCAAAAAUCGCUCGUAUCUACUCACUUUAUCUUUGCACUAAAACUCUUUGUGUUUCCGAGCAAAGAGAGGCAAUUGUGAGCACGUGAUUUUUGCCCUAUGUGAAUUACUCAAUAAAUUCAAGAAAAAUAAAUUUUUCCCAUUAUUGAAAUUUCGUAGAUUUUCGUAGGAUUUUUUGUUAAUUGUUUUUGUGCAUGUUUAUUUUAUUUUAAAUCAUUGAAAAACACAAAAAUACAUUGUAUUUGCAUUUAGGAUCUAAUUUUUUAUUUUUGGAUUAAUUCGUAAUUUAGUUGUUAACAAAAAUAGAAAAAUCACAAAAAAAACUCAUUUUUGCUUUUUUUUUGAAUUAAAGUUAAUUAAUUCAAUGUGGUAGGAUUAAUUUGAUUUAGGAAUUAGUUUAGGUUUUAUUUUUAUUUUUGUUUUUAAAAGAAAGUAAAAAAAAGGAAUUUUGAUAUAAUUAAAAAGGAAAGAAGUGAGAGAUCAGAUUUUGGGCUAUUCCAUUUUUAAUCCUCAGGCCCAAUUCAGAAACCCGUCCAAACCGUUUGAGUCCAGCCCAAACCCAUACCCCAACCUGGUCCGAUAUCUUUACUCAACCAAACGACGUCGUUCCAUCUCUUUCUCAUCUCAACCGUUGGAUCUCAUUGAUCCAACGGAUCAGAACUUGAUCUCCCUUAGGUAUAUUACUGUCCGAACGACCCCUACACCCACCAUUCCAUUUCCCCCUCAUUCCGUCUCUCUCCCAAACCCUAGAGACCGCCGCCCUCAAAUCCCCAUCGCCUCCACCUUGCUCCACCUUACUAUGCCCAUCGAAAAUCGCCUCAUGGCGGUUCCGGUGGUCCAAUCACUACCAAAUUAACACCAUGAACUCCCCUCCACAUCCACAUCCCAAAUCUCCAAAUAAUUCCUCUCAAAUCCCCCUCUGUCGCCUCAAAUCUCAGAUUUAAAGUUAGCGCCUAAAACCCAAAAACUCCCAAAAUCUGCCCGGAAUUACACCACGCAACCCCUCAUCUCCGUCCUUCCUCAAAUAUGUUCUUGUUUCCUCUUAAACCAGUCCGUCAGUGGUGGAGCAGAGGUCUGGAACACCCUAGUUCUCUCCCUGUGUUCUUUUCUAGUUCAGCAAGGUUGACUGAACCCAAACCGUCAUUAAUCGUUUAUCUUUUGUUAAGGACAAUCAAUUAAUGACCGUCAAGGGUUCACUUUCUUCUUCAAAAGGCUAUUUGAGUUCAUGCAAUUUCUUGUAGAAGCAGGUUUGGAAUAAUUUUUGUGUUGAUUGAUUUCCGUUUGAUCUUUUAUUUUUGUUUGUUUGUUUGUUUGUCUAGUUUUCUUUCUUCAGCAGUUUCAUUUCUUGUUUAAUUGCAUUAUGUUUCUGGUUCAUUAGUUAGUUUGUUUGAUAAAUUGUUAAUGACAAUCGAUUACAUAGGGUUCGAGUUUGAUUUGUUUUCAAUUCGUGAGUUUCUCUUCUUUCAACUAGAUUUCAUUUUAUGUUUGUGAAUUAAUUGUAGAACUGAAGCAUUGAGAUUAGUCAAGUAUAGUUCCUUGUCUGCAUUAAUUGCUGCUUUCAAGAGCAUUUUCUGAGUUCAUGUUUAUGUGUGUGAAGGAUCUUAGGUUUAAUUCAGGCUAAUUCUUCAUGAUUUCAUAUGAUUCAACAAUUGUUUUGAAUUUCAAUCUGAUUGAAAGUUUCGGCUCGUUUGCCUACUGUUUAUUAUGAUGUGAGCAUUCAGAACUCAGGGAGGAGUAAGUGUAUAAUUAGGAAUUUUAGGGGUAGUUUUGAAGAUUGGUUUAACUUGGGAAUCUUUGGUAACCAAUUGAGGAAGCAUCCUAAAUGGACAGCUGCAUAGAUUUGUUAAGGGAAAUAGGCUAGAAAAUUGAAAAUAUCUGAAGGAAAAGGACAACUGUCCAAAAAUCAGUUUUAAAAGAUGUUCUGUAAGGGUAUUUUGGGGAAAAGCUGAUUGCCUUGCCUUGGAAGGCACACAACAACCCCUCAUCCUUAUAAAUGAAGCUUUUUCUUUCACUCAACGGACGGGGGAACACACCCUAAAAGACUGAAAAUUCUCUGUAUUAAUUUAGGGUCAAAAACUGCUUGGUAUCACACUCUAGGAGAACACCAGAAAAAUUAGAAAAAUGGCUAAGAGAGUUCAUUGAUAUUUCUGCAUCUUUUGGGUUGAAAAUUGGUUUCAAAUUUGAUCUUUAGUUUUAAGCGUUAACUGGAAUUCAAAAACUUCGAAGAGCUUCUAUUAAAAUAGUUUAAUAUUUGAGCCUGUUUGUGUUUUGGAGUUGCUGGUUCAUCUGCUCUGUUACUGUCGCUAAGUCCUCAUUUUCUUUGGUUUCUUUCGAUAUCCAGCUACACACUUUUAAGCCCUAUUGGUUGUGAAGUUGGAUUUGAAAAGUGAAAUGAAAAGAAGAAAGUUUAAAGCAUAGUACCAGUUAUUUGUGCUUCAGUUGUACCUCUUUUUGAUUCUGUGUUUUGAUAGUUUAAUUCUUAUUAUUGUAUAGUAUCAUGGGACUGUUAAGGUACUGUGGCAACAGACUUAGUCGAGGCAUUUGAAUUUUAGCCUUGCCUUAAUUUCGGUUGAAAUAAGUAUUUAUGUUUGGUGAUGAUUUUUUGUUGACCUAGCUAUUAUGACAAGUUUAGGUUAGAGACAAAUUGAAUGAUGUGUAGUCUGUUAUUUUAAAGUAUUGGGAGGUAUUGUUUGCCAGAAUUAGUCGUCCUGUGAUAUGUGAUAGUAAACUCGUAUUGAAGAUAGUUUGAUUUGACUAUUAGUCUUGUUUAAAUUUUGGCAUAAAUCAGUUUAGUGUUUAAUAUAGUUUGAUUUGACUAUUAGUCUUGUUUAAAUUUUGGCAUAAAUCAGUUUAGUGUUUAAUAUAUUGUGAAAUAAGGUUUAAACCUUGUAGUCUGAAUCUUGACUUACUGCUAUGAAGGAAGGGCUUAAACAUAUGUUGUUUGCCUCUGAAGAGACUCGAUCUCGAGUCCUAAACCCCCAGCAAUAGACCUUUAACAUGAUUUGGGCUCGUUUGGGCCCAAUGUUAUUUUCCUAAGUGAUGCGGCCACGUGAGUCUAAGGCAUACCUAGGCCCAAAUUACGUUAAUAAUUCAGAGAUUCAGUUUUAAUUGCUAUACUUUAAGUAAUCAACGAUCCAGAAGCUGAAAUGUUAGUUUAAUUAUGUGUCCCGUGUAGUUUUAGCUGAUUGGUAUCUAAUGGGUUGUUUACAAUUGUUGGCUUAUGUAAGUUGGGCUUAAAACUGGCCCAAUUAAUGAGAUCAAUCCCAGACUUGAGUGCAAGAUGCUACGCUUUUUUUCUUGGUCAUCUAUUCUCUCAUCAUGAGUGGGCCCAUUUAGAGCCCAAAUCGGAAGGUAUUCGUAAAUAUGGGUCUGCACUUGUUUCAUUUUCGUUAAGCCCAGUCUUCCUUAUUUGUUUAUGAUGGUUUAAGCCAUUGGUUUAAUUGACCGAACCUUUCUCUCUUGUGCCAGCUCUUUAGCCACAUUGAGUAAAACCCCAAAUCGCUCAGUGCAUAAUUAAUUAACUACUCGUAAUAAGUCGAGGUGUGUGCCGAACAAAGCUCAAAAUGCAUGGCCCUCGCUUAAUUGACUUUCUAUCCUUAGAAAUCAGGUGCACCAUUUAGAGAACUUUCCAUGGCCCUCGCAAAGUAGCAAAUGUGUAGUUGCUCUAGGCGCGUUAUUUUAAUAAUUACUUUUCUAAACUCGGGUGUGCAUUUCAUGUGACCCAAAUCCAAAUCUUAACAGCGUUAAAUAAAAUAUAUCUCGGACCACGGGUGCAUUCAUGUGACGUGGUUCAAGAUGUAUUUUAAAUAAUGUUGAAAUCUUCCUAAAAAAAUAAUUAAAUAAAAGCGGUUAUAAAGUUAAAAUUGCACCAUAGGUUAAAACAUGUACUAAAAUCAGGUAAAUAGGCCAAUUAUAGCAGUUGAGCGACCGUGCUAGAACCACGGAAUCCGGGAAUGCUUAACACCUUCUCCCGAGUUAACAGAAUACCUUACCCGGAUUUCUAUGUUCGCAGACUGUAAUACAUAGUCAAUCUUUUUCACGAUUCGGGAUUUGAACCGGUGACUUGCGACACCAUAAAAUUAUCCCAAGUGGCGACUCUGAAUUUUUUCAUAAAAUGAUACCAUUUCGAUUGUCAUUUUAAGUUGGAAAAAACACCCUUAUACCCUUUCAAGGGUGAAGGAAAAAGGAGGUGUGACACCAACAAAGUUCUUUCUUCUCCAAUUUAAUUUCCAAACCUCCCCAGAAUCACACCUCCUUUCACCCUUAAUCCAAAACCCAUCAAAAUCGUCUGAUUUACAAAAUCAGAGAACCCAGAAAUCUUAAUGGCCAUUGGUGUAUCUGGUUUUUCAGAGGUCCUUGUGGCAAGAUGUCCCAUCCGGAAUUCAAAUUUUGGAUGGGUCUCUUGACACAAGGACUUUUGGCGACUGGCUGAAUUGGUUUCAAAUCGGCAGAAUCCGGUUUAGGUAUACCCCUUUUCCUUCUUUCUUUUUCCUUUUCCUGCUUGAUUCCUUUUACUGUUAUUAGUUGUUUUGUUUCUCUCUUGUUUGUUCUGUUUGAUUGGCAACUAAAUUAAUUUAUAGGUUUGUUCGAUUCAAUCAAAUUCAGGUUAAUUAGGUUAGUGUUAAUUGUGAUUGCAUCUCUGUCUUCUAUUGCUGUUUUUCGUUUAUUUGUUUUGGAAUUGAGGUCUAUUUAGAUUUAUUAUUCAGUAAAGUAGGGUCAAUCAGCUAAUUACUCUAAUUCAAUCAUUUACUUAGGUUUAAAUCAAGAUAUUUGUUUAGCUAAGUCCAUCUAAUAAGAUGCCUUGAUUUAGUUUUAUUUAUUUGAUUAUAUAGGUUUGAAUAAGUUAAGAAUUGAAAGGGAAAUAAAGAAGUUUAAAGGGGUCAAUUGAAAACCAACAUCUGGGAGUCUCAAGCUAGAAUUGUCUGGAAGGUUCUAGAAGACAAUGGUAGGGGCUAAAACGUAAUGAAACAGAUGAAAUUAGGUCAGAUUGGGUAAAAGGAUAAUAACAAGAACUUACAGGGGUUUAAUUGGGAUUGAUAAAUGAGGAAAAUAUCAUAAUGUUCUAGUAUGGGACAGUAGUCCCCAUUCUUAGCAUGAAAAUGCUGAAAUUGGUUGGAAAAAGGACAGACAACUGUUAAAAGAUGUAGUACUAUCUAAUAUUUCAGAAAUUAGUAGGAUAUUCCAUUUUUAUGCUAUCCUUAUGCAUUCUAUAUAAAGAAAAAGUAUUCAGUCAUUCUUACACAACAUCAUCAGCAUAGGCAACAUAAAAAAGGACAUUCUGAAAUACAAAGAAUUCUGCGAAAAGAGCUAGAUUUUCACAUUGAUUUUUCUUCUUUUUUCUUCUAAGUUUCCAAGGGGAUUUGAAAAUAGAAAUAGCUCCCUGUUUUCCUAAUUCAUCAUCUCUGCUGUUAAAGUUGGUCUAGUCAAAUAAUUUGAGUUUUCUAGUUGCUGCUUUGUUGCUCCUGCUAUAUUUUGGUUGCUGCUCUUCCAGUUCUUAUUCAUCUUUUUCUUCCCUUUUUCUUUGCUGAUAAUAAGGUAUGUACUGAUAGUUUGUCCUAAUAAUAGAGUUGGUAUUUGAAUGUUAUGGCUAUGAGAUUUCAGCUAUCUGUUCAUUUCAUGUAUACUGGAUGAUUUUGCUUUCAUGUUUAUUUAUGAGUUCAAGUUUGAUUUAAAGCAUCAUAAUGUCUCAAUUUGAUUUAAAGCAUCAGAAUGUCUCAAACCUUAAUGAAAUAGGAAACAAUGCAUUAAAAUCAGUUCUUUCUUUUAGCAUUUGACUUUCAAAGUAAACUUGAAGUUCUGAAAAUUCCCUAAAUGUUUGAGAUUUCAGAAGUUUGGCAGCAUGUUCUUUUUGUGUAAAGCUUUCCCCUUUUGAAAUCACUUUGUCUUGGUAUUGUUGGUAUUUGGUAAUGUAGGAGUUUGUAAGCGCUUGGCACGAGGCCCACAUUUACAAAUCUAGCCACUGGUUGGUUAGACUUUUGUGAAUGAUAGGCAGCUUCCAGAACAUGGCAAAAAUUGUUGUUAAGUUGAUCACUAGGCAGAUUCAAAAUUAAUUUGAUUUCAGCCUAUAUAGAUUACUUUUCUUAAUUUAGUUUAAGGCCUGUAAUUAUUUGAAAACAUGUAAUGAAACUAUUUAUUAUAGGUAGUGUAUAAAAUGUAUUCAUACUUAGUUUAAAUUAUAGUUUUUUUAGCACUUUUCUUUACAACAGUCCAAAUGUUUCUUGUUUAGAGUUUGAAAACUGGCUCAUUCCAUUUAAGCACAUCUAGGACCAGUACAUUUUAACUUGAGAUGUUCCAGUUUAGUAUAUGCUAUUUGUUCUUGAAAUGUGACUUAAAUAGCUAGUAUAAAGGUUUUGAAAAUCGUUGAUUUUUGCACGUCCAUAUUUGGCAAGGAUUUUGAGAUUCUGAUGUGUUGUUUGAACUCUUUCUAGCUCUUCUAUGCAAUACAAAUGAUUUUUAAGUUUAGCCUUUUGUCAAAAUUAUGUUAAGUAAUAACUAGUUUCCUUUACAUAAUGUUGGAUCCAAUCGACUGUGGCCUAAUUUGUCAAAAUUGGUUCAUUAACUUGUAAUGAUAUCAUUGACUCCAAGAGAAAACAUAUUUAGAUCUUGUGUCCACAUUAACAGAACUCACACUUUACUCAACCCCAUUUCAUAAUUCAUUGGCAUUCACUUGACUUCAAACCUUAGAAAAAAAUGAUCAUAUGAAUACCGUAGUUUGCUUUAGGCACGAUUGUUAAAUAAACCAUCGUGAUUAUGGGUACGGUUCUCAUGAUAUAGUUAUGAUGCCUAAUUUCCUAAAUUCGGUUGUGCAUUUCAUGUGACCAACCACAACAACUUCAAAUAAUAAUAAAACAAACAUGUCGCGAAUCGCGGGUGCAUUUCAUGUAGCGUGGUUUGCGGUAUGUUCCCAAACGGCAAGUGUACGACAACUGUAACUUGUUCAAGAAAUAAUUCCAUAAAUCCUAAAAGCGGUUAGAAUAAUUAAAAGCGGUUAUAAAGUUAAAAAUGCACACUAGGUUUAAAACAUGUAAUAUAUCAGAUAAUUAGGUCAAUUAUUAAUAGUUAAGCGACCGUGCUCAAACCACAAAAUCCGAAAAUGCCUAACACCUUCUCCCGGGUUAACAGAAUUCCUUACCUAGUUUUCAGGUUUCACAGACUUUUAAAUAAAGUCGAUUUUCCUCGAUUUGGGAUUUAAAGUAAACCGGUGACUUGGGACACCAAAUAAAUUAUUCCAAGUGGCGACUAUGAAAAAAAUAAAUAAUCUCAUUUCGAUUUAUGUUAUUUUAAUUGGAAAAACUUUCUUAUAUCCCCUCGGGUGGAAAAAGGAGGUCUGACAGGUCGUGACAUAGAUACAUUAUUAUUUGGGAGCUACUGCUCCCGAUUGUUGCAUUAACAUUGUCUUGCAUAGGGGGUUCACCCUGAUUUUACGUACAAAAACAGUUCCUAAGAGGUCUGCCCACAUGGCCUUAUUUACAAACACUAGAUGAACUGUCAAAAUUUAUGUCCUAUCAAAAGACUUUUUUCCUGCUUCUUCCUUUGCGAGGAGGUCCGCCACUUGAUUUUGUUCUCUGAAAUUAUGUCCCAGUACUGGGUUCCCCAACUGCUUCAUCAAUGACCUGCAUUCAAAGAUAAUAGAGUUAUAAUGCAGGUUUCCCUCAUUUAGCAUUCUUACAACCUGUUCAAAAUUAGUGCAUAUUUGUAGAGGUGUGAGUUUGUAUUCGAAGGCUAUUGUGAGACCCUGCCAUAGAGCUUUGAGUUCAACCUCUAGGACAGUGGUAUGUGGUAAGCCUAUCAUAUAACCUAGUACCCAGUCAGCCUUUCUAUUCGUAAUGACACCCCCAACUUCUCGUACACUCGAUUUUGGGCAAGCAGCCCCAUCAGUGUAAAGCUUGUAUGAGCUAACAGGAAGUGGCUCCCAAUUGAUGUGCGUUUUAGUUGUUUCACCUGUAUUCUUGUGUUGUACAAUCAUAUGGUAGAAUUCAGUGGCUCUGGCAAUAGUUUAUUUAAUAGUGGCACGGUUCUUUUUCUUUUCAAAAAGAUUGUUGUUUCUUGUGAGCCAUAGGCUCCAAAAACAGAAGGGUAGAAGGGAUUUCCAGUUGAUAGCAUUGUUAAACUGCAUGUUCUUGACCUUGUGCCAUGUAUCCUCCCAGUUGGUCAUUGAGAAUACAAGGUAUGGAUGGGAGGUCUUGUUAGUACACUCCAGGGUUAUGGACCACCAGAAUGCUCUUGUAUUUGAGCGUUCAAAGAAGAUAUGAUUGGUGUCUUCCACUCCAGAAGAGCAGAAAGGACAUAUUGGGCUAACACUUAAGCUUAUGCUGUUUAAGUGCUUGGUAGUGGAAAUUGCAUCAUCCAAGUAAAGAAUUUAAUCUUAUUACGGACCCUUAGCUUCCAAAUCCAAAUAAGAUUCAGCGAUAUAUCGUAAUAUCCUGAAAUUAAUUUCGACCACGACUAUAUAAUCGGCGUGCGUUUGCGGGUUAAAGAAAAAGACCCAACAUGGAUUACUUAUUCAUUAUAUAUCAGAUUCCUAAGUGUGGUCCAUACUACUUUCCCAUUUAUCACGUGCGAACAUAUUAGAACGUAUAAUUAAUUAAUUUUAAGUAAUAAGAAAAAGUUUACACUCUCCAAACUUGUUUGUAGUUCAUCGUAUGGUACUAAAUAAAAUUGUGAAUCUCCCUCCGUUUUACUUCAUUGACUAUCUUUUAUUCUGCACAAUUUAGAGAAAAUUAGCAUUUUAUAAUCUUAAAUAUGUAACAACCUGAGCAGUCAUUUUAAGAUUUAAUUUUGGAAGUUCAGAGUUGAUUUUGAAAGAAAAUUCUCAUUUCGGAAGCCCUAAGUUGGAAGAAUUGUCUAAGAUGGAAUUUUUGAGUAAACGACCUCAGAAUCGGAAUUAGAAGUUUCCAGCAGGCUCGUAUGAUGAUUUCAGACUUGGGUGUAUGUUCGGAUCGGAUUUUGAAUGACCCGAGAGCGUUUCGACCUCUAUUCUCGAAGUUAACAUUUUGGUAGAAUUAAAUAAAUUUGGGUUGAAGUGCAUUUCAAUGUUAUCGAGAUUCGUUUGGGAUUCCGAGUCUGAGAAUAGCUCUGUAUGGUGAUUCUAGUAUUGGGAGCACGUCCGGAAGUGGAUUUGGAGGUCCGUAGGUCAUUUUUGAGUCGUUUUGCGAAAGUUAGAAAUUUGAAGGUUUUUGAGAAGUUUGACCGGGAGUAGACUUUUUGAUAUCAGGGUCGGAUUCCGAUUAUGGAAGUUGCAGUAGCUCCGUAAUGUAGAAUGUGACUUGUGUGCAAAAUUUGAUGUCAAUCGGACUUGAUUAGAUAUGUUUCUGCAUCGAAUGUAGAAAUUAGAAUUUGUUAGUUUCAUUAGACUCAAAUUGGGGUAUGAUUCGUAUUUUUAACAUUGUUUGAUGUAAUUUGAGGCCUCGACUAAGUCUGUGAUAUAUUUUGAGACUUGUUGGUAUGUUCGGACGGGGUCCCGAGGGGUUCGGGUGAGUUUCAAGGUGGUUUCGGACCAUUUCUAGGCCAUUUUUAGCAGCUGAUUUUUGGCUACAGUAGUGUGCUACGCGACCACGGGGAAUUGGUCUCGAUCGCGAUGAGCAAAGUGGGAGAAAUUGGCCACUGAUUCGCAUCGCGAAAGGCCUUUCGCGAUCGCGUAGAGGAAAGUUUCUGCUGCACUGACCCAACUUUGUAAGCUUGUAUCUUGCAAUAUAUAACCAAUUUGGAGAUGACCCAAAAAUGAAAGUUAUAUCCCUUUGUGUCUAGCUUUUAUAAAAUCAAACCAAUUGGCAUUUGAAUUGUAUACAAAAGGUUAUGAGUGGUACACUACAGCCUAUCCGGGAAGAGUUUGGAAAUAGCGAAGAAGAAAUUUAUGUUGCACAUGAUUGAAUUUGGAAGCUUAUAUCUCGUAAUAUAUAAGGAACUGGGAGAUGAUCAAAGCAUGAAAGUUGUAGUCCUUGAAUUCUAGUUUUCAAAAAGUAAAAUCAUUUACAAUUUGGAAUUUUGUACAAAAUAUUAUGACCAUUAUACUAGAGGCUAUUUGGAAGAGCUGGGCAUUUGUUCUUCGCGAUCGCGAAAUAUUUUCCGCUAUUGCGAAAGGCAAAUUAUGGGUUUAGAAAUGUUGUACUUCAUGAUCGCGAAGCAUUUUCCGCGAUCGCGAAGAGUAAAUACCGGGGCAGAAGCUAUAUUUCCACGUUUUGGCCAUUUUUAAUAUAUUUGGAGCUAUGGAGCUCGGAUUGAAGUAAUUUUUGAGGCGAUUUUAACCAUAUGGAUUGGGGUAAGUGUUGUAUAUCCAAAAAUAAUUAUACUUCAUGAUUUUAUGGUUAUAUUCAUUAUUUAUUUCGGAUUUAAAUGGAAGAAAUCAAGAUUUUUGCAAAACUUUUCAACAACAAAAAUUUAAGAUUUGGAGGUCAAGUUGUUAUAGGAAUUUAGUAAAAUUGGUAUGGUUGAACUCGUAUCAGAAUGGGUUGUCGGAUUUUGUGAGUUUCAUCAGGUUUCGAGACGUGGGCCUCACUGCCAACUUUUCAAGCGGAGUUGAAAUUUUUUAUAAAUUGUUAAAUUUCAAGCAUUGGAGUAUAUUUUUAAUUAAUUUUCACGUUGUUUGACUGGUUUCGGAUUGAACGGAACCAAGUUAGGGUUUUAGAGCGAAAUUGUGACCGGAAAGUGGGCUUUUAGACGAGGUAAGUCUCCUUUCUAAUCUUUUAAGAGGGAAUUAACCUCAUAGGUGAAAUAAAUUAUUAUGUGCUUCUAUUUAUGGAGGCUAAGUAUGCACGAGGUAAUGAGAGUUUGUACGUAGCUACUAAUUAUGCCUAUGUUCGAGUAGUUUUAGGCUUACAUCAUGCCUUGUUGAUAUUGUUAUUGAUUUAUGUUUAUUGUUUGCCUUGAGAGAGAGAGAGAUUGAAUUUGCUUAUUAAAUGUUUUAAAAGGAGUUGAAAUUGAGGAAAACUUGGGAUCUUAAAAGUUUUCAUUUGAACUUCGUAUCUUGAAAAGAAUGGAAGAAUACUAUAUUAACUUAAGAAAUAUAUGUGUGACCGCGUCGCAAGUAUGAUCCGCGAGUGGAGUAGUUUCUUAAAUUUAUAUUUAACAGCAUCGCAUGUAUGAUUCACGAGCGGGGUAAUAGAUGCAUCUAUGGUUCGCGUCAUUCGACCUUUGCCAGUGCACACUUUAUAUUUAUAUUGGAUCGGGUCAAACGUCCUUGGUAGAAUUCGUGUGUAAUAAUAAAACUAGAAGUCCCUUUUAUAAUUGGUAUAAAUUCAGUGUUUGUGUGAUCAUAUGUUUAAAGGAGGGAAGUGAUUUAGGUUCUUAAAUAUAGGAAAGACAUGUUCAAUUAUUUCUUGUUCUGAGUCUUAUUGUUGUAUAUCAUGUUUAAUUAGAAUUUCAUAUUAUCAUAUUAUUGGACCACUAGUAAGUGUCGGAGUCGAUCUCUCGUCACUACUUUUCUGAGGUUAGACUGAAUACUUACUGGGUAUGUGUUAUUUUCGUACCCAUACUACACUUGAUGUACAUUUUGUUGUACAGGCAUAUGUGUGUUCAGUGGCCUUAUGGGCGUAGCGGCGCGAUUGAUAUGAGGACUUAGGUGAGCUGCAUCUUAUAAGAUAAUCCGCAGCCAACAGAGUCUUCUUUAGAGUUCUUGUAUAUUCUUUUCUAUCCAAAUUUGUAUUCCGGGCGGUUAUUGUAUUGUAUUUUAAAUUCAUAGUAGAUGUUCAUGCACUUAUGAUAUCGGGUUUUGGGAUGAUUAUGGGAUAUUCAGUAUUAAGAUUUGAAAAUAUUAUUAAUUAUUCUAUAAAGUUCAUCUUUUUACUAGUUAAAUUGAAGGAAAUUUAUGAUUUCGAAAAUAUUAAAAUAAGAAUUUAUAUAACUACUUAGUGUUGUCUUGCCUGACAGUGGUGUCCAGUGCCAUAACGACCUUUAACGGAUUUUGGGUCGUGACAACAUACUAUUAGAGCACUAGGUUCACUUAGGUCUCACGAGUCAUCAGCAAGUCUAGUACAGUCUUGUUGAUCGAUAUGGAGAAGUUUAUACUUAUCUUUGAGAGGCUAUAGGGCUACUAGGAGCAAUUCCCUUCAUGAUUCCUCAUCGUACGAAUUGAUCCAUUUGAGGCUUGUACAUUUAUUUCUUUCCUAUUCAAUCUUAUACGAUGUGAAGCGCUUGUUAUGGAUUGAGAAUCGAGGAAUUGUCAUGGUACUACACAUAUGGAGCACGAUGUUUCUACCUGCGUAUUUGAUUGGCCUAUUACCGUCGUUUUUCGGAAAGCCGUCCUAUCGAUUCAGCAUAGCAUCAGUAUUACCUAAGGUUUUGAGAUUUGGAAUUGACUGUUAUGACGAUUCGUGCAUUACUAUCACAUAGUGUUUGCGUAAUGGUGGGAUAUGUAACACCCCGUAAACUUGAAUUAGUUGUGAAUGCAUUAAAUGAGUAUUCAUGUGAUGGUUAUCAAUUGGUUAUGAUAAUAAGUGUACGAGGCAAACCAUUAGUGAUAUGGGGUCCAAGGAGAGGCCUAAGUCUAAGCCAAGUUGGAAAUUACAUGAUAGACUAAAAAUUCCAAAUGAGUACACACAAGACCUCACUUUCAACGAGCAUAUCUACAUGUAUAUUAGGAGUUGUGUGAUUCACAACCUAUCCAAUUAAAGUAAUUUGAGUCUAGUUUCCAAUGCAUCAAACCGUUCAUCGUUUGGAGGUGUACACAGAAAGUUAUGACCAUUUUUUUGUCCCUUCUGUCGCCAGUGUCCUGGGUAGCGCCGGGCGCUAGCUGCCGCCGGGAAUUUUUGAGAUACUGGAAACUGCACCACAGGCAGUGCCCAGCGCCACCUGUGGCGCCCGAAACACUAUAUACUUAAUUCGGGGUUCAUUUUUACCCAUUUAUCUUGGCCGGACUUUGGGGUCUUCCUUCACCCUCUAAAGAGCACCAACUCCUACCAUCUUCAAGGUAAGCAAUCUCCAUUAACUUGGCAUGAAAUUCCAUCAUUCUUACACUAGUGUUGAUGAAAUCUACUCAUAAAACACAUAGAUCUUCAAGAAAUUCCUUCAAAAACUCAAAGAAGGGUUUUGCAAGAUUUCUUCUAAAAGGUAAUCCUACACCCUUAGACUCACAUGUAUGGAUUUAUUAAGGGAAUAUGAGUAUAAAUAAGUAAUAGAACUCUUGUUAUGGUAAUUGGAAGCCAUAAGUUCCCAAUUUAAUUACAUAACUAUUGUAGAGAUUGAAAGAUGAUUAAUUGAUGGAAUUUUGUUGGUCGGGUGUGGAUGGAUGGUCAUAUAUGUGAUGUUGAAAUUAUAAAUUGGUUAAUCAUGAUGGUGGGAUAAAUUGUUGAUGAAUGGUGGUGGUUGGAUGAACUAAUUAUAUGGUGAUGAGAUGUAGAGAUUUACGCCUACAAGGUGUUUGAUAAUAUGCCUAAAUGGUUUGAGUUAUGGAAUUUGUUACUAAUAUUGGUUCCAUUGGAUGUUGCUAUUGUAGAUUGAAGUUUCUUAGUAUUGUGGAUCAUUGUAGUAUCAAUAAGGGGCAAAAUUCAGGUAUGUGAGGCUAACUCACUAUGUUUAGAAUGUUAAUGAUUCUCCCUACACUACGUUUCUUUUACGACGUUACUAAUUGCCUCAAAAAUAGAGUUUAGCCUAGUUCUUUGAAUAGUUGUAGAACUUCUAUUCUCUAACUUCAUAACUCGUUCAUGUCUUUCAUUCUGAAUGUUGUGAGCUCAGUACGUAUUCAAUAUAGACGUGGGUUUGAUGCCCCCGAGUCUUAGUCUAGAUUACUCAGUAUGCCAUAAACAGUUGAAAUUCCAGUAUUCAUAAUCAGUUCAAGAAUACAUGUCUCAGUCUAGUCCUAUUCAGUAUUCUAGUAUUAUGUUACCCAGUGUGAUCCAGUAUCAUGUAUUGCAGUAUGAUUCUCAGUUCUUAAUUUUAAAUCCCUGAAUGUUGAACACCUGUAUUUGGGCCUGAGGCCGUAGUUUAUAUGCUUUAUGCAUAAUUGGGCUUGAGGCCGUAGUUUAUGCUUUAUGCAUUUUGGACCUGAGGCUGUAGUUGUGUAUAUGUAUACUUGGGCCUGAGGCCGUAGCUUGUGCACAUAUCUAUUGGGCCCGAGGCUGUAGCUUAUUCAGAUAAACAGGUUGUUCGUCAUUCAGAAGAGGGAGUAUACAUAUUCUUACUUCCUCUAUUCAGUUCAAUUAUCAGUUACCAUUUCAGUUGCCAGUUAUUAGUUCAAUUAUCAAUGAUCAGUUAUCAAAUAUCAUUUCAGUCCAGUUUCAAUAGUUAUCAUUUCAGUUAUCAAUUAUCAAAUCUCAAUUAUCAGCUUAGUUUCAGUUUCAGCAUUUAUAAUUCUUUCUUUCAGUUGCUUUACAUACUAGUACAAUUAAAAUGUACUGACGUCCCUUUUGCCCGGGGCCUGCAUCUCACAAUGCAGGUAAUGAUUUACAGGUUGAUGAUUCAGAGCACUAGGACUCUCGUACCAGUUAUUUGGUGAUUCCAGUUCUUUCGGGGCAUUAUUAGUACCUUACAGUGUUCAGUAUUUUUUUUAUUGACAGUCAGUGUUUUCAGUACUUCUUUAGAGGCUUCAUAGACUAGAGUAUCAAUUAGACAGAGUCACAAGCUUUUUGUGUUAAGCAAUGUUGGCUACAUACAUGUUUCAGACUUGUAUGAGUGUUUCCACACUUUGACUUUUAUCAUUCAGACUUUCAGUAUAUCAGUAUGUGUUAGUUUAUCUUUCACAUUUAUUUGUUAUGAUAUCACAUGUUUAUUCCGCCAGCCAGUUGGUUUGCUCAGUCACAUGUAGUCAGGCACCGAGUGUCGUGUUACGUCCAGGCCCAUGUUCAGGGCGUGGCAAAGCUUGGUAUCAGAGCACUAGGUUCAAGUCUCCUAGGGAGUCUAUAAAGCCGUGUCUAGUAGAGUUUCCUUUAUAUGUGUGUGUAGGCCACUCAUAUAAAUGUUUAACUACCAAGACAUCUAGGAUUGUCUCAUUUCUUUCUACUCUAGAUCGUACCAUGAAGCUUAAAGCAAUUGUUAACCUUGUUUUCCUAUCGAAUUCCAAAUGUAUUGGAUGCCCAAGCGACGCGCAGGAGAAACCUAAGGUCCUAGAGAGGAUAAUUGCCCAUUAGGGUAUAAUUAUGGAGUACAUGUUGGUAAAUAUGAGACUUGAGAGGACGUUAAAACUGGGAUGCAAUGGAUAGUAGUACAUAUUAAAGCAUAACCUUAUCGGAAAGUACAAAAGCAGUUAUCAUGUCUUAUGGCUAUUAGUUUACCUUAGUUACCAGUUAUACAAUCUUUCAGUUAGCAAAUUUAUGGUUAUUCAGUAUGCCAGUAUUCAGUUAUAUGUUUACCAAAUAUCCAAUUUUCAGUGUAUCAAAAUUUCUGGUGACUUGUGAGUAUACAAUAAUGCAUAUGGGUUCUCAAAGAAAAUGUAAGUAACAGUGAUUAUAACGAAAUCUUCGCAUGUUUUAGGGAUUAAGACCCAAGACUCACCGGAUAGUGCAUGAAGUGAUUUAUCAUAUGUGUAUGACAGUGUAUCUGUAUGUUAGACCCCACGGUGUAACAGGUUAAGAAUUUAACCGCAAUGGGCAUAAAAUUGAUCACUAUAGUUUUGGACAGAAAAAAGCCUAAGGGAAAUAUAGCUAAGAAUAAUAUGAUGUACGAAAUGAGAACCAAGAGAAGGCGACAUUGAAUUUUAGUGAAUGAUUUUAGGUUGUUUAGAUUUAUUCAAAUGAGAACUAGAAAGUACCAUGUUAGUGAAUUUGUAUACGAAGUGACUAUUAUUGUGAGAUAAAAGAUAUGGCAGUUCCCCUUUACAUGAUGUGACUAUGUGUUUAGGCCGGAUGUUUAUCAUCUGAUAUGAUUUUUAGAAGUAUAUAGAAAGUUGGGGUUAGAUAUUCCAAAUUUGUUUAAGACAGAUGAAACUUCCCUAAGUGUGAUCCAUGUGCAUAGUUAAAAGAAAAUUUGAUAGUGUACGGCAAAACAAUAUGGUUACGAUGAGGAAAUUUAGGAUAAACCUUAUGUUUCACCUUAGUUAUUCAAUGCAGAGCAAGAAAACAUGAUGCUAGUAGGUAGUUAGUAAAAGAAUAGUAAAUACGUUUAGAGUAAAUACAGUGAAUUAGCAAUUUCAACAGAGCUAGUAGAGGUAAAAUUUGAUUCACUUAGCCAGAUUUUACGCUAGUGAGUGAGUAACAGUUUGAAACACCAAACACAUGUUAGAACCCAAGGAGUUUAAGUUAAACCCGAAGUAUAAUGGCAGUGAAAAAAAUCAGCUAACAGUGAGAGAACAAGUUAUAGAAGAAUAGCCUUUAGGAAUUAUCAAAAUGUGGUUACCCCAAGAUUGACAGUGUGAGCAGAGUUUAAUUAUUAAGAUUGUGUAUGAUAGGUGUGAAUACAUUAGCUUUUCAUUAUGUUAAUAAUUUAGUUUCCCUAGCUCGGAAGUAAGUUGGGAGAUGAGUCGUCAUUGACGUAGAGUGCAAAGAAUUGUAGAAAAUAAGGAAGGUUAUUUGGAUCCCAACAAAAAUAGAAGGAUUCGCAAGUAUAAGACCUUUGGUCUAAGGGGUGAAGCGAAAAUUUUUAGUAAGUCCAGUUAGAGAUUUGAAACCCGAAUAGUUAGCAUGGAUAUGAAAAAGGAAAUCAUUUCGGUAAUGAGGAAAAAUUGUGUAAUUACCAUAAGGAAUAUAUCUAGUAUGUGUAAGAAACACAAAGUGAGUAGAAUGACCACCGAGCUUAGUUAUUGAUGAUAAAGUGAUCGCAUAAAAGUUAUAAAAUCAUGCCCAGUUAUGUAUAUGAGGGUAAUGCCAUUGCACGAGACUCUAAUAUUCCGAGUAGUGGUCAGUGACUUGGCUCACAGUAAUGCUAUAAGUGUUUUUAGGAAGUGAUUAAGAAGAUAAUCAAGUGUGGGAAGUAUAACUCAUGAUUGAGGUGGAUAAGAGAAAUCUGGUGAAAGAAGUUCACCACUUAGCCUAGCUAGGAGUUCAAUUUGCGUACUCCAAAGAUAGUAGAGUUGUUGUCUAGAAUAUGGAUUGUUCCUCCUUAGUAGUCGAACUGAAGGAGAAAUAGCUUGAUGAUCCCUACUUGUUGUAGCAGAAAGAGGGGAUUCACAGGCAUAAGAUGAUUGCUUUUUAAGAAAGGGGGAGAUGAUGGUACUCUGAGUUACCAAGACAGAUUGUGUGUUCCAGACAUAGAUGGACUUAAAGAAGAAGAUCAUGUUAGAGGCUCAUAAUUCCAGGUAUUCUAUCCACCUAAGUUUUCCCAAAGAUGUAUCAUGAUCUUAAGGAGAUUUAGUGGUGGGACGACAUGAAAAAAAGAAAGUUGCGGACCUUGUGGCCAAGUGUUUGACUUGUCAGCAAGUGAAAGUCGAGCAGCAAAAAACCAAGUGUUUAUCUCAGAACGCACAUAUCCUUUAGUGGAGAUGGUAAAUAUAGACCUUAUAAUAGGAUUAUCUCGAUCAUUUUGAGAGCAUGAUUUUUAUGGGAGAAGGUGUAGAUUGCCAAUUAGUUGGUUCGAAGUUGGCAAAGCGGAGUUGCGGGGACCAGAUUUGGUCAAUCAGUCUAUGGAGAAAGUCAAGUUGAUUCAAGAGCAUUUGUAGACAACUCAGAGUUGCCAAAAGUCCUAUUUGAACAUGCAACAUAGAGACCUAGAGUUUCAAGUUGAUGAUUGGGUGUUUCAAAAAGUUUUGCCUAUGAAAGAUGUUAUAAGAUUUGGAUAGAAAGCAAAGCUUAAUCCCAGAUACAUCGACCCAUAUAGGAUCCUAUGAAGGAUCGGGUAAGAAGCUUAUGAGUUAGAAUUUCCACCAUAAUUAGCGGUUGUACACCAGUAUUUCACGUGUCAUGUUAUAACAUUCCAGUUAGUUCAGUACUCAGAUACUCAUGUCAAGUACUCAGAUAUUCAUGCCAGCUUAAUACUCAAAUAUUGAUGUGAGUUUAGUGAUCAGAUAUUCAUGUCAGUUCAGCACUCGAUUAUUCGUGUCGUUUCAGUAUUUAUAUAUCCACGUUAGUUCAGAAUUCACGUAUCCAUAACAGACAAGUAUUCAUGUAUAUGUAUCAUGUUAUGCGUAUUAUUAUGCCCUAUGGAGCUAGUGUUGUGCUCUGUUAGCUGGUAGGUAUUUUGGAGAAAUGUCGAAAGUAUCUAACCUUCUCAUUCAGACAUUAAAAUACAAUCUCCAUGUCUUCUAGUGUUUAGUAAAUUUAGCAGCCAUUCAGUCUAGUACCUAUGUAGUUCAGUAUCUCGUCAGCUUAGUAAUCGUAUAUUCAUUCAAUUUAGUACGAAAGUGUAAAUGAAAGUUCAUGUUCCCACUAGACCCGCUUAAGUUCCGAAGUUAGCCGAAGAUACAGCCAAGACAAUCAUUCGAGGAUGAAUGAUCCUAAGUGGGAGAUAAUGUAACACCCCAUAAAUUUGAAUCAGUUGUGGAUGCAUUAAAUGUGUAUUAAUGUGAUGGUUAUCAAUUGGUUAUCAUAAUAAGUGUACAAGGCAAAUCAUAAGUGAUUUGGGGUCCAAGGAAAGGCCUAAGUCUAAGCCAAGUUGGAAACUACAUGAUAGGCUAAAAAAUUUCAAAUGAGUACGCACAAGACCUUACUUUAGACGAGCAUUUCUACAUGUAUAUUAGGAUUUGUAUGAUGCACAACCUAUAAAAUUAAUUCUCUUUGAAUCUAGUUUCCAAUGCAUCAAACCGUUUGUCAUUUGGAGGUGUACACAGAAAGUUAUGACCAUUUUCGUGACCCUUCCGUCACCAGCGUCCUAAGUAGCGUCGGGUGCUAGCCGUGGCGCCAGAAAUUUUUGAGGUGCUAGAAACUGUGCCACAGGCAGCGCCCAGUGCCACCUAUGGCGCCCGAAACACUAUAUACUCAAUUCGGGGUUCAUUUUUACCCACUUAUCAUGGCCGAACUUUGGGGUCUUCCUUCACCCUCUCAAGAGCACCAACUCCUACCAUCUUCAAGGUAAGCCUCCAAUAACUUGGUGUGAAAUUCCAUCAUUCUUACACUAGUAUUGAUGAAAUCUACUCAUAAAAUACAUAGAUCUUUAAGAAAUUCCUUCAAGAACUCAAAGGAGGGUUUUGCAAGAUUUCUUCCAAAAGGUAAUCCUACACCCUUAGACUUACAUGUAUGGAUUUAUUAAGGGAAUAUGAGUAUGAAUAAGUAACAGAACUCUUGUUAUGGUGAUUGGAAGCCAUAAGUUCCCAAUUUAAUUACAUAACUAUUGUAGAGAUUGAACGAUGAUUAAUUGAUUGAAUUUUGUUGGUUGUGUGUGGAUGGAUGGUCAUAUAUGUGAUGUUGAAAGUUAUAAAUUGGUUAAUCAUGAUGGUGGGAUAAAUUAUUGAUGAAUGGUGGUGGUUGGAUGAACUAAUUAUAUGGUGAUGAGAUGUAGAGAUUUACGUCUACAAGGUGUUUGAUAAUUGCCUAAAUGGUUUGAGUUAUGGAAUUUGUUACUAAUAUUGGUUCCAUUAGAUGUUGCUAUUGUAGAUUGAAGUUUCUUAGUAUUGUGGAUCAUUGUAGUAUCACUAAGGGGCGAAAUUCAGGUAUGUGAGGCUAACUCUCUAUGUUUGGGAAUGCUAAUGAUUCUCCCUACACUACGUUUCUUUUACGACGUUACUAAUUGCCUUAAAAAUAGAGUUUAGCCNNNNNNNNNNNNNNNNNNNAAUGUUGUGAUCUCAGUGCAUAUUCAAUAUAGACUUGGGUUUGAUGCCCCUUAGUAUAGAUUACUCGGUAUGCCAUAAACAGUUGAAAUUUCAGUAUUCAUAAUUAGUUCAAGAAUACAUAUCUCAGUCUAGUCCUAUUCAGUAUUCCAGUAUUAUGCUACCAAGUGUGAUCCAGUAUCAUGUAUUGCAGUAUGAUUCUUAGUUCUUGAUUUUAAAUCCUUGAAUGUUGAACACCUGUAUUUAGGCCUGAGGCCAUAGUUUAUAUGCUUUAUGCAUACUUGGGCCUGAGGCCGUAGUUUAUGCUUUAUGCAUUUUGGGCCUGAGGCAGUAGUUAUGUAUACGUAUACUUGGGCCUGAGGCUGUAGCUUGUGCAAAUAUUUAUUGGGCCCGAGGCCGUAGCUUAUUCAGAUAAACAGGUUGUUCGUCAUUCAGAAGAGGGAGUAUUCAUAUCCUUACUUCCUUUGUUCAGUUCAAUUAUCAGUUACCAUUUUAGUUGCCAGUUAUUAGUUCAGUUAUCAAUUAUCAGUUAGCAUUUCAGUUUCAGUUUCAAUAGUUAUCAUUUAAGUGAUCAAUUAUCAAAUCUCAGUUAUCAGCUUAGUUUCAGUUUCAACAUUUAUAAUUCUUUCUUUCAGUUUCUUUACAUACUAGUACAAUUCAAAUGUACUGACGUCCCUUUUUCCCGGGGCCUGCAUCUCACAAUGCAGGUAAUGAUUUACAGGUUAAUGAUUCAGAGCGCUAGGAUUCUCGUACCAGCUAUUUGGUGAUCCCAGUUCUUUCGGGGCAUUAUCAGUACCUUACAGUCUUCAUUAUUUUUUUGACAGUCAGUAUUUUCAGUACUUCUUUAGAGGCUUCAUAGACUAGAGUAUCAAUUAGACAGAGUCACAAGCUUUUUGUGUUAAGCAAUGUUAGCUACAUACAUGUUUCAGACUUGUAUGAGUAUUUCCACACUUUGACUUUUAUCAUUCAAACUUUCAGUAAAUCAGCAUGUGUUAGUUUAUCUUCCAUAUUUAGUAUGUUAUGAUAUCAUAUGUUGAUUCAGCCAGCUAGUUGGUUUGCUCGGUCACAUGUAAUCAGGCACCGAGUGUCGUAUUACUUCCAGGCCCAGGUUCGAGGUGUGACAAGAUGCUUUUUUAGGCAUCAAAGUAGUGAAUCACCUUAAAGGAUGUUUUACACAGUAAAUGAUUCAGAGAUUCAGUAUUCUAUUUCUGGCGGAGGAAAGGCAAUCAUACUAGGAACGUUCAGAUUUGGGUUGAUGGAGUAACGAGGCUUGGUAUUUUUUAGCGUGGUAGAGUUCUCAAUUGUGAUGUGGUGUCAUUGUCCUUGUUGAAUGCGUUAAUGUUCGCCAAUGUUAUGGCCUUCUUCAAUUUGCCUUUGGGGCAGGGUAUUAUGAAAUGGUGCUUGAGAUGUGGUUGUCGGAGAUAACUGAGUGUAGCGAUUUCAGAAUCGAAUUUGUACUUCUAGUAUUGAUGGCUCGAGAAAGCUGGUCUUCUAAGAGGUUUAGAGUUGGUAGCGGCUCAUUUGUUUGGGUGUUACGGAGAUAGAUUCGGGUUUGGGGCAACAAUUGGGCGACGAAUGACAAGGAAGGACAUGUGGGAGGUGUUUUGCGGUGGUUGAAUUGCUAGAAGGUCAAGUGUGAAAAUUAGAAGUUUGAACAAAUGUGGGAGAGUGGCAGAGUAACAUAUGAGUUCUGUGGUAGGAUGGUCACACACAUUGAGGAAAGUCUGGAUCCAUUUUGGAAAUCCAUUGUGGACAGCGACUAGGUCCACGAACUUUUAUUUGGGUGCAAUAUGACUUCGAGUUUGGAAUGCGUUGGUGGACUUUUAGCUAAUGCCAAUGGGGAAGAAGGAACAUCGGUGGGUUUUAGGGUUAUAUAAUUGUAGCUUCAAGAUAAGUGGAAGAUCCCUACCACUACAAUUAGACUGUGUGGUUGUCUACUUGUGCGGUUUUUGGUUAUCGAUGUAUUGGUGGAUUAUUACGACUAAAGAAAAAAAAUAUUAGUGGUAAUUUGAGCAAAGAAUUUGAGGAAUAUAUCCUAUCUUUGGCCUUAUCGGUUCAUGUUCAGGUUUUGGGAAGACUCAAAGUCUAUGCUUCGUUUGGAUGUGAUGUAUAAGCAAAGGAAUUCAGCCGGUUGCUUCUUGGAGAGGGUGUUUAUGUUUUAGCAUGGCAUUGGAGUGUGACUAUAUUCGGGAAAAAGUUAUAGUGGGUGACUCUCAACAAUGGCCCUAGUAGGUUCAAAAUUAAAGUUUGGUGCCUAAGGAUUUCGAGUCCGUGGUUUGGUUAAGUAUAGAGCUUUUGUAGUGGAUAAUGAAAAGGGCUUGCAGUGUUCUAUGUUAUCUUCGGUCUACAGUGUAGCAUUUAAGGAAUGGGAGAAAAAGAUUUUGAAAUUUCAAAUUCGUGAAAUUUUGGCUAUUAUUAUUAGAGGAUGUUAUUAUGGUCAUGUAAUUUACGUAGUGCAUAGUGUGUAUUCAGCAAAGGUAUGCAACCAUGUAUUGGUGCAUCGCAUAAAUGUUGAUACGGUGUUCGUAUGACGGAAGAAGGCCUGACGGAGAAUUUCGGAUGUUGGAAUUGAGCUCUAAGGGCUAUUCGGCUGAGUAAAAAGGGAAAAUCUUCAUAUUAGCUCGAGCUAAUAUGCUCAACUGAGUUAUGGUAGCCCGGGAAGGUGCAAGAGGUGUUAAACAGUUAUUUUAGACAACUCCAGAGCAGUUCUUAGCACGUUCGAGGACGAACGUAUGUUUAAGUCUGAGAGAAUGUAAUGACCCGAUCGGUCGUUUUGAGCUGUAGCGUGUCGUUCGGCAAUUUGAGGCCAUGAGCAACUUCACUUCGGGUGUUAUACUUGUACGCAUGGUCGGAAUUGAAAUUUCAGAAGUUUAGAGUUGAUUUGGAAAGAAAAUUCUCAUUUCGGAAGCCUUAAGUUGGAAGAAUUAUCUAAGGUGGGAUUUUUGAGUAAACGACCUUGGAAUCGGGAUUUGAAGGUUCCAGCAGGUUGUUAUGAUGAUUUCGGACUUGGGCGUAUGUUCGAAUCAGGUUUUGAAUGACUCAAGAGCAUUUCGGCGCCUAUUCUAGAAGUUAGCAUUUUGUUAGAAUUUAAUAAAUUUGGGUUGAAGUUGAUAAGUUGGUAUUUUACCAACUUAUCUUGUCUUUAAGCCUACACUGUUGCUAUGUUUGAGUGAUAAAAUCAUGUGUUUAAUGCCAUUUACUUCUGUAUUAUAGGUUCUACGUGAUUUAGAAGUGAUCUUGAAGAAACCAAGUGAAACGAGUCAAAAAGAAGCUAAAAAGAAGAAAAUCUGGAAAAUGCCCUCAGUUUUGCAAAUGCGACACAAUCUUGGGAAAUGCGAAGCAAGCAGUCAUGGGAAAUGCGAGUAUUGCGUUGCAAUUGCGAAGAACGACUAUACAAGCUGUGCUCGCAAAUGCGAAGAAUACUUCGCAAAUGCGAAGUCAACCAGGCAGUCAACCUUCGCAAAUGCGAAGUACUGAUCGCAAAUGCGAAGAUAAACAGUGUAGUCAUAGUUCGCAAUUGCGAACUUUUGUUCGCAAAUGCUAAAAUCGUGCUUCAGUUCUGGGCAAUUCUAUAAUUUCUUUUUUUUUUGCCCCAAUCCAUUUAAUACCCGACUUAGCUCAUUUGUAAAAUAUCUUUUGGCUUAUUUUCAAUCUUAGGACUAGAAAGAACAAGGUUGGAAGCUAGGGUUUAUGCACUUACACUUGGGUUUUGAAGAUUGUGGUUAAGAAUUUCUUAUUCCUUUGUACUCAUUUCUUCAUUUCCUUACUUUGUAUUGAAUAUCUAAGUGUGUAGUAUUGUAUUCAACACUUGAAUCUUGUUUAUAGAAAUCAUCAAAUUUAAAGUUUGGAUUAAAUACCUUGUUGUGCUUAUGUAUUGAAUGAUUUUGUAUAUUUUAUGAAGUGAGUUAUUGUUACUUUAAUUAUUCUUGUUCUUUAAUAUUUCCAAAGGGAUUAGUUAACCCUAGUACUCGCCCAUUAACUCCGAAUUACUUUUGGAAAAGAUUAAUUAACAAGAACUUGAGGCUUUAACCCUCAGUUUAUAGAUUCUACCUAGGGAUAGGAUUGAACUACUUGUGGCAAUAUUCGGGUAUGCUUAAUCUCUUAAUUAUUUUAGGGAUAAUUCAAUUAGAAAGUCUUGUAAGUCUUUGGAAGAAUCUAAUAUAGAAUUAUUACCCGUGGCUAAUUAACAUAAACUCACUCAUAUUUGUGAAAUCGUGAAAUACAUUGGAUCGUUACUUGAGUGUAAUUCCCGACGCAUUCAUACUUGUAGUCAUUGAUCAUUUUACUUGCUUUCUAGGUUAGUUUACAUUUCCGCAUUUAGGUAUAAAUAUUUUUUAAAAACAAUUCUUAAGUAUUUGGCAUUGCAAAACAAGUGAUAAUUCUUUUACAUUCCUAAUCGCCUAUAUAUUAUUCUCUGUGGGAUUCGACCCCGACUCAUAGUUGGGUAUAUUAUAUUGCAUGCGACCGUGUCCAUUUACUUUUUAGUAGUGGAUUUGGACGUCAUCAAAAUUGGUGCCGUUGUCGGGGAACAAUUUGGCAUAAUUUAGGUUGUUUGAGAAAUAAGCGUAAGUGCUUUGGUCCAAACUUGUGAAUAUUUGUGUAAUUAUUUUUCUUACCUUGGUCUAUAUUUCUUGUUUAUUUUCUUAGUUUUGAAAAAUGGCAUCAUUUAAUGAAAAUUGGUUGGAUGGUAGUUUUUUAUACUUUGAUGACCCAUGUCCUUAUUGUGGAGGACCACACUCAUGGCAAAAUUGUUUAAAUUCUCCCGGGGGUGGAUUGUGCGCACAAUCUCAAACCCAGGAGUGGAGUAUUUGUGAUAAGUGUGGUCGUCAAAAUGGUCAUUAGGAAUAUUAUGCUUAUUUGCCCUUCCCUUCCCCAAGCCCCCGCUAUGAUGAUUCUACUUUUUGUGAUGAAAAUGAUAGGGCUAUGGAAGUGGAAGAAGUUGAGCAUGGUCAAAAUGGAGAGUUUAAGCUCAUGUUAGAAUGCCUAAUUGAAGGAGGAAACAAAGAACAAAGUGCUUUGGAGGAGCUUUUGAAAAAUAGUCUCCAAAAUGACUUGGCACUUGAAAGGCUGCACUCACAAAUGGGAGAAAUGCUUGAAGCUUUAGAGGUCCAAAAAGUCUCGGAAUUAAUGAUAGCCAAGAAUUUUCCUUAGAUGUGAAAGCCGGAAAUCCUCCCUUGGAGCUUGAUCAAAACCAAGAAGAACUCUCAAAUGAUCAAAAUGAGAAGUUGAUGCUCAUGUUGGAGACCAUUCUUGCAAAUGAGGAGAAGCACAACUUUGCACUCGAGGACUUGAAACAAAUCUUGACUCACAAUGAUGAACAUAUCUGCACUUUGGAAGAUCCAAUGAAAAUAUUGGUUGAGGCUCACUAUGCCCACCAACUUGAGAGUGUGGAAGGAAGUCAAGAAGAGUCCGAUUUCAAAGAAGAAAGUGAGUUCUACUUUGAGGAAUCAAAAAUUGAACAUCCUCCAACCGACUCCAUGAGUAUUAGUGAUGCCAAGAAAAAUAUGAAAUUACAGUCAACCGGUGUAAAUGAAAAUUUGGUUGAAAUUGACUCCGGUCCGGGGGAAAAAGAGGAUGUCAAAAUCCGGGAAGAAUUGCAAUAUGGAGGGUUGAUGUUGCAUUCCAAGCAUUUUUUAACAUUGAAAUUGUAUGGUGAUAUGGGAAUUGAACAACACGAGUCAAUGAGAGAUUGCGAGGAGGAAAGACAAAAACCAUACAUCUUACAAUUUGAGGGAACAAGAAGGCAAAAUGACAUUCCUCACAUGAAAGCCAAGAAGUGCAAAAUGAAGAAAUUAAGUCUUGGAUUGAUCAUCUACUUACCACCCCCUACCGCUCAUGGUCACAAGCUUGAUUCCAAGUUGGGUUCCUAAUUCAUAUCAUCAAAGUGGCGAGAAAAGUGGUAAAGUGACUUGCGUCGUGCCAUGAAGUUAAAUGCGGCGCUUGGUGGGAGGCAAUUCAUCGUUUUUCUAAAUUUUUGAUCAUUUUUGAAAUUUUACUUUUUAGAAUAACUUAUUAUAUUGUUUCUAACCAAUAUGCCAAAGUUCAUAAUUUUUGGAGUUAAUUUGAGUAGGUUGGGGCGACGAAGUGCACCAAAGCCAGAAGUUGAAAAUUGCAGGGGCACCAGUCUUUGCAUUUGCGAACUUCUUCUUCUUCGUCUCCUUAUUCCUCUCUUAGUUUUCUCUGAAACCCUAGGUUUUCAAAUAGGUAACAGUCCUCUGCCCGAAAUUGUUUAAUAAUUGUUCAAAUCGUAUAUUGAUUUUUGGGUGAGGUUGGUUGAGAGUGUGAGAUUAGUUCUUUGCUAAAAAAAAUGGGGAAGUCUGAGUACCCAGGCUUUGUAAAAUAGAAGUGAAUUUUUGUGUUUCUUAUGUGAUCGAUGAAAGGCCCGAGUGAGAUUUUUGGCCAAAUCAUUGAUAUGUUUGAAAAUUGCUUGUACUCUCUUAAGUUAGCCUUUGGUCAAAAUAUUUGGGGAUGGGGACUGUGUUCUGUGAAAAAUCUUGGCUGGGGACGAUGGGCUCGCAAUUGCGAUGGCCUCUUCGCAUUUGCGGUUUCGCAUUUGCGAAGAGGUGGUGGCAAUUGCGAAACCUGGCAGCCCUGACCAUAUUCACAAAUGCGAAGAUUCUCUCGCAAUUGCGAGAACUGCCUGAGUCUGAUACCUUCGCAAUGCGAAGACUUUUUCACAAUUCCUAUGACUGGCAGUCCUGAUAACUGCAUAAUUGCAAAGAAAAUGUGGCAUUUGCGACAUCAGAGAGCAGUCAUCUGAAAAUCUCAAAAUCCUGAAAUUUUUUCUAAGAGUGGGUUUCGACUGUUUGAUCAUUCCUUUGGCAUAUUUGACUCAUUUUGCAAUAUUCUUCAUAGCCAUACCAUGUUUUCACUCCUAUCAUUUGUUGACAAGUACCAUAACUGAAAAUGAGCUCUAACUCUGAAGGAUCCACAAAUGACAACCCAUUGGAAGCUGAGCCGAAUUAUGACUAACACUGGUUCUCGUCAUUGGAGUGCCAAGAACGGUACUUUGCUAAACUGAUCUAGAAAAAUUUGCUCCCAGAGAGUGGUAUAUUGCUGGACAACAUCCUGGAAUGCCUUCUCGAGGUUUACCAACGGAUGGUAGACAUAGGAUGGGACUAUUUUUUCCCUCAACCUUGCCGAGCCAAUGAGUAAUGGGUGAGGGAGUUCUAUGCAAAUCUUCCAGCUAUCAGGUUAAGGAAGCCAAAGAUGAGAAUUUGCGGCAAAAUGGUACACUUUGGAGCUGAAGUUGUGAAUAGAGUGUAUCACCUGUCAGACCAAGACAUAACCUCAUUCCAUGCAAAAGAAUGUGCCUCAAGGGAGUGGUUGGUGUCUAAAUUAUGCCCGGGUGUGGAUAUUCCAUUGGCAGCUGAGAAGAGAGGGAUCACAUCCAAGGAGUUCACUACUGAAGCAAAGAUAUGGCUGGUCAUCAUAUGCAAUCGUAUCUCCCCUGUGUCAAAUAUAUGGAAUGUAUCGGCCACAAAAGCUCAAAUUAUAAUGAUAGCAUGCAUCCUUAAUGGUAUUCAACUAAAUGUUGGUGAAAUCUUCAUCAAUGAACUGAAGGAAUAUCGGAUCCAGAAUAGUACAUCAUUGAUAUUCCCAUCACUUAUCACUGAGCUGUGCCAACUUGCUGGGGUGGAAGAAGCUCCGGGAGACAACUGGAUAGAGCUCGGGAAGCCUCUAAAUCCAUUGAAGAAAAGAGGAGAGGGCGGCGCUGUGAAGACCAAAAAGAGAAAGAUGGGGUCUUCUUCUCAGAUUGAUCAGAGUAGCCAGCCAUCAUCUUCUGCAGGAGGACCAUUUGUUGUGCUUACUGAGGAAAUGCGGCUAAUUCGCGACCUAGUAGCUGGCCUUCCACAGGGACCUGGAAAAACAUCUGAGGGACCCGCUGCAUACAUUUCAAAGAAAGAUUUUCAAAAGUGUCUUGAUGAUCAGAGGAAGCAGGGGGAUCACCUUAAGACACUGGAGAAGGCAUACACUAAUCUGGCCAACGUGCAUGGUAAGUUGAGAAGUUCUAAUAACACUCUGGCAAAGGCACACACCAAGAUGAAGAAAAGGGAGAAGAAAAGAGACAAAUUGUUUACCCACAUGCAGAAGGGUGUGAAGGGGCAGCGAAAAGUCCUAAAGCCUCAAGUCCCAAUGCCAUCGACCAGGCCGGUAGAUGAUGAUGAUGCUCCAGUUGAUUGGUCCGAGGAAGAAGUAGAGGAGGAUCCCUCUGAGUCGGACAGCGAGGAGAGCACCUGAUGCAAUAUUCAGGGAGCACUUUCCACCAUUUACUCUAUUAUGUUUAGUUGCAUUAGGUACAUUGCAAUAUCUUUAGUUGGGGGUGUCUUCUUGUAUAACUGUUGUUCUUGUUUAAAUGUGGAUAAAUGUGGAUAUGGUAGAUUGGUACAUUGGUUGUUUCUAUUUUGAUGUUAUUGAUGUGUUAUAGUAGUAUGUUUACUAGCUUCUUGUUUAAAUGUGGAUAACUGUAGAUAUGGCAGAUUGGUACCUUGGUUGUUUUCAUUUUGAUGUUAUUGAUGUGUUAUAUUAGUAUGUUUACUAGCUUCUUGAAUUCUUGUUUUUAUAUAUAGUAUGUUUUAGUUACUUGAUGUUUACUAGCUUCUUGAAUUCUUGUUUUUAUAUAUAGUAUGUUUUAGUUACUUGAUGUUUAUUAGCUUCUUAAUUUUUUUUAUUAGCUUCUUAAUUUUUUUUAUAUAGUAUAUUUUAUUUUAGUGGCAAUAUCCUUGGUUUUCUUUGUACCACGAUUCUUUUUCCAAGGACGCCAAUUUCUUUCUUGAACCGGGUAAUUGUUAGUAAAUUUUUGUCGACUUUUCCCGAUGAUGGAUAGCUAGACAACUUUCUUAAGGGAAUUAGUCUUGUAGUUAGAUAUAGUUUUUGUUAAUUUAAGAAGAAUAAGUGGUUUGAGUGGGGUAUGGGGCAAAGUUGUGGUUUGAUUGGUACCAACACAAUUUAAACCUUGGUAUAUGAAUUUUUGAUCCUUGAAAAAGAAAAAUAAUUCAAGUAAAAAACAAAUCAUUGUCAUGAUUUUUAGACUCAAUUUUUGGCUCUUUGAUUCACUAAAUAUCUUUUUAGGCUACACGAAAUUUCCUUGAGAUUCAUUGGUUUGAAUUGGAUUUUGGAUGUAUUCCACUUGAGUUUUCAUGUGCCAUGUGUGGUGAGGCUUAUUGUGAAGUUCUUUUGCAUCAUUUGUAGUCUAGAACUUGCUCGGUUGGUUUUUCAAUGCUAAUGUUAAUUGUGCUUGGUUGGAGGGAUGACCUUAAACUUUCUUUGUAAUCUUUGAAAAAAAAACCUUUUUAGCCUUUCGAGCCUACCAUUGCAUAAAUAUAAUUACUAGUUUCCCCCAUUUGAGCCUUUAACAUUUUCUUUGGCCACCUCAUUACAAAUAUUUACCCUUUUGUGAAAUAAUUCCCUCUUUUGCACCCGUCUCCUUGAAUAUUGAGAAUGAGACUAAAAGCCUAAGCUUGGGGUGUUGGUAUCAAAGUGGAAAAUCGGUAAGGUCGUACAUUGAGUGAAGAAACAUAUACCUCAAAGUGACCUUAUGAAACUACUCAAGCUCCAAAAGAAAAUAGUUAUACAAAAAAUAUUAUGUAGAUAUAUAAAUAUGGAGUCUUGAGAAAAUAAGAGAGGUGUUUUAAGGUGGCUCUAUUUGAUAACUAGAUGUCAAUAAGGGCUAUGUGGUUUUAAAAAAAAGAAGUAAAGUGCAAAAGGAAAGAUAAAUAUGAGUAGUGUUCAAGGAGGGUGUAUUCACUUGUAUCCUAAAUGCUCCAAUCCUUCCCUAAACCUACAUUACAAGCUCAAAAGGUCCUUAUGGGACCUCCAACCAAAUGUUCUUGAAGAGGCGGAGAAUUAAAAUAAGGGCAAGGAUAUAGUACUACUUUUAUGCAUUUGAAUAUCUUUGUGAGAGUGAGAGCUUAUCCUUUCCGCGUGAUAUCCCAUUUAUGCUUUGAAUUGCAAAUUAUGAGUGUGAGAUUCUCUCUAAAGUGUGAGGGCACAUGAGAUUUGAGUUGUGAAUUUAAUCCCAUUUUCAAUUGAGAGGAAUGAACGAGGGAAGAUAAUUGUGAUAGAGAGGCAAAUUUUGAAGCUUUAGUAUCAUGACUUGAUUUGCUACUUUGAUUUGCAUAUUGUUUGAGCACUUGAAAUGUAAUGAAGUUCAUGAGAAGUGUUCGAUAACUCAUAUGCUUUGGAUUAAUUGUUGGUACCAAUCAAAGUCAUGUGUUUGUGAUUAUAGUAGACCUUUUCGGCUUGGCAUGAUAAGGAUGCAAUGUUGAGUUAAAUACUUGGGAGGAGAUUUUGUCGCUUUCAUUGCUUGAGGAAAAGCAAUAGUUUAAGUUUGGGGGUUUGAUAAGUUGGUAUUUUACCAACUUAUCUUGUCUUUAGGCCUACAUUUUUGCUAUGUUUGAGUGAUAAAAUCAUGUGUUUAAUGUCAUUUACUUCUAUAUUACAGGUUUUAUGUGAUUUAGAAGUGAUCUUGAAGAAACCAAGUGAAACGAGUCAAAAAGAAGCUGAAACGAAGAAAAUCUGGAAAAUGCCUUCAGUUGUCACAAAUGUGACACAAUCUUGGGAAAUGUGAAUCAAGCAGUCAUGGGAAUUGUGAGUAUUGCAUCGCAAUUGCGAAGAAUGACUAUACAAGUUGUGCUCUCAAAUCCGAAGAAUACUUCGCAAAUGCGAAGUCGACCAGGCAGUCAACCUUCGCAAAUGUGAAGUACCGAUCGCAAAUGCGAAGAUAAACAGUGUAGUCAUAGUUUGCAAUUGCAAACUUUUGUUCGCAAAUACGAAAAUUGUGCUUCAGCUCUAGGCAAUUCUGUAAUUUCAUAUUUUUUGGCCCCAAACCAUUUAAUACCCGACUUAUCUCAUUUUUAAAACAUCAUUUGGCUUAUUUUCAGUCUUAGGCCUAGAGAGAACAAGGUUGGAAGGUAGGGUUUAUGCACGUACACUUGGGUUUUGAGGAUUUGAAGAUUGUGGUUAUGUCAUGACCCGGAUUUCCCACCCUCGGGAAUCGUGAUGGCGCCUACUAAUAUGAGCUAGGCAAGCCAAUUAUGUGAACAAUUUACCUUUUUUUUUACUCAUUUUAUAUUCAUUAACAAUUGCGAAGUAAUAACAUUUAAACAACGGAAUUUAACAUAAGCGGAAUAAAAAGCAAUAAGCUAGCUGAACAUGAAUCCAAUACAACUGUUUGAGUCUCGACUACCCAGAACUAGUAUCACGGUUUCAUAGACAGUCUAAGAAUACUACAAUUAAAGGUCUGAAAGAAAUAAAUACAAUACUGUCUCCGAAAAUACAUGAAAGAAACAGGAAUAGUAGAUAGAAGGAGAUGCCAAGGCCUGUGGACGACUGCAAGACUACCUCGGGUCACUUGAUGAGCAAGAAUUCUUAAUCCCACUGCAGUCCGAAGUCUAAAACAUUGGGGUCUGCACNNNNNNNNNNNNNNNNNNNNNNNNNNNNNNNNNNNNNNNNNNNNNNNNNNNNNNNNNNNNNNNNNNNNNNNNNNNNNNNNNNNNNGACUGGUAAGUGUCUAGCCCUAACCUCAGCGAAGUAGUGACGAGGCUAGGACCAAACUACCAAAUAAACAUGUGCAAUUUAACUAUAUACAGCGGAAAAGAAGUACAGAAAGAAACAAUCAUAUACAGUCAAGUAUAGGAGGGGGAAAACAUGCUACGGGGAAACAUCGAGUAGUAACAGAAGAGCAACAAAUAAAUUAGAGGAUCACCAUAGUUCAAUUGAAAAUAGAAAGGGGAAAUCAUGCUGCGGGGUACAACAAGUAUCGAUCGGAAACCAGCAAUUUAGUAUAGAGAAAUCGUAACACAGUUAUCAAUAAAACUUAAGAAAUCAAAGACAAGUGCAUGGCAUCACCCUUCGUGCUUUUACUCUCUCUCACCAAACAAUACACGGCAUCACUCUUCGUGCUUUAACACUCUCUUACCAAAACAAUACACGGCAUCACCCUUCGUGAUUUACGCUCUUCCUCACCCAAACAACAAUCACAAGGCAAAUAGGGUAAGGGAAUCUAUAAUCUCGAAAUAAAAUCAAGCAACAACAGAAAAUCAGUAAAUAAACGUAAAGGACAACAUAACUCAAUUAUCAGUAAGAAUCAGGGAAAUCAAGGACAAGUGCAUGACAUCACCCUUCGUGCUUUUAAUCUCGCCCUCACCAUAAGAAUAAAUACAAUCGGCAAGGAAUGGUACAUCGUGUGACACGGUAUCACCCUUCAUGCUUUACACUCUUUCCUCACCAUGAAAUCAAUAUAAUAGGCAUGGAAAGGUACAUCGUGUGGCAGGGCAUCACCCUUUGUGCUUUAACUCUCUUCCUCACGCAAACAACAAUCACAAACAAAUGGGCAAGGGAAUAAGCAAAAUACUAAUAGAGAUCCCGGCAAGGGAACAACAAUUAAACAAUUAAAUCCCAGCAUGGGAACAACAUCAAUAAUCUCAACAUCCCGGCAAGGGAGAUAAUCAACAAAGCAACAAUAUCCCGGCAAUGGGACAAUUUAUUAACUCUUUCUCUUUAUUUCACUAUUCUUUCAUAACUCACUUUACCACUUGAGCCAAUGCUCCAAAGGGUUCAAUCAUCUCAUAUACUUUCACAAUUCAUAAUAUAACUUGAGUCAAUGCUCCUCAAUGUUCAAAGGUUACAAUUCCUUCCACAAAAUUUCCACAACAAUUAGAAAUCAUCACCAAGGCAUGAAAGAUACAAUGAAAUCAAGAUCUUCAAAAUUUCAAGACUCACGGUCAUACUAGACACAACGUAUAGAUACUCGUCACCAUGCCUAUACGUCGUACUCAACAAUUAUCAUGUAGCAAAUAAGACUCAACUCAUAAUCCCUCAAGCUAAGGUUAGACCAAACACUUACCUCGAUGCCACGAACACAAUUCAUGAUUCAAUUAUAGCUUUACCCUUGAUUUCACCGCCAAUUUGCUUGUAUCUGGUCACAAUUUACUUAAUUACAUCAAUAAACGCUAAAUGAAUCAAUUUGAAUGCAUGAAAAUGAGUUUUCCAAAGUUUUACCCAAAAAGUCAAAAUCGCCCCUGGGCCCACGUGGUCAAAACCCGAGGUUUAAACCAAAACCCGAUUACCCAUUCCCCCACGAGCUCAAAUAUGUAAUUUGUUUUGAAAUCGGACCUCAAAUCGAGGUCCAAAUCCCUAAUUUUUGAAAAACCCUAGGUUCUACCCAAAACACCCAAUUUCUCCCAUGAAAAUCAUUGAUUUGAAGUUGAAAUCAUGUUAAAAGAUGUUAAUGAUUGAAUAAAACUAGUUAAAAACGACUUACAAUUGAUUUUGAGAAGAAAGGUUGUUUGAAAAAUAGCCUCUUAUGUUUUUUUUGGGUUUUGAAAAAUGCAAAAUGACUGAAAAUACCGUCUAUUUAUACCCCUCUCAGACCCCCUAUGCGGGCCACACAAAAUGGACUGCGGCCGUACAGGCCUUCCUGAAGGUACUGCGGUCCAGUGCCCUGUGCGGACCGUACGAAAUGGACUGCGGCCGCACAGGCCUUCACCGCGCACCGCACAAAGCCGACCACUGACCGCACUGGCCCCCUUCCGCGGUCGCACACAUUUUCGUGCGGACCGCACUGGCGGGUUCAGAGAUCUGCAAAUUUCUCUAAACCUGCAACAACUGUGUUUUUAGGCCUAAGGCAUCUCAGAACCUACCCGAAACUCACCCGAGCCCUCGGCGCUCCAAACCAAAUAUACACAAAAUCCUCAAAAACAUCGUAUGGACCUACUCGUGCGGUAACAUCAUAAAAAUAACAUGUAAAAUCAUGAAUUAAACCUCGAAACUCAACAUAUUCAUCAAGAACUCUCAUCGUUCAUAACUCUCCAACCGGAAGUCCAACUCACAUCAAAUAAACUCCGUUUUUCACCAAAUUUCACAGUUAUCUUUCAAAUACUAUAACAAGUUGGUACCGGGCUCCGAAACCAAAAUACGAGCCCUAUAACAAUGGUUUCAAACAUUAAUUCUUUUCUUUAUUCCUUAGAUAAUUCAGUAAAACAAUUUCUUUCAAAAAUUGAUUUCUAAGGCUUGGGACCUCGGAAUACAUUUCCGAGCAUACGCCCAAGUCCCAUACUUUCCUACGGAUCCUCUAGGACGGUCAAAUCACGGGUCUGGGUCCGUUUAUCCAAAACGUUGACCGAAGUCAAAUUUAUUCAUUUUACAGUCAAAACUUAUCAUUUUUCACAGAUUUUCACAUUUAAGCUUUCUGGCUAUGCGCCCGGACUGCGCACGCNNNNNNNNNNNNNNNNNNNNNNNNNNNNNNNNNNNNNNNNNNNNNNNNNNNNNNNNNNNNNNNNNNNNNNNNNNNNNNNNNNNNNNNNNNNNNNNNNNNNNNNNNNNNNNNNNNNNNNNNNNNNNNNNNNNNNNNNNNNNNNNNNNNNNNNNNNNNNNNNNNNNNNNNNNNNNNNNNNNNNNNNNNNNNNNNNNNNNNNNNNNNNNNNNNNNNNNNNNNNNNNNNNNNNNNNNNNNNNNNNNNNNNNNNNNNNNNNNNNNNNNNNNNNNNNNNNNNNNNNNNNNNNNNNNNNNNNNNNNNNNNNNNNNNNNNNNNNNNNNNNNNNNNNNNNNNNNNNNNNNNNNNNNNNNNNNNNNNNNNNNNNNNNNNNNNNNNNNNNNNNNNNNNNNNNNNNNNNNNNNNNNNNNNNNNNNNNNNNNNNNNNNNNNNNNNNNNNNNNNNNNNNNNNNNNNNNNNNNNNNNNNNNNNNNNNNNNNNNNNNNNNNNNNNNNNNNNNNNNNNNNNNNNNNNNNNNNNNNNNNNNNNNNNNNNNNNNNNNNNNNNNNNNNNNNNNNNNNNNNNNNNNNNNNNNNNNNNNNNNNNNNNNNNNNNNNNNNNNNNNNNNNNNNNNNNNNNNNNNNNNNNNNNNNNNNNNNNNNNNNNNNNNNNNNNNNNNNNNNNNNNNNNNNNNNNNNNNNNNNNNNNNNNNNNNNNNNNNNNNNNNNNNNNNNNNNNNNNNNNNNNNNNNNNNNNNNNNNNNNNNNNNNNNNNNNNNNNNNNNNNNNNNNNNNNNNNNNNNNNNNNNNNNNNNNNNNNNNNNNNNNNNNNNNNNNNNNNNNNNNNNNNNNNNNNNNNNNNNNNNNNNNNNNNNNNNNNNNNNNNNNNNNNNNNNNNNNNNNNNNNNNNNNNNNNNNNNNNNNNNNNNNNNNNNNNNNNNNNNNNNNNNNNNNNNNNNNNNNNNNNNNNNNNNNNNNNNNNNNNNNNNNNNNNNNNNNNNNNNNNNNNNNNNNNNNNNNNNNNNNNNNNNNNAUUCAUUUUACAGUCAAAACUUAUCAUUUUUCACAGAUUUUCACAUUUAAGCUUUCUGGCUAUGCGCCCGGACUGCGCACGCAAAUUGAGGUGGUGCUAAGGGAGGUUUUUAAGGCCUGAAAUGUAGAAUUUUAUUGCAACACAAGUGAUGACCUUUUGUGUCAUCACAUUCUCCAUCUCUAAAACAAUCAUUCGUUCUCGAACGGACAGAAGAAGGAAAUACCUGAGUCAGGGAAAAGAUCGGGAUAAUGGCUCAUCGGACUCGGACUCCCAGGUCGAUACCUCAGGAGGCUGACCUCUCCACUAAACAUGAACAGAAGGAAAACUCUUUGAUCUCAGCUGACAAACCUGUCGGUCUAGAAUAGCCACCGGCUCCUCCUCAUAAGAUAAGUCCUCGUCCAACUGGACAGUACUAAAAUCUAACACGUGGGAUGGAUCACUGUGAUACUUCUGAAGCAUGGACACAUGAAAUACUGGAUGCACGGCUGAUAAGCUCGGCGGCAACGCAAGUCUAUAAUCCACCUCUCCCACUCGAUCAAGAAUCUCAAACGGGCCAAUGAACCUAGGGAUAAGCUUGCCCUUCUUCCCAAAUUUCAUCAUGCCCUUCAUAGGCGACACUAACACCCGCUCACCGACCAUGAAUGCCAAAUCUCGAACCUUGCGGUCAGCAUAACUCUUUUUCCUGGAUUAAGCUGUACGAAGCCUAUCUUGAAUAAUCCUGACCUUGUUCAAGGCAUCCUGCACCAGCUCUGUACCCAACAAUCGAGCCUCUCUCGGCUCAAACCAUCCAACCGAAGACCGACACCGCCUACCAUAUAAAGCCUCAUAAGGAGCCAUCUAGAUACUCGACUAGUAGCUGUUAUUGUAGGCAAACUUUGCUAAAGGCAAAAACUGAUCCCACGAGCCUCCAAAGUCAAUAACACAAGCUCGGAGAAUAUCCUCAAGAAUCUGAAUAGUCCGCUCAGACUGCCCGUCCAUCUGAGGAUGAAAUAUUGUGCUCAACUCAACCUAAGUGCCCAACUCUCGCUGAACUGCUCUCCAGAAAUGCGAGGUAAACUGCGUACCUCAGUCCAAAAUGAUAGAUACAGGCACACUAUGAAGACGACCAAUCUCCUGGAUAUAGAUCUCAGCUAACCUCUCGGAUGAAUAGGAGACCGCCACAGGAAUGAAAUGCACUGACUUGGUCAGCCUAUCAACAAUGACUCAUACUGCGUCGAACUUCCUCCGAGUCUAUGGAGUCCAAUAAUGAAAUCCAUAGUGAUCCGCUCCCACUUCCACUCGGGAAGCUCAAUCCUCUGAAAUAAACCACCAGGCCUCUGAUGCUCGUACUUAACCUGCUGAAAAUUCAAACACCGAGAUACAUAUGCAAUGAUAUCCUUCUUCAUUCUCCGCCACCAAUAAUGUUGCCGCAAAUCCUGAUACAUCUUCACGGUGCCCGGAUGAAUAGAGUACUGGGACCUAUGGGCCUCCUCUAAAAUCAACUCUUGGAUCCCAUCCACAUUAGGCACACAAACUCGGCCCUGCAAUCUUGAAACUCCAUCAUCAUCUAAGGUAACCUGCUUGGCACCUCCGCGUUGCACCGUGUCUCAAAAGACACACAAAUGGGGAUCAUCAUACUGCCGAUCACGAAUACGCUCCAAUAAAGAAGAACGAGUGACCGUGCAGGCCAAUACACGACUAGGCUCAGAAAUAUCCAACCUCACAAACUGAUUGGCCAAAGCCUGAACGUCUAAAGCAAGCGGUCUCUCACCAACCGGAAUAUAAGCAAGACUGCCCAUACUGGUUGACUUCCUACUCAAUGCAUAGGCCACCACAUUGGCCUUUCCCGGAUGAUACAAGAUAGUGAUAUCAUAAUCUUUCAACAACUCCAACCACCUCCUUUGUCUUAAAUUCAACUCCUUUUGCUUUAACAAAUACUGAAGACUCUUGUGAUCCGUGAACACCUCACAUGCCACGCCAUAUAGAUAAUGCCUCCAAAUCUUCAAUGCGUGCACAAUGGCUGCCAACUCCAAGUCAUGAAUCGGAUAGUUCUUCUCAUGAAUCUUCAACUUCCGCGAAGCAUAGGAAAUGACCUUGCCAUCCUGCAUCAACACUGUACCAAGCCCAAUACGAGAUGCAUCACAAUAAACUGUAUAAGGUCCUGAACCUGUGGGCAAAACCAACACCGGUAUCGUAGUCAGAGCUGUCUUGAGCUUUUGAAAGCUUGCCUCACACUCGUCCGACCAUCUGAACUGGGCCCCCUUCUAGGUCAACCUGGUCAUCGGGGUUGCGAUAGAUGAGAACCCAUCCACGAACCGAUCAUAGUAGCCUGCCAAUUCUAAGAAACUCCGAAUCUCUAUAGCUGAUGCUGGUCUAGGCCAGUUCUUGACUGCCUCAAUCUUCUUUGGAUCAACCCGAAUACCCUCUGCUGAUACAACAUGACCCAGAAAUGCAACUGAACUCAACCAGAACUCACACUUCGAGAACUUAGCAUAUAACUAACUAUCCCUCAAGGUGUGAAGAACCACUCUAAGAUGCUGCUCAUGCUCCUUCUGGCUACGAGAAUAUAUCAAAAUAUCAUCAAUGAAGACUAUCAUGAACGAGUCCAAAUAAGGCCUGAACACUCGGUUCAUCAAAUCCAUAAAAGCUGCUGGGGCAUUUGUCAACCCGAAUGACAUCACCAAGAACUCAUAAUGCUCGUACCGAGUGCAAAAAGCCAUCUUAGGGACAUCGGAUGCCCUAAUCCUCAACUGAUGGUAGCCAUAUCUCAAGUCAAUCUUCGAAAAUACCUUGGCACCUUGAAGCUGAUCAAACAAAUCAUCAAUACUCGGCAAUGGAUACUUAUUCUUGAUUGUAACCUUGUUCAACUGCCGGUAAUCAAUACACAUUCUCAUCGAUUCGCCCUUCUUCUUAACAAACAACACCGGCGCACCCCAAGGCGAAACACUCGGCCUAAGGAAACCCUUCUCAAGCAAGUCUUGCAACUAUUCCUUCAACUCUUUCAACUCCGGCAGGGCCAUACGAUACGGCGGAAUAGAAAUGGGCUGAGUGCCCGGAGCCAAAUCAAUGCAAAAGUCAAUAUCCUUGUCGGGUGGCAUACCCGGAAGGUCUGAAGGAAAAACCUCAGGGAACUCAGGAACAACGGGCACAGAAUCAAUAGAAGGAACCUUAGCACUAGAAUCACGUACAUAUGCCAAAUAAGCCAAACACCCCUUCUCGAACAUACGUUGGGCCUUCACAUAAGAGAUAACACUACGGGUAUAAUGCCUAGGAGUCCAUCUCCACUCUAAACGAGGCAAACCCGGUAAAGCUAAGGUCACAAUCUUGGAAUGACAGUCCAAGAUCAUGUGGUAAGGUGAUAACCAGUCCAUCCUUAAUAUAUCAUCGAAAUUGACCAUGUCCAGAAGCGACAAAUCUACACGAGUCUCAAGACCCCCAAUCACAACUAUACAAGAGCGAUAGACUCGAACUACCACAAUAGAAUCACUCACUGGUGUAGACACAUAAACAGGAGCACUCAAUGAAUCACUAGGUAUGACCAGAUACGGUGCAAAAUAAAAUUGAAGCUUCCCUACCACAAACUAGAACAGUACCUGCACCUCCACCUCUAAUACCUUUACCUCCACCUCUAGCAUCACUACCUCCACCUCUAAUACCUCUACCUCCACCUCUAAUACCUCUACCUCCACCUCCACCUAACUGAGCGGGCUGGAUGAGUCCCUCAAUGAACCUCUUCACUCUCUCUCACAGUAGGAAGUAUGAUAAGAUCAUGAUGGGCCAAAUCAAUAAAUCUGAUCUCGUACUGAAUAACAGUCAUAGAACCCUAUUGGAGACGCUCAAAUUGCCUCUGAUAGACCUCUCUCUGAGUGAUGUGGAGAAACUCAUCGAGAAAUAGCUGAGUAAACGGCUACCAAGUCAAAGCUGGCAAUCCGGCUGGUCUAGCCAAAUAGUAAUCCCUCCACCAAGUCUUGGCGAAUCACGAUGAGCAAAAAGUAGCAAAAUCGACCCCAUUGGUCUCCACGAUCCCCAUGUUCCUGAUAUCCUCAUGAUAGCGGCCUAGAUAAUCCUGGGGAUCCUCAGAAUAUGCACCGCUGAAAGUAGUGGUGAAGAGCUUGGUGAAACUUAUCCAACCUUCACAAAUCCUCCGAAGACGUAGCUGAUCUAUCACUGGUCUGUGUUGCUGCUCGGCUGAAGAAGCGGUACAUGACCUCACCAUUCACGAAAGGACAAAAGUAGGGGUUUCAAUUUAACACUAAGAGAACAAAAUUGCACGACAAGAAAGAAUGAAUAUGAAGUUUUUCCUAACUCUGUAGCCUCUGGAAUAAAUACAGACGUCUCUAUACCGAUCCCUCAAACUCUACUAAGUUUGUCUGUGAACUGUGAGACCCAUGUAACCUAGAGCUCUGAUACCAACUUGUCACGACCCGGAUUUCCCACCCUCGGGAGUCGUGAUGACGCCUACUAAUGUGAGCUAGGNNNNNNNNNNNNNNNNNNNNNNNNNNNNNNNNNNNNNNNNNNNNNNNNNNNNNNNNNNNNNNNNNNNNNNNNNNNNNNNNNNNNNNNNNNNNNNNNNNNNNNNNNNNNNNNNNNNNNNNNNNNNNNNNNNNNNNNNNNNNNNNNNNNNNNNNNNNNNNNNNNNNNNNNNNNNNNNNNNNNNNNNNNNNNNNNNNNNNNNNNNNNNNNNNNNNNNNNNNNNNNNNNNNNNNNNNNNNNNNNNNNNNNNNNNNNNNNNNNNNNNNNNNNNNNNNNNNNNNNNNNNNNNNNNNNNNNNNNNNNNNNNNNNNNNNNNNNNNNNNNNNNNNNNNNNNNNNNNNNNNNNNNNNNNNNNNNNNNNNNNNNNNNNNNNNNNNNNNNNNNAAAAAGCAAUAAGCUAGCUGAACAUUAAUCCAAUACAACUGUUUGAGUCUCGACUACCCAGAAUUGGUGUCACAGUUUCACAGACGGUCUAAGAAUACUACAAUUAAAGGUCUAAAAUAAAUAAAUACAACACUGUCUCUGGAAAUACAUGAAAGAAAUAGGAAUAGUAGAUAGAAGGAGAUGCCAAGGCCUGCAGGACUACCUCGGGUCGCCUGAUGAGAAAGAAUUAGCAAUCCCACUACGGUCCGAAGUCUACAACAUGGGGGUCUGCACAAAAGAGUGCAGAGUGUAGUAUCAGCACAACCGACUCCAUGUGUUGGUAAGUGUCUAGCCUAACCUCGGCGAAGUAGUGACGAGGCUAGGACCAGAAUACCAAAUAAACCUGUGCAAUUUAACUAUAUACAGCGAAAAAGAAGUACAAAAAGAAACAGUCAUAUAAAGUCAAGUAUGGGAGGGGGGAAAACAUGCUACAGGUACACAUCGAGUAGUAACAGAAGAGCAAUAAAUAAAUAUGAGGAUCACUACAGUUCAAUUGAAAAUAAGAAGGGGAAAUCAUGUUGCGGGGUACAACAAGUAUCAAUAGGAAACCAACAAUUUAGUGUAGAGAAAUCGUAACACGGUUAUCAAUAAAAAUUAAGAAAUCAAAGACAAGUGCAUGGCAUCACCCUUCGUGUUUUUACUCUCUCUCACCAAAAUAAUACACGGCAUCACUCUUCGUGCUUUAACACUCUCUCACCAAAACAAUACACGGCAUCACCUUUCGUACUUUACGCUCUUCCUUACCCAAAGAACAACCACAAGGAAAAUAGGGUAAGGGAAUCUAUAAUCUCGAAAUAAAAUGAAGCAACAACAGAAAAUCAGUAAAUAAGCGUAAAGGACAACAUAACUCAAUUAUCAGCAAGAAUCAGGGAAAUCAAGGACAAGUGCACGGCAUCACCCUUCGUGCUUUUACUCUCGCCUCACCAUAAGAAUAAAUAUUAUAUGCACGGAAUGGUACAUCGUGCGGCACGGCAUCACCCUUCAUACUUUACACUCUUUCCUCACCAUGAAAUCAAUAUAAUAGGCACGGAAUGGUACAUUGUGCGGCACGGCAUCACCCUUCGUGCUUUACACUCUUUCCUCGCAAAACAAACAAUGCACGACAUCACCUUUCGUGCUUUAACUCUCUUCCUCACCCAAACAACAAUCACAAAUAAAGGGGCAAGGGAAUAAACAAAAUAGUAAUAGAGAUCCCGUCAAGGGAACAACAGUUAAACAAUUAAAUCCCGAUAAGGGAACAACAUCAAUAAUCUCAAUAUCCCGGCAAGGGAGAUAAUCAACAAAGCAACAAUAUCCCGGCAAGGGGACAAUUUAUUAACUCUUUCUCUUUCUUUCACUUUUAUUUCAUAACUCACUUUACCACUUGAGCCAAUGCUNNNNNNNNNNNNNNNNNNNNNNNNNNNNNNNNNNNNNNNNNNNNNNNNNNNNNNNNNNNNNNNNNNNNNNNNNNNNNNNNNNNNNNNNNNNNNNNNNNNNNNNNNNNNNNNNNNNNNNNNNNNNNNNNNNNNNNNNNNNNNNNNNNNNNNNNNNNNNNNNNNNNNNNNNNNNNNNNNNNNNNNNNNNNNNNNNNNNNNNNNNNNNNNNNNNNNNNNNNNNNNNNNNNNNNNNNNNNNNNNNNNNNNNNNNNNNNNNNNNNNNNNNNNNNNNNNNNNNNNNNNNNNNNNNNNNNNNNNNNNNNNNNNNNNNNNNNNNNNNNNNNNNNNNNNNNNNNNNNNNNNNNNNNNNNNNNNNNNNNNNNNNNNNNNNNNNNNNNNNNNNNNNNNNNNNNNNNNNNNNNNNNNNNNNNNNNNNNNNNNNNNNNNNNNNNNNNNNNNNNNNNNNNNNNNNNNNNNNNNNNNNNNNNNNNNNNNNNNNNNNNNNNNNNNNNNNNNNNNNNNNNNNNNNNNNNNNNNNNNNNNNNNNNNNNNNNNNNNNNNNNNNNNNNNNNNNNNNNNNNNNNNNNNNNNNNNNNNNNNNNNNNNNNNNNNNNNNNNNNNNNNNNNNNNNNNNNNNNNNNNNNNNNNNNNNNNNNNNNNNNNNNNNNNNNNNNNNNNNNNNNNNNNNNNNNNNNNNNNNNNNNNNNNNNNNNNNNNNNNNNNNNNNNNNNNNNNNNNNNNNNNNNNNNNNNNNNNNNNNNNNNNNNNNNNNNNNNNNNNNNNNNNNNNNNNNNNNNNNNNNNNNNNNNNNNNNNNNNNNNNNNNNNNNNNNNNNNNNNNNNNNNNNNNNNNNNNNNNNNNNNNNNNNNNNNNNNNNNNNNNNNNNNNNNNNNNNNNNNNNNNNNNNNNNNNNNNNNNNNNNNNNNNNNNNNNNNNNNNNNNNNNNNNNNNNNNNNNNNNNNNNNNNNNNNNNNNNNNNNNNNNNNNNNNNNNNNNNNNNNNNNNNNNNNNNNNNNNNNNNNNNNNNNNNNNNNNNNNNNNNNNNNNNNNNNNNNNNNNNNNNNNNNNNNNNNNNNNNNNNNNNNNNNNNNNNNNNNNNNNNNNNNNNNNNNNNNNNNNNNNNNNNNNNNNNNNNNNNNNNNNNNNNNNNNNNNNNNNNNNNNNNNNNNNNNNNNNNNNNNNNNNNNNNNNNNNNNNNNNNNNNNNNNNNNNNNNNNNNNNNNNNNNNNNNNNNNNNNNNNNNNNNNNNNNNNNNNNNNNNNNNNNNNNNNNNNNNNNNNNNNNNNNNNNNNNNNNNNNNNNNNNNNNNNNNNNNNGUUAAAAUGACUUACAAUUGGUUUGGAGAAGAAAGGUUGUUUGAAAAAUCGCCUCUUAUGUUUUUUUUUUUUGGGUUUUGAAAAAUGCACAAUGACUGAAAAUCCCAUCUAUUUAUAUCCCUCUCAAACCCCCUGUGCAGGCCGCACAAAAUGGACUGCGGCCGCACAGGCCUUCCUGAAGGUAAUGCGGUCCAGUGCCCUGUGCGGAUCGCACGAAAUGGACUGUGGCCGCAUAGGCCUUCACCGCACACCGCACAAAGCCGACUGCGGACUGCACUGGCCCCCUUCCGUGGUCGCACACAUUUUCGUGCGGACCGCACUGGCAGGUUCAUAGAUCUGCAAAUUUCUCUAAACCUGCAAUAAUUGUGGUUUUAGGCCUAAGGCAUCCCGAAACCUACCCAGAACUCACCCGAGCCCUCGGAGCUCCAAACCAAAUAUAUACAAAAUCCUCAAAAACAUCGUAUGGACCUACUCGUGCGAUCACAUCAUCAAAAUAACAUGUAUAAUCAUGAAUUAAACCUCGAAACUCAACAUAUUCAUCAAGAACUCUCAUCGUUAACUCUCCAACCGGAAGUCCAACUCACGCCAAAUAAACUCCGUUUUUCACCAAAUUUCACAGUUAUCUUUCAAAUACUAUAACAAGUUGGUACCGGGCUCCGGAACCAAAAUACGGGCCCAAUAACAAUGGUUUCAAACAUUAAUUCUUUUCUUUAUUCUUUAGAUAAUUCAGUAAAAUAAUUUCUUUCAAAAAUUGAUUUCUAAGGCUUGGGACUUAGGAAUUCAUUUCCGAGCAUACGCCCAAGUCCAUAUUUUCCUAUGGACCCUCGGGGACCGUCAAAUCACGGGUCCGGGUCCGUUUAUCUAAAACAUUGACCGAAGUCAAAUUUAUUCAUUUUACAGUCAAAACUUAUCAUUUUUCAUAGAUUUUCACAUUUAAGCUUUCCGGCUACGCGUCCAGACUGUGCACGCAAAUCGAUGUGGUGCUAAGGGAGGUUUUUAAGGUCUCAGAAUGUAGAAUUUCAUUGCAACACAAGUGAUGACCUUUUGUGUCAUCACAUGUUAAGAAUUUCUUACUCCUUUGUACUCAUUUCUUCAUUUCCUUGCUUUGUAUUGAAUAUCUAAACAUGUAGUAUUGUAUCUAACACUUGAAUCUUGUUUAUGAAAAUAAUCAUAUUUAAUGUGUGGAUUAAAUACCUUGUUGUGCUUAUGUAUUGAAUGAUUUUGUAUCUUUUAUGAAGUGAGUUAUUGUUACUUUAAUUAUUCUUGUUCGUUAAUGUUUUCAAAGGGAUUAUCUAACCCUAGGACUCGCCCAUUAACUCCGAAUUAAUUUUGGGAAAGAUUAUUUGGGUUUGGGAAAGAUUAAUUAACAAGAACUUGAGGCUUUAACCCUCAUUUUAUAGAUUCUACCUAGGGACAGGAUUGAACUACUUGUAGCCAUAUCUGGGUGUGAUUAAUCUCUUAAUUGUUUUAAGAAUAAUUCAAUUAGGAAGUCUUGUUCAUCUUUGGAAGAAGCUAAUAUAGAAUUAUUACUUGUGGCUAAUUAACAUAAACUCACUCAUGUUUGUGAAAUCGUGAAAUAUAUUGGAUCGUUACUUGAGUGUAAUUCCCGAUGCAUUCAUACUUGUAGCCAUUGAUCAUUUUACUUACUUUCUAGGUUAGUUUACAUUUCCGCAUUUAGGUAUAAAUAUUUUCUGAAAACAAUUCUAAGUGUUUGGCAUUGUAUAACAAGUGAUAAUUCUCUUACAUUCCUAAUCGCCUAUAUAUUGUUCUCUGUGGGAUUCGACCCCGACUCAUAGUUGGGAAUAUUAUAUUGCAUGAGACCGUGUUCAUUUACUUUUUAGUUGUGGAUUUCGACGUCAUCAGAAGUGCUUUCAAUAUUAUCGAUGUCCGUUUGGGAUUCCGAGUCUGAGAAUAGCUCCGUAUGGUGAUUCUAGUAUUGGGAGCACAUCUGGAAGUGGAUUUGGGGGUCCGUAGGUCAUUUUGGAAUCGUUUGGCGAAAGUUAGAAAUUUAAAGGUUUUUGAGAAGUUUGACCGGGAGUAGACUUUAUGAUAUCGGGGUCGGAUUCCAAUUCUGGAAGUUAGAGAAGGUCUGUAAUGUCGAAUGUGACUUGUGUGCAAAAUUUGAUGUCAAUCGGACGUGAUUUGAUAGGCUUUGACAUCGACUGUAGAAAUUGGAAAUUCUUAGUUUCAUUAGACUUGAAUUGGGGUGUGAUUCGUGUUUUUAAUGUUGUAUGAUGUGAUUUGAGGCCUCAACUAAGUCUAUGAUAUGUUUUGAAACUUUUUGGUGUGUUCGGACGAGGUCCCGAGGGACUCGGGUGAGUUUCGGGGUGGUUUUGGAUUAUUUCUAGGCCAUUUUUAGCUGCUUGUUUUUUGCUACAACAGUGUGCUAUGCGAUCGCGGGGAAUUGGUCGCGAUCGCGAUGAGUAAAUUGGGAGAAAUUAGCUGCUCUUGCACUGACCCAAAUUUGGAAGCUUGUAUCUUGCAAUCUAUAAGGAAUUUGGAGACGAUCCAAAAAUAAAAGCUGUAUCCCUUUGUGUCUAGUUUUCAUAAAAUAAAACCAUUUCCUAUUUGGAGUUAUGUACAAAAGGUUAUGAGUGGUACACUACAGCUUAUCCGGGAAGAGUUUGGAAAUCACGAAAGUUAUAAGAAACUGGGAGAUGAGCAAAUCAUUAAAGUUGUAGUCUUUGGAGUCUAGUUUUCAAAAAGUUAAACCAUUUGAAAUUUGGAGUUUUGUAAAAAAACAUUAUGACCAUUAUACUACAGACUGUUUGGAAGAGCUGAGCAUUUGUUCUUCGCGAUCGCGAAGCAUUUUCCGUGAUGGCGAAGGAAAAUUUUGGGUUGAUAAAUGUUGUGCUUCACAAUCGCGAAGCAUUUUCCGCAAUCGCGAAGAGUAAAUACCUGGGCAGAAGCUAUAUUUCGAGGUUUCAACCAUUUUUAACAUAUUUGGAGCUAUGGAGCUCGGAUUGAAGCGAAUUUUGAGGCGAUUUUCACCAUAUGAAUUGGGUUAGUGUUCUAUAUCCGAAAGUAAUUAUACUUCAUGAUUUUAUGGUUAUAUUCAUCAUUUAUUUCUGAUUUAAAAGAAAGAAAUCAAGAUUUUUUCAAACUUUUCAAGAACAAAAUUUUAAGAUUUGGAGGUCAAGUUGUUAUCGGAAUUUGAUAAAAUUGUUAUGGUUGAACUCGUAUCGGAAUGAAUUAUUGAAUUUUGUGAGUUUCAUCAGGUUCUGUGACUUGGGCCCCACUGCCAACUUUUCGAGCAGAGUUGAGAAUUUUUAUUAAUUGUUAAAUUUCAAGCAUUGGAGUAUAUUUUUAAUUAAUUUACACGUUGCUUGACUAGUUUCGGAUUGAUCGGCACCAAGUUGGGGCUUUAGAGCGAAAUUGUGAUAGGAAAGUGGGCUUUAAGACGAUGUAAGUCUCCUUUAUAACCUUGUAAGAGGGAAUUAACCCCAUAGGUGAACUAAAUUAUUAUGCGCUUCUAUUUGUAAGGGCUAUGUACGUACGAGGUGAUGAGAGUCCGUACGUAGCUACUAGCUAUGCCUAUGUCUGGGUAGAUUUAGCUUACAUCAUGCCUUGUUGAUAUUGUUAUUGAUUUAUGUUUAUUCUUUGUCUUGAGAGGGAGCGAGAUUGAGUUUGCUUAUUAAAUGUUUUUAAAGAAGUUGAACUUGAGGAAAAGUUGGGAUCUUAAAAGUUUUCAUUUGAACUUCGUAUUUUGAAAAGAAUGGAAGAAUACUAUAAUAAGUUAAGAAAUAUAUGUGAGACCGCGUCGGAAGAAUGAUCCGCAAGUGGGGUAAUUUCUUAAAUUUAUAUUUGGCUGCGCCGCAUGUAUGAUUCGCGAGCGAGGUAAUAGAUGCUUCUAUGGUUCGCGUCAUUCGACCCUCAGCUGUGCACAGUUUAUAUUUAUGUUGGAUCGGGCCGAAUGUCUGGAAUUCGUGUGAGAUAAUAGAAUUAGAAGUCCCUUUUAUAAUUGGUAUAAAUUCAAUGUUUGUAUGAUCGUAUGUUUUAAAGGAAUGAAGUGAUUUAGGCUCUUAAAUAUAGGGAAGACCUGUUCAGUUAUUUCUUGUUCCAAGUCUUAUUGUUGUAUAUCAUGUUUAACUAGAAUUUUAUAUUAUCAUAUUAUUGGACCACUAGUAAGUGUCGGAGUCAACCUCUCGUUAUUACUUCUUCGAGGUUAGACUAGAUACUUACUAAGUAUGCGUUGUUUUCGUACUCAUACUGCACUUGUUGUACAUUUUGUUGUAGAGGCACAUGUGUGUUCAGUGGCCUUAUGGGAACAGCGACACGGUUGAUACAGGGACUUAGGUGAGCUGCAUCUUAUAAGACGAUCCGCAGCCAGCAGAGUCUCCUUCAGAGUUCUUGUAUAUUCUUUUCUGUCCAAAUUUGUAUUCUGGACGGUUAUUAUAUUGUAGUUUAAAUUCCUACUACAUCCUCAUCCAUUUGUGACACCGGAUUCUGGGAUAAUUAUGGGAUAUUCAGUAUUAAGAUUUUAAAAUAUUAUUAAAUAUUAUUUAAAGUUUAUUUUUUUACUAGUUAAAUUGAAGGAAAUUUACAAUUGCGAUAAUAUUAAAAUGAGAAUUUAAUUAACUACUUAGUGUUUGCUUGCCUGACAGUGGUGUCCUGCGCCAUCACGGCCUUUAACGGAUUUUGGGUUGUGACAAAAUAUGUCUAAACAUUUCUAUGAUAAAAAGUCGUGCCAUUAAAAAUAAAAACUUUUUUUUGGUAAUUAAGAAACUUUUUAUUACCACUCGCAAAUAUUUACAUGUAUAAUCAUAAGCAAACGCUAAGUUUGGACAUAUGGCCCCAAACUUAGUACAUCAUUUCUAAACACCUAUCUUCAACUAAGAUAUGGGUAAAAAUUUCUAUACUAUAGCUUUUUCUUCAAUCUGCUAUGUAUACUUCCUCGACAAUGGACUUCACGUAUAAUCUGCCUUGUGACAUCCCCACUUCCUCUUUUUACUUGUUGAAAAAUUUUGCAGUUACUUUCAAUUCAUACAUUAUAUAUUGCACCAGCCAUGCUCAACUUGUAUAGUUCUGCUUUAGCUCCCUUCCCAGUUACAUUUCUUGUGGCCCAUUCAACUUCAUCUUCCCAGCUAUACACUUGUCUUGUUAUUCCCAACCAUGUUAGUACCUUACUCCAUAUCUAUGUCGAGUACUUGCAGGAGAAGAAGAGAUGUUGAUAGAUCUCCAUCUCUUGCUCACACAAUGGACAGGUUUGCUCCACUUGUAUCCCCUAUUUGCUCAUUCUGUCUUUGGUAUAUAGUCUCUCCUGUAGUGCUAGAUACAUAAUGAAGAUCCAUUUUGGGCACCCUUUAUUGUUACAAAUCAAUCUUUUCCAGCUUACAUUUUCAUUUGUAAAGUCUCCUCAUAAUUGAUUAUACAUGCUUCUAAUAGAAUAUGUUUCAGCCAUCAGAAUCUUUUCUAUCUCUAAUCCUACUUCAGUUAUAUACUUUGUUGCAUGUAAAAUCUUCUUCAUUAUCCAUGAUGCUUGUUUUGCUUCCACUGUCCAAGGCUCUCUCCCUUUAGUAUAGUACACAUGAACCAAUUUGACCCACAGUUUAUCCUUCUUCUUGCAUAUAUUCCAUAAAUGCUUCAGCACAGCUACCUUGUUCCAUGUAGUCAUGUCAAUGAUAUUUAUGCCCCCUUUUAAUUUUGGUUUGCAUAGCUUAUCCCAUGCCACCAAAGCUUUUUUACGUGCAUUUGCAUCACUUAUCCACGUAAACUUUCUGCAUAUAGUCUCCACUGCUCGAAUGAUUUUCUUUGGCAGAGGAAAGAUCUGAGACCAAAAGGAUUGUAUGGUAAUCAACACACUUCUAACUAACUGCAAUCUUCCUGCAUAGCUUAAGAAUUUCACAGUCCAUUGCUUUAUUCUUCCCAAUAUUUUAUCCAAAAGAGGUUGACAUUGGUUUAUUGAUAGUCUCUUGGAGCUCAAUGGCACUCCCAGGUAUCUAAAAGGGAGUUCUCCUGCUGUGAAUCUAAUUUUCUACAGUAUCUCAUGUUUUUGAACUUCUGUUACUCCCCCAAAGUAUACACAACUUUUACUUUGGUUUGCAAUUAGACCUGAUGCUUUGGAGAAGCUUUGGAAGCAUUCAUAUAGCAUCUGCACAGAAGCCACAUCUCCUCUACAAAACAAAAGCAAAUCAUCUGCAAAACUGAGUUGAAUAAUCUAUAUCUUUUCACACCUAGGAUGAAAGUUAAAAUUUGGCUGCUCCCUCAAGUUUCGCAGUAUCCUUGUUAGAUAUUACAUUUCUAACACAAAGAGCAGUGGAGACAUUGGGUCUCCUUGUCUCACUCCACUUUUAGCUGCAAAUGGAGCAGUGGGACUCCCAUUGAUAGUUAUUGAAUAAAAUAUUGUCUUUAUGCACUCCAUGAUCCACUCCACAAAUUGCUUGGGAAAGCAUAGUCCUGUGAGUACUUGUUCCAGAAAGCUCCACUCAAAAUAAUCAUAUGUUUUUUGCAUAUCUAUCUUUAGCAUACAUCUUGGAGAAGUACCUUUCCUACCAUAUCCUUUUACUAGCUUAUGACUAAGUAAAAUAUUGUCAGUUAGCACUCUUCCAGGUAUAAAAGUUGCUUGGCUCUCAUCCACCAAGGUGUCCAUCACUUGUGUUAGCCUACAUGUGAUCAUCUUGGAUAUAAUCUUGUAUAAAGUGGUGCAGCAUGAGAUUGGCCUGUAUUCUCUGAUAGAAGCAAGAUUCUUCACCUUGGGAAUUAGAGUGACUGCUGUAGUAUUAAUUGCCUUAUGAUAUUUAGGAGGACAACUCGUUACCUCUUGGGAAUUGGGUUUUUUGGGUUGAAAAGUCGCCACCUAAUGAUUAAAGUGCAUUAGGACACUAAAGAAGAGUUCGAUUUGGAAAACCAGAGUUCGGGUAAGGGCUAGGAAUUAUCUCGAGGGGAAGGUGUUAGGCACCCCCCAAGAUUUACUAGUGUGGUUCUCGGCCAUGUUACAAUUGUGUCUUUAACUAACAAGUAAGCAAAUAAAUGUCUCAAAUAGAAGGGGAUUUACACAUAAUGUUGCAAGUGAAUUGAAAGUUUGAAGAAAGAUAAAGAAAACAGA
rnacentral:lncRNA from 1 species